rnacentral:lncRNA from 1 species
AAAAAAAAAAAAAAAAAAGAAAGCCUGUUUAUAUAUUGAUUUCAAAACAGCCCCAAAAAUGAUAUAGAUGUCCAACAUUGGAUGGACAUCGGAGGCAAGUACACCUUGCGUCCUGUCCUAUCCGUACAAUUUGGUAGUCCCUCCAAAAUCUUAUUAAAAAAAGAAGGGAAAAUGAAGAAGGAAGGAAACAAAAAGAAACAAAAUUCUUGGGGUGGAGCACAUACUGUAAUUGAUGCCUCAACUUGGGAAUGAAGCAAAGCAAUUUCAAUUCAUGUAUAUCGAUAUCCGCCUCAAAGCUUCUUCACCUUUAUGUGUCCUACAUCCCCGACCCCAUCCGUAUUCCACUUCAUACCCUUUACCUUUCCCUAAACCCCACCAUCCAUUUUCCCUAAAAUGGUCAGAAUUCAAGGGCAUUCAUGUCUGCCCCAAGUCCCCACCCCAUGGCCCAUGGCUACGGGAUUGAAUUAUUUUUACCGCUAGUUUUAAACUUAGUAAUUAAUCACGACUAGAAACAGCACCAAUUAAGGGUGAUAAUUAAAUUAAAUAUUGUCCCCAACCCCAAAAUAAUAUUUCAACUUUUUUGACAAAAUUUCCCUCGCUUCUCGUCCAUAAAUACCACUCCAAACUCUUUGCCUUCUCCUCACACUCGCACUGUCACCCACAACACCAAGUCUUAAUUUUGUUUUUCUUGGGGGAGCAUCUUAUUCUUAAUUAGUUGGGUUGAAAUUAAAACCAAAUGGGUGUCGCUGUGGGCAUCAUUUGUAUUGUGACUUUUGUUACAUUUUCCUCCCUUAGUGUUGAUGCGAGAAUCCCCGGCGUUUACGGUGGCGAGGCAUGGCAAAGCGCUCAUGCUACAUUCUAUGGAGGCAAUGAUGCCUCAGGAACAAUGGGUACGCGUGCACUUAAAUUUCACAGUGAUUUAUUUGCGUUUUGCAUCAACAUACAUGAUUAUUUACCACCAGUCAACUGUUUCUGAUUUGUUCGGUUGUGUGUAAUUGUAUAUUUAACAAACAGGAGGUGCUUGUGGGUACGGCAAUCUCUACAGUCAAGGAUACGGCGUUAACACGGCAGCGCUAAGCACAGCACUGUUCAACAACGGGUUGAGCUGCGGUGCGUGUUUUGAGAUUAAGUGUGCGAAUGACCCUCAAUGGUGCCACGCUGGGAGCCCUUCAAUCUUCGUCACUGCCACCAACUUUUGCCCUCCGAAUUUCGCUCAACCCAGCGACAAUGGGGGGUGGUGCAACCCUCCUCGCCCUCACUUCGAUCUCGCCAUGCCCAUGUUCCUCAAGAUGGCCGAAUACCGCGCCGGAAUUGUUCCUGUCUCUUACCGCAGGGUCCCUUGCAGGAAGAGAGGCGGCAUCAGGUUCACCAUCAACGGUUUCCGUUACUUCAACUUGGUCUUGAUCACCAACGUUGCUGGUGCUGGGGAUAUUGUCAAGGCUAGCGUCAAAGGUUCCAGGACUGGGUGGAUGAGCUUGAGCAGGAACUGGGGACAGAACUGGCAGUCUAAUUCUGUUUUGGUUGGUCAGUCUCUCAGCUUCAGGGUCACUGGCAGUGACCGCCGUACUUCCACUUCUUGGAACAUUGUCCCUGCUAAUUGGCAAUUUGGUCAAACUUUCACCGGAAAGAAUUUCAGGGUUUAGUUUCAAGCACUUUCCCCCACUCCAUGUUUUGUUGUUUUUUCGCUUUUUUUGUUUUAUCCCGGAAAGUGAGAAAGAAAAUGAGGGAAAGUAUACUGUGUAACUCUGUCCCUGUGAGUGUGAACUUUUUGACUUUGACGGAUUUGGUUGGGGACUGGGUUUGGUUUCUGUUUUGGUUGAAGUGAAAUGUAAAAGCUGAAGUGGCUUCAAAGUAAUAGAGAGCCCGCAGCUUCCAAAGUUAAAUAGAUUCGGUUUUAUAUUAUAUGUUUACAGUUUACUUCACAUGAUAGUGAUAAUCAUCUACGUACAAGUGUCUUAAUUUAAUCUCAUAAGUUAUUCUUGUUUGAAUUUAUGACUGGUGAUGUGCAAGUGUUUCAAGUGUUUUCUUUCAGAGUUCUAACCAAAUUUGACCACAGGCCAUUGCCCACUGACAUCUACUCAAUUCACUUGCACUUACAGGUAUUUUAAGAAGAUUACAAUUGUAAUAAUUUUCUCAUUUUCAAGAAAUGAGUUCAUCACUAGCUACAAAGCCAGAAGGUGUGUGACGGUAACUCAUGUUCAGAGGUGAGGCUGUGAGGGUGGGGCUCGUUGUUCUUCUAAUCUGAUUACGAGGUUUCUCUCUUGUUCUGAUGAGUCCAUGAAGGUUUCAGUUCAAAUUACUAGCAAAAAAUGCAAAGAAAUCGCAUCAAGAAUGCGUAGGUUGCUUUAUAUUCUAACUGGGAAUGCUUAUUCUUUUGUCAACAUUACACUUGAGCUUGCAACCCACAAGCACAAGUUCAACCAUGGGAUUUCAAAUCAACCAAACUAUUCCAACCAUUCUUGCUAAGGUCAUUGUUUGAUGAGGAAUCCUCCAAGAUGGUCACUGUUGCCGUUGAGCUCUUCAAGUAUGGCAGAAUCAAAGGGUUAGCUUGGUUUGCUUAUUCCAAAUCCAACUUCUAUUCAGAGCUUCAACACACUGCACACUGGAACCACUCAACCCAAGCACCAAAACGACCACACAAUAACUCUCAACGGGCGUUUGCUUUGCACAAAGCUAAGAACUGAUCAAGCCACUGAUUCAGCAAUACUAAUAGGUACCACCCUCAAGCAAUGGCAACUGCAUCAACUAUCUACUAGUAGCAGAUUGCAUUAUUCUCUUCAAUCAAGGCCGUCUAAACUAAAAUCGCAGAACAUUUACAGCCCCGCCCAAAAGAUAAGUAAAUGAAGAAGAAAAUGUGAGAUGGAAUCAGUAGAUAAAAACAGGAUUAAAAAACCUGUCAUCUGUGGAUCCAUCACUACGGUUGUCUGGCCGCUGCCUGAUCACUAGCUUACUUCCAGAAAACAGAAUAAUCUGUUACUAGAAAACCAACUAGUGGCCAGGCUUUCAAUGUUGCACCGUUGUUCAAGCGAGAAAUCAGAAUCAAAAUCCGUUUUCUCGCAACAAACACAACAAAUGCUAAGCAAGUAACAAGAGAAAAUCACGGGGCUCAUAUCAAGUGUAAAGUUAUUCUUGUUUGAAUUUAUGACUGGUGAUGUGCAAGUGUUUCAAGUGUUUUCUUUCAGAGUUCUAACCAAAUUUGACCACAGGCCAUUGCCCACUGACAUCUACUCAAUUCACUUGCACUUACAGGUAUUUUAAGAAGAUUACAAUUGUAAUAAUUUUCUCAUUUUCAAGAAAUGAGUUCAUCACUAGCUACAAAGCCAGAAGGUGUGUGACGGUAACUCAUGUUCAGAGGUGAGGCUGUGAGGGUGGGGCUCGUUGUUCUUCUAAUCUGAUUACGAGGUUUCUCUCUUGUUCUGAUGAGUCCAUGAAGGUUUCAGUUCAAAUUACUAGCAAAAAAUGCAAAGAAAUCGCAUCAAGAAUGCGUAGGUUGCUUUAUAUUCUAACUGGGAAUGCUUAUUCUUUUGUCAACAUUACACUUGAGCUUGCAACCCACAAGCACAAGUUCAACCAUGGGAUUUCAAAUCAACCAAACUAUUCCAACCAUUCUUGCUAAGGUCAUUGUUUGAUGAGGAAUCCUCCAAGAUGGUCACUGUUGCCGUUGAGCUCUUCAAGUAUGGCAGAAUCAAAGGGUUAGCUUGGUUUGCUUAUUCCAAAUCCAACUUCUAUUCAGAGCUUCAACACACUGCACACUGGAACCACUCAACCCAAGCACCAAAACGACCACACAAUAACUCUCAACGGGCGUUUGCUUUGCACAAAGCUAAGAACUGAUCAAGCCACUGAUUCAGCAAUACUAAUAGGUACCACCCUCAAGCAAUGGCAACUGCAUCAACUAUCUACUAGUAGCAGAUUGCAUUAUUCUCUUCAAUCAAGGCCGUCUAAACUAAAAUCGCAGAACAUUUACAGCCCCGCCCAAAAGAUAAGUAAAUGAAGAAGAAAAUGUGAGAUGGAAUCAGUAGAUAAAAACAGGAUUAAAAAACCUGUCAUCUGUGGAUCCAUCACUACGGUUGUCUGGCCGCUGCCUGAUCACUAGCUUACUUCCAGAAAACAGAAUAAUCUGUUACUAGAAAACCAACUAGUGGCCAGGCUUUCAAUGUUGCACCGUUGUUCAAGCGAGAAAUCAGAAUCAAAAUCCGUUUUCUCGCAACAAACACAACAAAUGCUAAGCAAGUAACAAGAGAAAAUCACGGGGCUCAUAUCAAGUGUAAAAGAAUUUUAUAAUAUCUUUCAAUGUGGGUAAAAAAAAAAACCCAAAUCGAAAAUGGGAAAAAAAAGAAUUUUCUCCAACAAAAUUGAAUUGGGUUUUUUAUUUCUUGUUUUCGUAAAACUUUGAACCCACUCGAGUCCUCUCUCUUUGUAAUCAUUGCCCACAACCCUUCCAUCACUGAAAUAGUGACAACAAAAACAAAGAAAACAAAAUUUCAGAAAUCAGAGAGGAAAUUCAUUUGAAGCUUUCUUAGAUUAGAUGACCAAGCCGUUCGAUGUGCGAAAAGAAGACUCUUUUCUACUAGGGUUUUGGCGGACGAGGUUUUAUAUAGAGGAAGAGGAUGGAGGAAUGGUAGGCUAGGGUUAUAUCCUGCAAGCCCAUUAUUUCUAAUGAUCCAUGACCUCCAUUGCUCAACUCUUGUCGUACGGUUCUUGGAUAUGAGGACGACAUGUCACUUCUUGGCUACUUCGGAGCAAAAUGUUUUAAUUGUCGUUAUGACUGGAUAAUAUAAGAAGUAAGAGGUGGGCAUUCGGUUCGGUUUUGUAGAAUCAAACCGAGUUAAAAAAUCAAAUAGUUGAAAUGAUUAAGAACUAAUUGGUUCUUAUUUAGUUUGAUUUAAAAUUAAAUCGAAUUAAAGAAUUGAUCAGUUCACUGCUUAAAAUUAAAAAAAUAUUAUUUAUCUAUAAGAAUAAUAUUUAUUUAUUAUAAAUUUUUCUACAUUAAUAUUUUUAUGUAAAUCAUUAAUGGUAGUUAUGAUGUAAAUUUUAUCCCAACUUACUAGGUGAUAAUUCCAACUAAGAAUGACCCUCUUAGAAUUGGGCUUUCUCUUUAUUGGAUCCAGCAAUAAUGAAUUAAUCCUUUCAACUAAUUUUACUGGACCUUUGAAUUUUCUCCUAUGUGUCCACUUCCUUAGUAGAUGAGGAUAUCUUUUUUCGAUGAUACUUUACAAACAUAAGAAAACGAUCAGAGGGCUAGUUUCACCGAUGUAAACCAUCUAAUGGUCAAGGUAGUCACUGAAUUUUUGGAAAUAUGAAUUUAGAGAGAGAAAAUCAACAUUUCCCCUCUUGAAUAAGUUUUUUCUCAUCUUUCAAUAAAAAUAGAACGUAUAUAUUUAUAAGUCAAAUUGAUUUGACUUGUGUUCUAAUUACUUUAAUGACAAAUGUCAUUAUUUUUAUGUCAUUUAGCAACACUUGUCUUCUUGUGCCUGUGCUAAUUGAUACAUGAAUAUGCAAUCUUAUCUACGGAUCAAAGGAGGAAGCAUUUUAAUCUUAUGCGAUGUUUACUUAUUAGGAAUGGAAAUAAGAAUCAAGGAAUGAGAAUACAUGAUGUGUUUACUUAAUUAAAUAAGAGAUGGAAUGGGAAUGAAAGUGGUGAGUCCUACAUAAAAAUUGAGAACGAUUAUUAGAGUUCCCAUUCCCAUGGGAGGAGAUGGGAAUGAGAAUCUCAUUCUCUGAAUUAACCAUAUUACCUCCACCUAAAUCUUAAAAUUCUCAUUUUAUGAUGAUGGUUAUUAUUAUAGUAAUUUUGUUAUUAAUAUUAAUUAUAAUGAUUAAUAAUUAUAAUAGUUUACAAUAAUAAUAAUAAUAAUUGCUAUUAUUAAUGUUAUAAUAAUAAUUAUUAUUGUUGUUGUUGUUGUUGUUGUUAUGACAAUAAUAAACUAAGGACCGUUUAGUAACUUGUAACUAUUUAUUCAAAUUCCCACAACUAAAGUAAAUAAUUUAUUCUGAUUCUCAUUUCUUAUUCUGAUUCCACUCCAUUCCGAUUUCAAUCAAUUCCGAUUAUUGAUUAAUAAACACACCAUUAAGUUGUUUUCCUAAGAUCUUGGGAUCAUAAAAACCUUAGAAUUUAGAAGGUUUAUCUUAAGUGGCUUGUCCUUCAAACCUAUAAAGUUUAUUCUCAGAACUUUUCGGCCUUAAAAUCUUUCCACCUAGGAUAAACGCAGUCCAUCUCUUCAUAGGUUUAAUAGGGACCAAAUUUAUUUGGCCCUUCGCUGUGCCUAUUCUAUUUUUAACCCAAUAUUAAUGGUUACAAUUGAAUUGAAUUAAGAAAAAAAAAUCAAAUUUAGGUAAAAAAAUCCAAAAUUUUAGUUAAUAUAAAAGAAAAAUAAUCAAAAUUCUUAAAGCAAAUAGUAUUAAACCAAACCGAAUCGAAUCUAUGAUUCGAUUUGUAUUCGGCUCAUAUAUUUAUGAACCAAUCAGUUUCAAUUUAGUUUAGUUCGGUUUAAAAACAUAACCGAACCGGCCGUUUAGUGCCCACCCUUACUGGAGAGUUAAUAUUUUACCCAAACAAAACGAGACCAAGAGAAACAAGUCAUGCAAAUAAUGGUUUUCUUAUUCUUUCAAAUGAAAGAAGCCAAUUUGAGAGGAGAAAGCCGAGACGAUAUGAUAGCCAACGACUUUUCGGAUUUUUGUAUUUCAAUUCCAGUGCCAGUUUACGAACAAAUUGAGAGGAGAACAAUCACCGGCCAUCUUCUCCAUCUGCUCCGUACCGGCCAUUUGAAUUACAAAGCUUCUCUACUGAUUUUGCAGAGCAGAACCGAAUUCUAUAUUUAUUUAUUUACAAAAUAUAUCAACCAAUAAAGUGGGAGAUAAACAAUAUAUAUUCAUAACCGUUGGGUAUAUUAUUACAUGGGAUUUUUUUUUUUCGAGAAUUUGAGAUUUUUCAACGGGGAAGUGGUGGUGCAGGUAUGCUUACCAGACAGCACUAUACUACUAAUUCAUUAGCUGUUUGUGGAGCAUCAAUCAACUAUAAGUUUUGGAGACCAAUAUUCAUACGCAUAUGCAUGGGAACGGCACGGCUAUGAGUCAACGAAAUAUCCAAAAGAGCUUACACAAUCUUGGAAAACACUAGCGUCAUCAAUAUCCACAGCAUGGCAAUUAGCAGAAAACAAUCUUUAGCUACAAGCACAUACAGGUUCAGCUUCAAGUCUUAACAAGACUAUACGUGCUAUCUGCAUUUGCACAUCAGUCGUAUUAUAUAGAAUGCUACUGCCUGCACUGGAAAGCAUAUUCAGGCACAAAAGAAGCAGGUUAACUAGGAAAAAUCCCAUCUAAAUCUUCUGCAACCCUUAAAACAGAAAAAUGCCUAUAUACUUGAUGUUUUAAUUGAAAGGUGAAAGGUCUUUAUAUCUUUCUAGUUUAUACUAGCGUUGCUUCUCCUUUGUUAAGCUUUCUGCCCAAUAAAUGUGCAACUUCUGGCAGUGUCGCCACCUGGAUAAAAAUGACAAGUUAGUAGAACAUAAUCGACCAAAAAUCCCAGGAAGCAGUUACAUAGUUUUGCAGUGAUCUGCAUCAAAAUUGAAUUCAAAACUAACUUUAAGAUUUUCAGUUGUCAGCCUGAAUGGCCUUGCCUUCAAAUCCAACCAAGUGGCAGCAGCCAUUCAUUGCCUUUAUUCACAUACAGCAUGACACAAAACCAAGCGAUUCCAGCGUAGGCCAAUGCAUUAACUAUCCAGCUUAACUUAUUUCUUUUCAUCUUUCUUAAUCUCAUUUAUUCUUCACUUCAGAUAAUUGCUACUCUUUAUUGUUUCUGUAGCUCUCUUCACUUCUCUUCAUAGGACCAAUCUAAUGUUCUGUAAUUCACUUGGGCAACACAGCUAAUUCAUUUAAAGAAUAACCUCCUCAAAUAUGAGUAGAAACAUAUACAUUUUUCUAUGGCACAUUGACCUAACAUGAUGCCAAAUGUUGAUCUAACUGCAGCUUUAUUAGCUCACCAGCAGUUACACGUCUCAAGUUCCAGAUAUUUUUGUAAUUUCCGAAUACUACAGUAAAAUUUUACUUCUAAUGAUACUUAAAACUGCAGAUCUAAACAAAACAAUAAUUCUUAGCUAUUAGAAGUGAACAUGCAAGUCCAAAGUAGACAUUAAUUAACUACAUAUACUUACAUUUUGGUGCCAGCAUUAGGUUUAACUUCUUUUACGCUUAGGUCGCUUUGAUUUCGAGAAUAAAUAUUGAAUAAUUUCUUUCAAGGUGGCUCUCCUCCUCUCCUUCUUGUUCCAAACCUCAGGGACAGGAUACCGUGAACUUGGAUUAUAUUCAUUCAAUUCCAGCAAUGCAUUGGUUACAACUUCAUAUACCUCAGCAUGAUCAUUUUUCAGUUCUUUCAAUUUUUCAUCUUCAUCAUCUAUUAUUUCCUGCAUUUAUCAGGAAUUAAAUCAAAAUAUGACACAUAUUUCUGAUAAGUGGUUCAGGCAAACAAAAUUAUUCCACUGUCUUUGCUGCAGCAUCUGUGAAGACUGAUGACUAGGUUUGCUUCAAUGCAACAUAAUUAGUAAAUUGCUUCAUUGAGCUUACGAUAAUAAACAGUUAAGAAUUUUAAACAACUUCAGAGUCUGAAGUUUUACACUGUAUAUUAAGUUUUGCUUGGUGGCGACCAAAUUCCCGAAAGCAAGGCAAGUUCUUCCCCUCACAUGAUACAUUCUAGAAAAUUAUACUUUUAAUUUUAUGCAAGGCGCAUUUGGAGCUAGUCAAUUUUUUUAGAAUAAAAGGUUCAUAGUCUUUCAAAGGUAUCUAGUUAUCUUCAAUCCUUCUUGAACCCUAACAAGAGAUUAUAAUAGCAGGAGUUCAAUUCACUAAAGGCUAACAAUUUCAUAUAUUGUCACUCAUCUUUCCAAGCCCAUGCACACUACUCAUCUGUCAACUCAUUUUUCUAUUUCCCUUUUGUUUCCUUUUCUCUAAGUCAACAUGAAAUAUUUCCAGUACAAGCUGCAGUAUAAUAUGGUCCAAAAUAGUGUUAUUCACAGUACCAGUUGUUGGAGGGAAAAAUGGCACAGAACCUAGCAUCGAUAGCUAAAUAAAGGGGAAGAUUUGAAUUGCGUUGCUUUGUUUUUCUUUUGUUUGUGAGUUUGUCUUUAUUUUUUCUGGUAGCUUCCUGACCCAGCAAACAGUUGACAAAAUACUAUUUCCCCCACUACUCUCGUUCUUUGAAUUCAUGAUGUCAGGCAAGUGACUACUCCUGGCCCUAUAAACUUGUCAAGUAAGAAUGAUUUCAACCACUCAUUCAUUGAAUGUUUGCCUAUUUAAUUAUAUAUUUUUUUCCAAAAGAAUAGCUAGGAGUCACCUAAUUGUCGGCAUUUCAGGCAAUGUAAGAACUUAAUGAUGGUAUGGUUUGCAUAGCAAGCCAAUGACUAUCUAGCUCAUCCACCUUGUAGGUACAAGACUGGUUCCAAUUAAAAAUUCUUCCCUCUAUCCUUGUUUUAGUUAUAUUUUUUCAAUCAAAAUCCUUCCACUGAUCUCCUUUCAAAUAAAAAAAGAAAAAAAGAAAUUCCUUCCACCAAUCAUGCACUUGUUUAUAUUCUCAGACCCAUGUUAAAGUUUCAGAAUGGUAUGGGUAAAUAGGGGAAUAUACAUACUUGCCAUAUGCCUCCAUUUUUCACUCGCUUGAAAGGAUGCCAGUUAGAAUCCCCCAGAUAUCGUUCCCACAACGAACACAGCUCAGCAGAUAUCUCCUGCCAGUCUCCAUUGGAGUACUUCUCUGAGCACAUAUCAUCAAAAGCUUUUCUAUUAAUCUCCCCCAUUCUUUUAACUAAAAGAGUUGAGCGAUUAUUCAACAUAUCCAACAAACCCUGUAAGGCCAAAACUUAUUGAGCAUCUAAUAUUUACUACUUGACUGAAGAUGCAUUUUAGCCAAGUAGAAAAUAAUUUAUAGAAAAUGAUAGCAUAAAUUCAAAUUUUACUGAGUAACACAUGAAAAUUGAACUAAUAUACACUUAUUGACUCUUUGCGAGCAUCGUGCAACUCUUUCCUGGUGGUCAACUCUUUCACUGUAAGGACAUUGUUCAGGUUUUGUGAUUCCUCUAACUCUUCUGUUUUUUCCUUUAACUGAUUAGUAAGUGCUGAGAUCUGAGCCUUCAAAUUGCUAGCACCUUCUGAUGGAUUUUGAUUUUGCAACUUCCUUUUUAACUGCAUCAGUAAUAAUCCAAAUGGUGGGUUGCUUCACAAAAUUUCAUCUUUAUGAUUAUGAUAAAAAUUCAAGCAAUAAUUCAUUUUCAGAUUCAGAAUAAAGCAUCAAUCACUAUUAAUAUAGAGGAAAGAAUGGAGAAAAAUAGAAGCUACAAAUAAGCAAUAUUAGAAAAUUAAAAUGCAGGUAACUGAAAGUAAGUCACAAGCAGCUAAGCAAGCGUGAUUCAUGCUGUACACACACAGUGGCUCCCCACGAUACUGAAAAGUGAACAGGCCAAUAUUCUGACAUUGCAUGGAAUAACUGAAAGAGUAUUAGUAAUUGCUAUAAUUGUAGAUAUAAACAGAAAUGACUUAUUUCCAAGAAUGUCUCAGGCACAGAAAUUUUUUACAAACCUCUUCUAUCUCAUCCAUUAACCUUCUCCUCUCCAAAUCAUUCUGGGCCCUGCACUCGUCCAAUUCUUUGGUUCGCUGCUCAAGCUCUUUUUUCUGAUACAUCUGCAGCUUGAUAUUGAUGGACUUCUCCUUUCUGAUUUCUGACAAAUUAUGAUCACAAUAUUUGAAAGGACCAGUUGAAUGAAGUCUGGAAAAUACAAGCAGUGAUAUUCAGACAGAAAAAAACAUUUUUUAGUCACUUAAUAGCUACAGAUAAAGUGGGCACAUGUCACUGUUGUUUCUAUCUGCACUCUGUCAGCCAGUUCCUUUAGCAUUUUUCAGAAAAUACUGUCCAAACAAAGGAUAGUAAAAUCAAUCUAAAUGCUUGGCAAUUUUAAUCUUUUAUUAAUCUAGGAAGAUGUAACUCCAUAAGGCUGCAUUGCUUGAGUCUGAUUCUAGAAUAGAUGGGAUGAUAAAGAGAACUUUACAGAUCAAUAUCUCUAAACAUCAACAAUUACUUGCAAACAUACCUUCAAUAUAUUCUUCUUUAAGUUUCCUUUUCUCAUUCAUCAACUGUUCCACAGUUGCGGAUCUCUCACGGUACAUCUUCUCAUACUCAUAAUACAUAUGCUCAAACUCCAAUGAUCUUCUGUCACUUUUCAUAAGCUUCUCCAUAAGGCCAAUGACAAGUUUGCGAGCCACUGCAGAUGUGUCAUCCAACUUCUGUUCCAUCUCAGACAAUUGCUGGUUCUUGGAAUCAAUCUCCUGUUUAAGGCUUGCAAGCUGGCUGACUUUCGUCAGCUCCUCUUCAUAUCGUUGAUCAUCCAUAUCAACUCUUCAAUACAUAAGCAAUUAACUAUAUGGAUUAAAUGCAUACAUUAAAAAGAAAAGAAAAAGAAGAAGAAGAAGAGGAUGAUUAUCACCAUUUGUAUCUUAACAGAAAGUUAUCAAGUUUAAGUGCAAUUCUUCAAGUAUAUAGAAAUAAGAGGAAGACUUAACAUUUUCUUUGAGUAAUCUACCGUGCAGAUUGUUUGCGAAUCAUUGCAUUUUCCUCAUUCAACUUAUGUUCCAUCUUAAACAACUGCUGGUUUUUGUGGUCAAUUCCCUGUUUAAGACUCGUGAGCUGGCUGACAUUCUUCAUCUCCUCUUCACAAUCUGGAUUGUCCAUAUUAAGUCUUCAAUUCACAGAAAGUGGUUAAAAGGAUCAAUGGAUAUUAAGAAAAGAAAAGUAAAAAUUGAUAUCAGCAAAGAGAAAAAAAGAAGAAAAAAAACUAGAUAUCGGCAUUAUUAUAUUGUUAACAGGAAGUCAUCAACUUUAAGUGCAAUUCUUCAUGUAUGUGAAAAUAAGAGUAAAACUAUUAUUAUUUUGUAGGAAGUCUAAAAAAUAUUCUGUUAACAGCUUUUCCAUAAGCAUAAAAAGCUCUUUUACCCUUGGUCCUUACCAAUAAAACCCAUCGUCAGAACUUGUCCUCUGGAUCGGUUCAUAUAACCAUUAACCUUUUACAUAUUUAGUCUAUAAGGGAUUUUGGGCGCAUAAUGAAAAUAUGCUUACAUAGGAAGCACUUUUUUGGCAACGCCAAAAGCAGGCUCACAAAAUGCCUACAAUAUGUAUCUGUUACAGACAAGCAUGACAAAUCACGUAUUAUAUUUAUAAUUGUUCACAUACAUCAACAUUUGGUCCAUUAAAAUUCGAAAAAGCAAUGAAAUUAGAAACCCAUGAAAACAAACCCACAUUUCUUUAACAUGCAUAAAAAGAAAAGGCCAAUUAAGACACAAAAAACGUUAAAGAUUGGGCAACUGAGCUUACAUUGAAGAACUUUGACCUUUGAGUAGAUUAAAAGAUUGGAACUUUCAAAAUCAAAAUGCUGAAUGAACAUGUGAAACGCAGCACAAGCACAAGAAUGGUGUGCGAGUGAGUACUAAGCUUAGUCUUUUUCAGAGCGCCAGUACUGAGCUGCUCAGUUGAACGGGCAAAACUUUUUUGACAUUAAUUUACAUCGAAGUCCCUACAUUAAUCUAAAAUUUGAACAACCAUCUCUUUUUAAGAAUUCGUUAAUAAAGUCCUUCCUAAUUUUCAAACUAUUAUUCACGUAAGUCCUCGGCUUACUGUUAACCCAUUUAAUAGUUCGUGUAAUUGUUUUAACAGCAGAGGAAAAAGACUUCAGUUCUACCCACCGCAGAGGGUAAAAGACAACUACAUAGAGUGCAUACAAAUGAGUGCUCAUCAUAUAUUAGUAUCAGUUGUAAAUAAAGAACUCAAGAUUGAAUUACUUGUGCAAAAUUCACCACCCCUUUGAAGAGGGGCAAAUUGAUCAAUUUCCGACUACAAGUUGGAAGCGGCUUAAAAUGUAUAGAUUUAAAUAAGGAUAAGGUAAAAUUAACCUGCAAAGUAAAAAAACGAUAGUGAUUUUGUUUGGACAAAAUGUUACUCAAAGCAAAUAAAUAUACAAUCACUUCCCAAAAUACCCAAGUCCAAGAUUAUUGAUUAAUCAAACUCAAGUAAUUGUAGAGUUCUGCACAACUAAUAAGCAUCAACAAGCAUAAAAUGAGAAUCUUGUAGGCGAACAAAACACAAAUCCUUGCCUCUGCUUCAUUGUCCAAAUUUUAACAUCUUUUUGGAUUAAAUUAACAAUCAGCAUAUGAAAAAUAAAAUGAUUAAAUUUACAGUCAGAUGGUUCUUUCACCUACACUUUUUUCCCAAUACCACCAUAGAGUUUCAGAGAUACAUGCUAAACAUGAAUAUAGUUAUUUAAAGAAAUCCCAUUACACGAUACAAUAAUUUACAUGACCCAAUGGGGCUUUCGCUAUACCUCCCCAGUUUCCAGGUAUAAAGCUCCAUUUGAGCAAAUGAAAAAAUUCAUUUCCUGUAACCAAAGUCAGUAUGAAAAUAAUGUCAAAACAUUUAGUUUUUUUUGGUCACCGUAUAAUACUUAAAAUGAAACAUGCAAACCUUCAAGCGAUGCCUCCCUUGCGGUGAACUAAUAAUUUCCAUUGUUUCAUUAAAAAUGCUACUCCCUCUUGUAGAGUAGCCUUUCUCCCUUCUUUAUAAUUCCACAACUCCGAGGUUAUAUACCUCCCACUUGGAUUGUAUUCAUUGAUCUCUACCAAAGCUGUGGUCACUGCAAUGUACACUUCUUCACCCAUUUCUUUCUUCAGACCUUUCAAUUUUUCAUCUUCUUCGUUUAUUAUUUCCUGAAUGAGUAGCAUACUUUAUGAAAACUAUUGCACAUUUAAAGGGAAGGAAAGUGAUGUUGGACAAGAAAAGGCAUAUAAAGAAAAUUAAAAUAUAUCUUGAAUUUGGACCAAUCAAAUAUUUUUCUCAUUAAAUUCACCAGAGCAGUUCUUCAUAAUUAUAUAUCAAAGCACACUUUGCCAUCUAAGACAUGGAUAUCCAUCCAUAAAUACAUUUAACCAGGCAAAGCAUGUCAAGAACCAACAUAAAUGAAAUGCACAGCCAUAACAAUGUCCAACUGCUGAAUUUUUUGAAACAAGAGACAAAUUUGAACAAUCAUCAUUGCAAAUAUAUACAAAGAAGAGUUCGGUACAAAUGUUUUUGUGCAUUUUGUUUGAAAAUACACGGAACACUGUGAGAGAGAGAGAUCACUAAAACUUUGAAACUAUGAUACAAGUACUCUGACAGUUUCAUCUCUUCUCAAAUGCUUGAAAAUAAAAGUACAGUGUUACAACACAAUAAAAGUUCCCUAAUAUGCUUGGAAAAUCAAUUCCAGCAUUCUGGAGAGAUACUCUGCUAAACACCUAAGGAAAUAAAUAGAAAAAUAACUUAGAACAUGGACAAAUCAAAUUUUGAGAUCAAUGAAAUGCACACCUUAUGUUUCCCUUCAGCUGUAAUGACUUUGAAGGGAUGCCAAUCUGGAUCCUUAAGAUACUCCUCCCAUAAUGAGCACAAUUCCGAAGCUCUCUCUUCCGCUUCUUCCUCAUUAUACUUUCGAUUCAUUACUUCAAGAAAAGGUUUAUUGUCAAGUUCUCCCAUUCUCUUGAGACCAAUAUGAGCACGACCUGCUAAUUCUUUUAAGGCCUAUGAAAAGAGUCGAUCAGCAUCCUCACAAGCUAGGGAAACUUGUAGAGAGGGUUAAAAAGCAUUGAGCAGACUUAAAGAACCAAUAAUAAGUCUUAAACCAGCAUUCACAAAUCAUUUAAAGAUGAACAUUGGACCUCAUCAUACACCAAAGAAGGCAAUUACAUAAAUUACUGACAGUGAAAAUCCUUCCAGCAUAAUCAUAAUUUAAAACCUAGAGUUUUCUGAUUUUCUCAUUCACUCAUGAGUUACUGAGUCACCUCACUUAUUUCUCCCAUCAAUUACAGAUAAUUAUCUAAUAGCACAAGAACAGAUACAGCACAGUGAUCUAUUCAAAUUCAUUUCUUCAGUUCAGAUCUAUCAUCUGCAGUACUGUGAAAGAUCAGUUCGGGUAAGUGAAAUAAAUUCAGAAAUAGAAAGAGGUCAAGAGUACAUUAAAAAUUGUCACGAUUUGUAAGCUUCCCAAGAUUAGGGGAACCAUCUAAAUGGAAAUCAUACGGCUAACUGCUGGAGUAGAUAUCUAGACUAAUGGAAGAACAAAUACUCACAUUAAUCAAUUCUUUACGAGCAUCCUGCAGCUCAUCAUUACUUUUACGUUCUCUUAUGAUUAGAGUCUGGUUCAAUGCUUCCAGAUCAUCAAGUUCUCCUUCCUUUUCUCUCAAAUCUUUAAGCACAGUUUCCAUCUUUUGCAGAACCUCUAUAUCACCGUCAUCUCCCAUAUGCUUCAUCACAUUUAAUGAGCCCUUCAGUCGCUCGAUUUCCAGUGCCAGUGCUUGUUUUGCAUCCAGUUGUUUUUCCAGUUGAAUUAUUCUGUUAUGAAGGUCUUCUUUCUGCUUCUGUAUGAGAUUAAAAGUUGCAAUGAUAGUCAUCUAUUGUCUGGCUUUGAGUAAUUGAUAUGCAUGAAUUGUGGUUACAACCAGAGCAUUUAAGGAAGACAAACCUUCUGAUCUUCGGCUAGCUUCCUAACAUUUUCAUCAGCCUUCUGUUGUACCAAUGAAGCCAAUUGAAGCGAAUUGUUUCUCAUGGCAUUCUAGAAGAGAAUAAAAUUUGUUUACAACCACACCUUUUAGCUUUUUCCGACAUGACAUAUAAGACCAAAAAACAAAUACUCAAAGUAACAGCAUCAGUACCUUUUCAAUUUCCUCGGCCAGAAUUUUUCUGUCAUUUUCAUUCUGCGUCUCUCGCUUUUCCAGUUCUUCGCCACGUAACUCGAGCUCUUUUUUCUGAGACUCCAAUUGCAACUUGAGUUUUUCAUGGUCAGUAAAAAUUCUCUGAAAGUGGUCUCGUGCGCUAAGUUGUAUCUUCUUUAUCUCUUUGAAUUUAUAAAAAGAAGGGCAUAAGUGAAUGAUACCACAAUUUCAUGGUAUCAAAAAUAACAAGUACAUGUAACAUUCAAAAGAAAAGAAUCUCAUGUACUCUUCCUAAUGGUCAAAGAAGAUAUAGUGAUAACAAUAGAAUGGCUAAAAAAUUAAUUACUUAAUGUCCUAGGAUAUUCAUGAUUAUUUCUAGAUAAUUAUUAAAUUCUAUGACAACCGACCUUCAUUAUAUGACUGAAGAAGCCUAUCUUUCUCUUCCAUUAACUUCUCAACAGAGUUCGAAGUCUCAGUGAAUCUUUCCUUCAUCUCUUCCAAAUGCUUGUCUUUGACCUCAAUCAUGUUUGUCAGAUUAGAAACAAGAAGAUUCUGCUUUCGAGCUUCUUCCUCCAUCAUUUCAGAAAUGGUUUUAAGGUCUCCAAUCUUGCGCAGGUGAUCUCCAAUGAUGUUUUUUAAAUUGUAGUCAUCAGAACGGGCAACCCACGCAUAAAGACCAGAUUUUUCUUGAUUACUAGCAUACCAAUCCUUUUUUCCAUGAUGAUCUGCCUCAUAAGCUUUCUCAAAGGACAUGGCAUUAUGUAACCCUGGCCAAUCUUUGUGGAAUUCUACAACAGCGCAUCCUGAAUGGCCCCGAAAGUUCCACAGUGGAUGAACUCUUGUGGGGUUGAACCCUCUCCUAAUCAGUUCAUCCCUCAACUUGGAUCCACUUUCUCCCACAGACCGCCCGUCCUCUGCCCUUCUAGUAGGAAUAUUCACAACAAUACCUGUCCAAGGCCACACAAACUUCUCAUCAUGGCUACAACCAGUCAGAGGAUCACCCUCAUUCACAGGUUUUGAAGGACUGCCUGCGUCUCGUAGAUCUUUCUCCAAGUAUUUUGCCAGAGCUAGAUGAUUUGCCUUUUCUUUUGCACUUCUUUUAUUUGAAGUACUAUUGCCCACCCCAGAAGCAUGUUGAAGGAGAUCCUUAUAAAGGUAUUCUUGCUUUCGUUUCUUGGGACAGUAUGGACAAGUAAAAGCUUCAUCUGAGAUUUUCACACUGUGGUUUCCACUCUUUAAUUUUUUGUAAGAUUUAUCUUCGUACUUGAGCAUUUCAGAUUCACUUAUGUCUGAAUCCUCUUCUGAGCUGUGUUCCAUUGAACUUCGUGUUGAAUCUCAGACGGCACCUGAAUUACAAUAUAGUUGAGAAGUGAGUUCUGCGCACAUAGAGCCUAAGGAACCGAGAAACAAAAUGACAACAUUUUAUCCAGACAAUUUACAUUCUUUAGAUUUUAUGUUAAUGCCAUUAAAUAUAAAACACAAACUCCAUAAAGAAUUAAUAAAAUCAUUCAAUCAAGUCAUUCCCCAAGGGAGGAGAUUGAAAGCAUAAGAACAACUUACCAUAGAAUUCACUAGAAUAUACAAGGAAUUCUAAAUAACAACCAUCUAAACUGCCCUAGACAAAACUUUUUGUACUAGAGGAAAAGUAUGAAUAAAGCAAGCAAAAUUUUCCAUCAAGUGAAUAAAUUAAAUCAUCGUGAGACAAAAAUACAAAAACUUCACAGAAAUAUUCCACAUGAACAACGCAAUAUAGAAUGAUCAUUCACUGAUCCCACUACCUGCCCAGCAAAUAAAGUGAAUACAUUUUUUUUCUUAAUAAAAAGACGAAACAUUUGGGCAAUGCUUGCAAGUUGAAUAAUAGCAAUGUCAUUGUGGAAAUAACUCCAAUAAUCACAUGAAUAAUCUAAAGUUACCAAAAUAAAUAGCAAAAGGAAAAAAAAAAUCAAUAGACAUUGGACAUAGACACAUACCUGCACUGACUAAAAUUUCCUUCCUAAAUAGCGAAUUAACAAAUAACUAUAUUUACAGUGAGCUAAAUCACAAGAGAGUAAAAAAAUUUUAAAAAAUAGAAAAGUAUUUAAAAACAAAUAAACAAAACUAAUAUCCAAAUGAGUAGAUUAUAAUGUUAAAAAUAUGAAUUAGAAAAAUAAAAGCGUGCAUUUUUUUUUUAAUGGGUUUGAAGAAACUUACUAAAAUCAGCUGAAAUACGAAGAAAAACAUUAAAAAUAUAAUAAUAAAUAAUAGUAUUAAUACUGGAAUUAGCUGAAUUGCAAUGUACGAGCUGACAGUCUUCCAAAAUAACAUGAAAUUGAGUACAUUUUGACAAAAAUGCAUGAAUUUAAAACGAAUUUAGCUAAAAUAAGAGUGAGAGAGACGCUGACUUACUCAAAAUUGGAGUUGGAGUUGGAGGUUGAGCAGCUGAGGGCUGUGUAACUAGCACUGGCUUGGAGCGGUUAAAAGAUUAUGCAUUUGUGAGAUCUGAUUUGAUAGAAUUUGGUGUAAUUAGUUAUGACAAUUGACAGACAUAGAGAGAGAGGGAGAGAGAGGGAGAGAGAGCGCGAGCCACACACUCAAACACACUAGGGUGGUCUAGGGUUUUCACUGAUUCUGUUAAAGCUGCCACUGACUUCACUACUGUUUCAGUGUGUUGGAUUCUGUGAGCUGCGACUCGGUCUCCCUACCUUCAGAUGCUCGUUGCGCUCUCUCACGCGCACGCCACCAGCCUCUUCAGGUGUUUCCCCCCCCCCCCNNNNNNNNNNNNNNNNNNNNNNNNNNNNNNNNNNNNNNNNNNNNNNNNNNNNNNNNNNNNNNNNNNNNNNNNNNNNNNNNNNNNNNNNNNNNNNNNNNNNNNNNNNNNNNNNNNNNNNNNNNNNNNNNNNNNNNNNNNNNNNNNNNNNNNNNNNNNNNNNNNNNNNNNNNNNNNNNNNNNNNNNNNNNNNNNNNNNNNNNNNNNNNNNNNNNNNNNNNNNNNNNNNNNNNNNNNNNNNNNNNNNNNNNNNNNNNNNNNNNNNNNNNNNNNNNNNNNNNNNNNNNNNNNNNNNNNNNNNNNNNNNNNNNNNNNNNNNNNNNNNNNNNNNNNNNNNNNNNNNNNNNNNNNNNNNNNNNNNNNNNNNNNNNNNNNNNNNNNNNNNNNNNNNNNNNNNNNNNNNNNNNNNNNNNNNNNNNNNNNNNNNNNNNNNNNNNNNNNNNNNNNNNNNNNNNNNNNNNNUUCCCCCCCCCCCCUCUAUAUUAUUAUUAUUAUUAUUGGAAAUGUUCCAUUUAAUUGCUAUUUUUACUAUUAAAUUCAUUUAUAUUCUUUGUAAGAUGUAUUUCUAGAAUUAAAUAAGUCAAAUAGCUUAAAAUUAUGAUUUUAUUAUGGAAUAAUUAUAAUUUACGCGAAUGUUAAUCAAACUAACAUUUAACGUCUCAUUAAACAACUUUUCAUCUUUCGGAAAUUUCACUAUUUUAUAAGCAUAUAUGACUAAUUAUAUAUUUAUUUACUAAACAUUUAUUUCAUUCGUAUGGUUAUGUGACUGUAAAAAAAGAGCUCAUCUCCUUAUUUGUAUAUACUUGAGAUUGAAUUAAAUUCUUUUCUAAGUGUUAUAUCUCUUAUUUGCUUUUUUUUUUUAUAUAUAUAUAUUUCUCUUGCUAUAUUGUUGUGCUCUUAAUUGAUAAAAAUUUAACAGAUUUAAUUGAUUUAAAAAGUUUAAUAUUCAUGUUUAAAUAUUAUAAUAAAAAUAAUAUUGAUUCAUGUGCAUGACAAAAUUCUUGAAAUUAUUAAAAGACCCAAACACCUUGAGUUUUACUUGAAAAUAAAUAUGAUAAUGAAGUAAAAUUUCACCUCACUUUUUUGAGAAGGUGUGAUAUGAAAAAAAAUAGAAAUACACACCUAAAUAAAUAUAUGUAAUUUUUUAUUAAACACAAAAUAUUUAAAAUUUUAUUUUAUGUUUAAGUAUUUUAAUAAUAUUUUGGUCACUUAUUGUCUUGAUUCAAAUGAUAUGUUUCAGUUUCUCUUUGAAUUAGUGCCUAUCUAGAACUUAUCUAAUGGUAUAAGUAUUUAUUUAAUUCUAUAAGUUCUUUUUAAAAUUUUAAUCGUUGUUUGGUUGUCUUUUGAGUAAAGUUUUUAAAAAUUAAAUAAAUUAUUUUUUCUCAACUAGGAAAAGUUUAAAUUUUUAACUUUUAUCUAAAAUAUAUUUUACAAUUUUAUUCUUUGACUUAUUUAAUAAAUUUAUUUCAUUUUUUAAUGGUAUAACUUUAAAAAACUUACUUAUUCAAAUAAUUUAAUAACUUUUAAUAAAAGUUCCUCUUAUCAAUCUAACAAUUAAAAUUAUUGUUGAUGAUAUCCCACUUAUAAAACUCCAAUGACAAAAAUUUUAAUUAAAUAAACUAUAUUUAAAAAGUUUUAUAAAAAGGAGUCUUAAAUGAUAGGCUCAAUAAUUUGUUUCCAAAAUAGCUAAGCUUGGGCACGCGCUGGAGGAACUGAGUUAAUAUCGAGCCGUGGUAAAUAGUAAAUAGAUUCUCUUCUGCAAGACUGCAACAACAGCCAACAUGCAGAAGCAACAACAGUAUCGUAGUUUGUGUUCUCUAUCUCUGUGUUUUGACUUUUGACCAAAACAAGUUCUCAGGUUAUGGGCCGGCGACGAGCUUCGUGUCGUUGGGCUAAAAAUGGGUUAGCCUUGAGUUUUAAGUGAAUGGACCGUCGACCAUUGGACCCACCAAUAUGCACCAAUCCAGUUCAGCAAGCAGCCACCAAAAUAUCCAAACCCGGAGAGAAAUGGCAUCCUUUCCCCGAUCCGGGCGUGCUUCUUCAACUUACCAAACAGAACUCAUCAUCUCAUUCUCCGUUCCUCGCUGAUUCGUUCAUUCACAACUGAAACUGAGGUCGACUUGAAUCACCUUCACUUCAUCAUCUCACAAAUUACAACGUGUAAGUAUUAUUUAUUCGUAAAGGAAAAAAAAAGCAGAUAGCGAAAAGAAAGAAAAAAGAAUGUUUCCGCAAUUUGCCGGCACAUCAGAGACACUGAGCAAGGCGGCGUCGUCACUAGUUUUCCGAAUUGGUACGGAUGCUCACCUCUACGACGAUCCUGAAGACGUAAACAUCGGUGCAUUACUGGAGAGCCGAUUCGAUUCCGAAAAGUGCGAGGCUCUUAAGCGACUUCUCGCGCUCAUUGCUCAAGGCUUCGAUGUCUCCAAUUUCUUCCCUCAGGUUUGACUCCAUUGACUAUUUGAUUUGGUUUCAUUCAUAUUAUGUGUUGUUCUGUGACCCUGCCACUGCUUGCUUUUAUUUCAUAAUUCGAAUUACUUGCAAAUUACAGGUGGUUAAGAAUGUUGCAUCUCAGUCCUUGGAAGUAAAGAAGCUGGUUUACUUGUACCUCUUGCAUUAUGCUGAAAAGUAUGUUCUUUUGUAGUAUUCAUGCUGAUUCUUUUUUGUUCAGUUUGAUGUAAUGAUGUAAAAUUGUGUAGCUUUUUCAGAUGAUUCACUUGAAUUGCAUUUGUGUUCUCUUGAUUAUCUAGGCGCCCCAAUGAAGCUUUGUUAUCGAUCAAUUGCUUUCAGAAAGAUUUGGGGGAUCCCAAUCCAUUGGUGAGAGCAUGGGCUCUGCGUGCCAUGGCAGGAAUCCGUCUACAUGUAAUUUCACCUCUUGUUCUUGUGGCUGUGGGAAAGUGUGCUAGAGAUCCAUCCGUUUUUGUUAGAAAAUGUGCCGCCAAUGCUCUUCCAAAGUUGCAUGAACUACGACAAGAGGAAAUUACUUCUGCUAUUGAAGAGGUCUGGCGAAUAUCCAUUUGUUUAACUUUAGAGCAAUUCUAGGCAUCCCAACAUUUAAGUCUUAAUUUGAGCCGCAACUGAUGUGACAUUCAUCCAUCGAAUGGUGGUUAGGUACUUUUAUAAGUUGUGAAAUCCAUCAUUUAAUAGAUGAGGAGAACAUAGCGUUGGGACUCAAAUUUUGAGAUCCUUAACAUUAUUGUUUGUUAACUUCAACAUAGAAAAUGUUUCUUUUUAUUUAUUUAUUUUAAUUAAUCAGCAGUAUAUAUUUUAUUAAAAAGGAUGCUUCAUACUUGCUAGUUGCUGUGUCAUUCAUAAGUGGCAAUGUUUUAGAACCGGUAUAGCAUAUUCAAGAUUAUACAAUUAUGUAUACCUGAAUUGUUAAUAUUGAUUCGCUUGAUAAACAUAAAAUGCAUUAUCUUAUGCAGAUAGUGGGGAUUUUGCUAAAUGAUCGUUCCCCUGGAGUAGUUGGAGCUGCUGCUGCUGCAUUUGCUUCAAUUUGUCCAAAUAACUUUACAUUGAUUGGGAGAAAUUAUAGAAACUUAUGCCAAAUUCUUCCUGAUGUGGAAGAGUGGGGUCAGAUACUCUUGAUCGAGAUUCUUCUUCGUUAUGUAGUUGCCAGUCAUGGGCUUGUAAAAGAAUCAAUUAUGUCUUCUUUGCUUUGUAUAGAGAGUUCCCACUCCGAAAAGGAUGUUUUUGAUGUCAACGUUGCACUCGAAGACAAUGGGAUCCCAAGUAGGACAUACGACUCUGAAUUAGUAAAUUUGGUCUCAAGGUCUUAUAUUGAAGGGUUAGGUGAAUACUUAACAAGGUCAAGUGACACCAAUGCACGUUCGUCUGAUUUAAAUGGUGCUCGAUUUACAUCUGGCAAGACUAAUGACGAUGUGAAGCUCCUACUUCAGUGCACAUCCCCAUUGCUAUGGAGUCACAAUAGUGCAGUGGUACUUGCUGCAGCUGGUGUACACUGGAUUAUGUCUCCAAAGGAGGAUGUCAAGAGAAUUGUUAAACCACUAUUGUUCAUUUUGAGAUCAUCUGGUGCUUCAAAAUAUGUGGUAUUUCCUUUAUUUAUUUAUUUAUUUUUUAUAUAUAACUUGUAUUCCCUAUCUUCUGGUGCAUACUUUGGUAUGCGCAUAUGCAUUAUUUAUAACUCUCUAUUGAGGAGACCUUGUAAUGUUCCGUUUUAGUGAAUUUAUGUAAAUCAAAGUUUCAAGAGAUUAGUUUUUGAGCUCCUAACACUAGAGUACAAGAAAUCCUAUUAGUUUUUGAGCUCCUAACAUUAGAGUACAAGAAAUCCUUAAGAUAUUUUGGUUCUUUUAAACAUCAGAAUGUGCGGUUCUUAAACUAUUUCCCAAAAAUCACAUUUGAAAAAAGAAUUUAAGUGGAUUUCUUUCUAAGCUGGAUACACAAAUGCCAUAAAUGUCUAUCAGCAUGUAGUAUUUUGAUAUGGUUUUGAUUUUUGAGUGUUGUUAUACCCAGUUCUGCUUUUUGUUAUGUUACUGUGUCAAAAUUUUAGAUGAUGUGUGUGAUAUUGGGGAAUGUCCUUUGAAGGUUCACAUGAAACUAAAAAAUUCUGUGAUUCUUGUAUAUGUGGCAAUCCAUUCUGCAUUUUCCAGCGCUAAAUUUUGGAUAUUGGUCAAUCUGCUGAGGAUUUGCCAUAUUUUCAGUAUAUAUUUGGUAACUGGUAAGGAUGAUUGUGACUUUUGAUCGCUGCAGGUUCUUUGCAACAUUCAAGUGUUUGCUAAAGCACUGCCUCAUCUCUUUGUGCCACAUUAUGAAGACUUUUUCGUAUCUUCUUCAGACUCAUAUCAAUCUAAAGCUUUGAAGCUUGAGAUACUGUCUUCUAUUGUUACAGAGUCAUCCAUUUCAUCUGUUUUUAAAGAGUUUCAGGUAGUAUUUUCUGUUUUCAUGGUUUUCUUUCUCAUUACUUUAAAAAGUUGGCUGCCUUAUGUAUGGAUUUCUUCAUUCUGGGAACUUUUGGAUACGUACAUACAUACAUGUGAAUGUCUUUAUGCUUAUACAUCUGUUUUGUGUUUGUUGAUCAACUCCUAGACUUGUCUUUAUGUACUUACAUACACACUUACUUGCACUGAGAGUAUGCAUGCAUGCACACAUAAGAUUUACAUGUUUCAAGUGCUUGGAUUCAUGCUUAUCUUAAUAGUGUGUUGGUAGGAUUAUAUUAGAGAUCCAGACAGGAGAUUUGCUGCAGAUACUGUUGCUGCCAUAGGUUUAUGUGCACGAAAGCUUCCGAAAAUGGCUAACACGUGUGUAGAAGGGCUGUUAGCCCUGAUUAGACAAGGUCUGUCAUAACUGACUUGUUCUGUAUUGAUCUAUUCUGGUUUUGUUUGCUUAUUUUCCUGAGAAGGCUCAAAAUUGCAGAAUUGCUUACUAGUGAUAUUGAAUCUGGGAAUGGAGAAGCUGAUGUUUUGAUUCAAUCAAUAAUUUCCAUUAAAUCAAUUAUUAAGCAAGAUCCAUCCUGUCAUGAGAAGGUAUCUUCUCUUUUACUCUAUCUGUUAAGCUGCUGCUAUACAUUUCCAGUUGGCUUUUUUAUGCUUAUAAUACCUGAAUCCUAGAAAUGCUUUAGAAAGGGUAGAAGUAGAAUAAAAAAUUUGGCUUUCACAUUAUCUUAAAAAAGAUAUAUUUUUCCUUGUUCUAUAUUCUGGUGCUGCUUGUGUAUCUUCGCUUUGUGUUGCAGAUAAGUGAUCUCCUUUUAUUUUGAAGGUUAUAAUUCAGUUGUUUCGUAGUUUGGAUUCAAUCAAGGUGCCUGAAGCACGUGUGAUGAUUAUUUGGAUGGUGGGAGAGUACAGUUCUGUAGGAGUGAAAAUUCCAAGGAUGCUGACCACUGUACUCAAGUAUCUAGCUUGGUGCUUCAAAUCAGAGGCAGUUGAAACAAAGCUUCAGAUUCUCAAUACCACCAUUAAGGUACUCUUAAGAACCUGGCAUUUGAUUAUACUAGAAAAGUGUUUCAGGUCUUCUCAUUGUUCCACGUUCCCAAAUUACCCUUAUUUUUUGAUUUUAGUGACGGUUUCAAUCAUUUGGUUAUAAUUCGUACUUAUUAUUAAAGUCAGUUUGUAGUGUAAAAAAAUCAAUUGAUUCUCUUUUUCUCUGCAGUGCCCGUGCUUUCAUAUUUAGUCCAUUCCCACAUGUACUGUGCUUAAAUGUUGGUCUCCACCUCUGCUUUAUUGGGUAAAAGUUCUGCAGUAUAUUGUAUUUUUCUGAUCUCUGAGAACUGAAGUGCUCCUGGCUUGUGAGAGCUACUGCGGGUAGCAAAAAUUGUCUUUUUUUUAUCAAUUGUAAGGUUCAAUGCUUGAAUGGAGUAUUGACUAGAAAAAUACAAUUGGCUUCUGAGAUCAGAAUACCUCAUAAGAUGUUAAUUCAGGAUGUUUCUUUGAGAGUGCAUCUUUUGCUGUUUCCUUCUGAUGCUGAAGCGAAAUCAUGGCUUUAUUCUUUCUUUUCUAACAGGUCCUAUUAUGUGCAAAAGGUGGAGAUAUGUGGACAAUUACAAGACUUUUCAGCUAUCUGCUUGAACUGGCUGAAUGUGAUCUGAACUAUGAUGUUCGUGACCGAGCACGUUUCUUUAAGAAACUUUUUUCACAUAAUUUAUGUUCUCAAGUGCCAGAGGAAACAAAUGCUCUACAAGAAAAUAAGGACCUGCCUCAUGUACUCGUGGAAUGCAUUUUUAGGAAACAAGCAAACCUAGCAGCUUCUGAACCUAUCAAUGACAGGUUUUAUCUUCCUGGAUCUCUUUCGCAAAUAGUUCUUCAUGCAGCUCCGGGAUAUGAACCUCUUCCAAAACCCUGUAGUUCGCUGUGUGAUGACCUCGGUCAGUUCUCAAACUCGAUUGACAGGACAACUGCAUUAGGGGAGGAAUGGACUGGCAGUAGCUCUAAUGGAACUGAUGAUCCUGACACAUCUGGAUCUUUGGAUGGGGAAAGUGGUUCAAACUAUGAUUCUCAGCAAUCUAUCCCUGGCUUAAGUGACAACAGUGGUACUGGUGAUUCUGCAAGUGAAGGUGAUAGAAAUUGUGAUCCACUGAUUCAAAUUUCAGAUGCUGGAAUUGCUUGUAGCAAUGAGAAUGGAGCCUCUCAUUCUGGCUUUCCUGAUCUGGAGGGAAUGAUGUCAAAGAGGGCUCUUGAGUCAUGGUUGGAUGAGCAACCUGGUUCAUCAAGCCCGAGUGCAUCUGAACAAAUUCAAGUCCGUCAGUCUUCAGCAAGAAUUUCUAUCGGGAAUAUUGGACGUCAAGUUAAAGCUAAAAGCUAUACACUCUUGGAUCCUGCAAAUGGAAAUGGCUUGAAGGUGUAUUAUUCAUUUUCAUCUGAAGCUUCAACCAUAUCUCCUCAACUUGUAUGUCUAGAAACUUUCUUUGAGAACUGCUCUUCAGAAACCAUGUCAGAAGUAACUUUGGUGGAUGAAGAGUCUCACAAAGCCUUAGAUUUAGCUGACCUAACAUUGGCUACGACUGCAAGGUGAUUUUCCUUUUUUUUUAAUAUAUUUAAACGGUUCAAUAUUGGUGAAAUUUUGGUCUAAUUGUUGAAGGGCACUGUUUUGUGAAGUUUUAGUAUCUAGGUCCCAUGGAUAUUUUUGGUGCCAUUUCUCAUGUGCAAGUGGCAUCAAAUCUAAUGUCACACCCUUUGGCUGGGAUUUCCAGAGUCCAGUCCUGGAAAAUGUAUGGACAUCGUGACAAUCUGAGCAUGUCUUUCUAGUUUGUUUGUAGUUUGAGAUGAGUGAAAAAGAUCUUGCUUUGUUGUUCAUGGUAGACAUUUAGAUGCUCAUUUGGCUUUCCAAUGGAUGUGUUAGAGUUCUGAGAUUAGCUGUAAUUUUGAGCACAUCCAUCUUCAAAGUAGUAUUUUAUAUUUUAAGUGACACAACGAACUUAAGUGACACAACAAACUCUUAUAUUUGAGGGGAUCUACUUGACUGAAUUUAAGUGACACAACGAACUUCAGUUUCGGGACCAUUGGUUGGUAUCUUAUAUUUCAAUUAUGAUGCUGCAUGACAAUGGUAGUUGUUGUGUCAACCUUUAGAAGAAUAUUUGAUGUUGUAUUUUGUACACUUUACAGGUCAUGGUCCAUGUUUUGCUAAUAUAGUCUGCAAACCUGCUUGGUUUUCUGUUCAACAUAGGUAGAUUUUCACGUUAGCGUUUCCUUCGGGAUGCUGUGUCUUUGCUGUGUUUCUUUGGUCUUAAUUACUUUUACAAGGAUUUUGCUUCUUACCUCUUUGAACACUAAUUUUCCUGACUCCUCUGGAUACUGCAGCUCCUUGACACCUCAGAGCGAUUUGCCAACAUUAGUUCCCAUGGAGGAGAUUACAUCUCUGGAACCUGGGCAGACGUUGAAAAGGAUACUUGAGGUUCGCUUCCAUCACCAUCUACUGCCUCUAAAGCUGGCCCUACAUUGUAAUGGCAAGAAGCUUCCUGUUAAGUUGCGGCCUGACAUUGGAUAUUUCAUAAAACCCCUUCCAAUGGACAUGGAAACCUUCAUAGCAAUGGAAUCCCGUCUACCAGGAAUGUUCGAGUAUGCAAGGAGGUGGUCUCUUGUUUAUUGAACUCAAUGUUAUUUUUCUUAGCCUGAAAAUAAUUUUUCUUAGCGUUUUAUUUCCUGCAUGAAUCCUGUUGUCCUUGGUAUCAUUUGUCAUGUUUUGAUAUGCUUGACUAGAUUUCUUGUAAUUGUACAGCUGCACCUUCACUGACCACCUUGGGGAGGUAGAUAAGGACACGGAUGAGAGUUUGUUACUGAAAGACAAAUAUCUUGUAAUAUGUGAAAGCCUAGCAUCAAAGAUGCUAAGCAAUGCAAAUAUUUUUCUUGUAUCUGUGGAUAUGCCGGUUGCUGCCAAGUUUGACGAUGCAUCAGGUUUGUCCUUGCGGUUCAGCAGUGAGAUCUUGGGCAACUCCGUUCCUUGCUUAAUCACCAUUACCGUUGAAGGAAAAUGCUCCGAACCAUUGAAGGUCUCUGCCAAAGUCAAUUGUGAAGAAACUGUAUUCGGCUUAAAUCUAUUAAACAGAAUUGUGAAUUUCUUAGUCGAAUCCUCUUUGAACACCUAGUCGUUAAUAGGAGUGAAAACGAAUACUGGUAAUUAUUUUGUCGCAUUUUAUAAUUUCGUUGGUUAAUUUAUGGCGGUUGUUCUGAAUUUUCCGGUUGUUUCUUAUAUUGUAUGGUGCACAGCACGGCAGCAGAACAAUAUCGACUCUCUACUUUUUCUCGGGUGGUGUUAUUUAUUUUUGGUGUUCUUUUUAUUUUAUUUAUAAUUAAAUGACUUGCAUGUGAUUAUAUUAUGUCUAGUUUCUUUUUCUUACUGGUUUUCCGAUGUCUAUGCUACUCGGUAUUAUUUGUCUAAACUCCUCUAUCAAUCGAAUAAUAAUAUAACCCAAAUAGAACACAUCCAUGUUACAAAGUCGUGGAAAUUAUGACAACACAAAGGUUGUGAAACCAAACUGUUUUUCCUUUACAAAAGUGCUGUCACCAAAAGACGAUUGUUAUUUGUUCUGGUGUUCUCUUACCGUCAUUUCAAAGGGCAGCAGAUAGCGGAACUCAGAUUCAUAAGGUUGAGUUUCCACCAUUUUUGAUACAGGAGUUUUCAUUUCUCCUUCUCGGCACUCCAUAAUCAAUCUUUUCAGUGAUCCAGAACGCGGCAAUUGGCUGUAAAUCCAUUCCAGAAGUGAUUCCAUGUCGUCUGAAAAGUCUUUCAUGUGCCACUUCAGGAGCUUUGGUACCAAAAUCUUUCUCUUGCUUGUGACUCCCACUGAAGCUUCCAAGUAUUCCACUUUCGCUCUUUCCAAUUCAUUCGCUACUUCACGUGGAGUAUAGACUCUUAACUGCAUUUCAGACAAUCUCAUUUAAUUCAAAACUCCUUUCCAUUACAACACUUGCAAUACACUCCUAGUGCGUUGGUACAAGGGGUACAAAUACUUACGGCUGGAGAAGACCAGCUGCCUCUGCAAAGUGCGAAUGUGAUGUUGGGUUCUGGAUAGCCCAGUCCAUAUGCAUGCCAUAGGAGCAUUUCCUUCUGGUAUGAAGGAUCCUGUAAACAAGAACAGAAUUGAGCAGCUAAUUUAAAAGAAGCUUGUAGAGUAAAAUGUUGGGCAGGAAGAAUUAAUGCAUAAAUUAGAAAGUAGCCGACAACUGUCUUAACUUACAGAUGCAAAGUUGCUUGGAUGCCGGAGAAUAAAAUGCUCAAUCCCCAGAGCGUUCAAUACUAUGCCACCCACGUUCAGCGCAGCCUGGACCAAAAUAAUUUCGUGGUCAUCAGCAAAGUGAACUGGAAUUAAACCUCGUUGAUGAUCGAUCAAUUGAGAGAGCAAUGGUCUACCUUGUUCAUAAGAGCCAGCUGUUUAUCCUGUGUCGAAGGCAACCCGUGUUCUAGAAAUGCCUGGAAUUUGAUAAAAAGUAGAGAGCUGUUAAGUUUCUUCAUGUAAUUGUUAUCUGAUUCUGCUUAAUAAUGAAGCUUCAAGAUGUUUUAUAUUACAUGCAUUAUGCAGGCAUUGUAUAUGUUGAUCCAGAAUGCCAGUUUCUGCUUAUAAGUCAAGAAUGUCAGGUCCACAUCAGAUAGUUGAUCCAUCAAAACCCUGCAACAUAAAAUAAAUAGAAGAAAAUACAAAGAUGAAUCCUUUCGGUCAUAAAUGUUUUAAGUGACAAUAUAUUGUUUGUUUAAAGAACCAGGAAUCAACCUCAAUUUUCUCAGCGCCGGCUUACAUUCCGUGAAACGAUUGAUAUCCAAUGAGCUUCUUGUGAUCUGAAUUAGAUUCUUGUAUGGCCCUAUGUCUCUUAUUCUGCCAUCUAAAUCUGGCAAUAUCCCAUAAGGAUCAAGCUUUGAUGCGUUUUGGUUGAUAGCAAAGCCUUUAGAGUUGAUGCAGGAGAGACCAAGCUUUGGAACAACGGCUGAUCCUUCUCUAUCAUGUGAUGCUUGGUUUAUGUCUAGAAAUAUUCCUAUCAAGCAUUUGAUCAGUUCUUCUGAUAGCACAUUUGGUUUCUCACUGCUGGUUUCUUUGUCAACACGACAAUGUUUUGGGAUUCUACAGGUUUGCUUCCUUGGCUUUUCAUAAAACUCUUCUGUUAAGAACAACCAAAACCACAGAACAAAACAAAACAAAGCAAAAUUAUGUUACAAUUUUUUCCCCCUGAUUCUUCUGUUCGAAGCAGCUUAGAAAAAAGCCUACCAGAAGAAGCUGCAGGGGUGAAGCUAAGGAGCUCUGAAGCAGAACCUGCAGAAGCUCUUCGAAAACUCUUCUUUCUUUCUCUUCUGAAUUCUUCAUAAUGUUGUGAUCUAGUUCUAACUUGGAGAUCCUUAGUGAGGCCUGAAGGACUUGCCUGUCCACGUAGCAAGUGAUUUGCUCGUGGCAAUCUACUCUGGUGCUUCAUUUUCCUUUCCUUGGUUAGUUUCUUUUCAUGAUACAGUCCCAUUUUCAGCUCUUCAACUUUUCUCUCUAGCCAAAUUAUCUCUUCCUCCACCAUUGCCAUUUCAGCAAGAAGCGCCUGAACCUGCAUUUGCAAUUCCGCCUAGUCUUUGUAAUCUCCAUUGAAUUGACACUAAACCUUUGAAAGUGUUGUUACCUGCGGUGGAAGCAAUGAGGAAAGACAAGGAUGUGACAUGACAGGCCCAUGAAGUGCACAUUGCAAAACUUUAUUGAGUGUCACUUCACCAUCUAAUUCUGCUUGCAAAUUCUCAACCUAUAUUGACAUAGAGUAUGUGCACUCACUCAUUAGUAAACUCAACUAUAUAUAUAUAUGUAUAUGUAUAUGUAUAUAUAUAUAUAUAUCAUAACUCAAAAACAACCCAGGUAAAAAAAAUGGCCGAUAAUUUUCAUUUCUCACCUGCUCCUCAAGUUCAAGCCUUUUCUGCUUCUCAUCUUUCUUUUCAAUCAAGAAGUCUUCAAAUUUCGUCAUUCACACAAAUUAAAGAGAAAAGAAACCCAAAACGGAAGCCGAAGGAAAGACAAAAACUGAAUUUUUUUUCAGACCCUUUCCCCCUAAUUCGAAUAAGGAAAAAAUUUAAUAAAGAAAACAAAUACGCUUAAAGAGGGGACCAAAUACAAAUAGGGACUCUUAUCUAACCAAAAAAAAAAAACGGGGCAAAGAUCAAAACUCUCUUAGAAUAACAACAUCAUAUCCUUAUUUCAUAAAAAUCAAAACCUCUCACUCACUUCAGCUGAACUCAGUGGUCAAUGCCGCCUAAUUCAUCAGAAACCAAAUUUACUGCUAAAAAAUUAAAUUAAGCAUGAAGUUGGGACAUGGUAAUAGCAGAUACCAAGUAUAAUAAAGUGGGGAGAUGGUCGUUUGUAGGAAAGGAAUGAAAGAUCGUGGGUGGUAUUAGAAGUGCAUGCAUAUAUGUAUUUUGUAAGAGUCACAUGCAUGCAUGACUAUGAGCUUCACAUAUAACAGAAUUAAACUUGCGGUGGAAGGAAGGAAUUGAGAAAAUGAGAGCUGUAAAUGAAAUUUAAGUUGGAGUUAGUGCAGGGCCAUCACAUGAACCCUGCUCUGGAGGUGGUGGUGACGUGAACCCCAUGAACAGUUAUAAAACGUCCAAUUUGUUUAUUAAUUUUGGAUGCCUUUUCAUUUUUAAUAAAAUUUAAUAAAUGACCAACAAUUUUUGUUUCCAUUUUAAUUUUUGUGGAUAGCCACAGACUUUCUCAUAGCCGGAUUCAAUCUUCAUUUUUUUUUUUUUUUCAAAUUCUGGCAGACUUUCAUUUACAUCAAAUCAAACGAAGCAAAUCAGAAUCCGACAUCCGCUGUCUUUCUGUGGUUAAAUCUAGAAGCCUCCCUCUACCAGGCACCACCUGAGUUUCGACGGGGCAACAGAGCAUGAGCAGCGUUUCAGAAUCGAUAAUUUAAUAAUCCCUAAUGUCCAUUUUGGACCAUUUCUAAUUAAAAUUUAAACACACACUCGAGGAAAAAAAAAUUAUAUAUAUAUGAAAAAGCCUUGGCGAUGACAAGAUUAUCAUAGGUGAUUUUAUAUCAUUGGUUUAACAGUUCCCAACGUAAGGUGAGUUUAUACAGGGAGGGACACAUCAUAUAUGCAAUCACAAAAAAGGUUCAUUGCACAUUAUACAAGCAAAUGCAUUUCAGUUUUCUUGACAUAGAUCAUAGAUGAUAUAGGCACGUAAGAGAUUCAGGGAUCUCUGCAUAAAAUUGCUAACUUUAUUGAUUUUAGAUCAACAACAGAAGAGUUGCAUAGCAUUCUUCAGAUUCACAACUAAUUCAAGCAUCUGAACUUGUAGAGAAGUUAAGAGAGCUAAAAAUCACUUUCCUUCCAUCCUCCAAAGUCUCUGUCAGUUUCCACCUCGACCUGUUCGAGGAAACAACAACAUAUGAACCCACAAGAGAGCAAAGGAAGAAGAAAAAUUAAGAACCCUACCAAAUAAAUAUCCGUCACUUUAGCUCAAUUUUCCAAGGUGUGUUAUGCACUAAAAAUAACCACCUUUUUGAGAAUUCAGCACAAUUGAUCUCAUGUCAAAUCAAAUAACCACCUUUUUGAGAAUUCAGCACAAUUGAUCUCAUGUCAAAUCGGCAUGCAAUAUUCGUAUGGCCAUAUUGUAAGCUACACAAAUGGAUAUGGUAUACGUUGAUGCAUCAUGCAUGCCUUGUCCAACAUCUUGAAAGAGAUGGAUCAUGAAAAUGUUAAAGGUACCUUGUGGGUCAUACUCAGACCAACUUGAAUCUCUCCAAAGUAAGUUCCAUCAGCUUGAACUACACUAUAUUUGCGAGAAUGUAGUUCAGCAGUUCCAUUCUCCAUUCCUUGUGCCAAAAGAUCCUCCACAUAGAUUCUAGAAGCGGAAAAUCAAUGUACCACCACUAUUUAGUCACAUCAUAAGAGAGAUAUUGGAUUGUUUGGCAAUGUAUAUAUUCUCAACAAUAUAAGUACUAUGAUUGUUUUUGUGACAGGAAGUCUCAUAAAUAGGACUGUGAAGAAGCCUUUCAUUGAACAUUAUGGUGGCUUUUAUUAGUGUGGUUUCACGAAAAUCAAUUUUACUUCAAAUAUAUUGACAAAGACAUAUUGGUGAGGUCUGAUGAACCUUACCAAUAGUUUAGUUAAAAGUAGUUAUCCUCACCAAUGAGUAGUGUAUAGAUCAUUCAAGUGGCGUGAUACUUAGUUAUCUAUCUCAUCUUCGGGAAGGAUUUAGAAUGAUUUUUGGAUAAACUAUUAAGUUGACAUAUGUAAAGCAAAUUUAGGUAAUCCUAAAGGACCAAAUGAUAGAUGGAUAACUAUGUAAUCCAACACAAAGAGUUUGCCUUCAGUUGUGACACGCAAAAACAUCUAGAGGUCAAACAGAGCUAUGUGAUCCUCUCAAAUCAGUUUCUGUUCAGCUAUAUUUUACCUUUUGCUUGGCAUUACUCAGCUAAAUAGUUGGUUCUUCUUGUUAUUGGAAUUAGUUAGCAGACAUAUUUGUUGAAAAAAGGGAUUUAGUGCACAUGUCCACGGGAAAGAUGCCAUUUCAUCAAAACCCAAGACAGAUAUCAGUAUCAACACCAUAUAGGAAACCUCCAUGUUAUAUAUCCAGGAGGUGAAUAAAGCAAGUAGAUUAACACAAAUGAAAUUUUGCAGUGACUGUAAGUUGAACAUUCUCUUUGGGUAGUGAAAUUAUGUACAAAGAAAGAAAAGAACAUACCCAAGCUCAAAACUUUGGACUUAUUUAUUCAUUUUUUGUUCCAAAAAAAAAUAUAUAUAUAGUGAUUUUAAGACUGAUAGUAACAUGGACUUACGUGGCUUCACCAAGGAAGUCAUCCUUAGUAAAGGUAUCCUUGUCCAUGAUUUUGAGAAUGAGCUUGUACUGGCCACCAGACCCUGGAUACUCCACCCUGAAGGUGAAUCUUUCAUUCCAUGUCCAACUCCCACCACGACCUACAUUAUUUGUCAAUAUGCCUUAUAGACGAAGUUCACACUGAACUAGAGCCACUAUGCAAUCCUCAACUCUUCUUUUCCAACACAAGUAAAUCCAUUUGCAGUUAUGUUGCGCACAGUCAUAUUGAAUUGACACCAAGUAAAUUAUAAACAUAAAACAAAAAGCACAUGAAAAGCAGUUUUGGAUAUCUAUAAGUGCUUUUGACAGAACCCCGUGUCAAAACCCCCAUCCAAAAAAGAAAAAAAUCCUGAGAAUAGAUGUAGGGUAAUGGUGUGAAUUGAACUAACCUUGAGCCACGCUGCUUGUGCGCUCUUGGGUUUUGUAUUGUAUUAUAACAUAGGGAUCAAUAUCACCUACCAGCACAGAUCACAAGCAAAUCAUAUCCCAAAAAAAAAAAAAAAAAACUUUAGUUCACAUAUUAUAUUUUGUUGUAACAGACAACAAAAACAUUAUAUUCAAUGACUUGACUGGUAAAAUUACAAUGGAAUGGCAUCACAUCAUCAAUAAUGAGUUUUGAAGUACUCUCACUCACUCCAUGAACAUAAGUACAUAACUAUAUCAGCUGAAAUUAAUAGGCAAUUUUUCACAAAGACAGCACUUUUAAUAAAUAAAAAUAAAAUAAAUCAAACCUUUUGCAUCAGAAGAGACAAGCAAGAAGUAAAUUACCUAAGAAAUCGGUGUUGGCAAGACCUUUAGCACUCUCAAGAAGUACUUCCAACAACCCAAUAGCCAUCUUCUUCCUCAGCUAAGCCAAAGCUUUCACUUUUCACUUUUCAAAAUGAGAGAGACAGACAGACAGACAGACAGAUGCUUUUUGGCCUUUGAAAUUCAAAUCAAAGGAAGGAAGAGUCUUCCGACUCUCUUCUCUGUCUUGGCUUGAAUCAAUCAACGGUAUUACAUUCACAUUUACCUGCCGUGGUGGGUUGAAUCUGAUGAUCCAACCACCAAUGACCUCUACUCAGUCAAUAUUAUUCUUUAUUCACUAAUUAUUAUACUAAUACGAAUGAACAGCGAAAGAUCACCUUAUUUGCCAACUCAAAUUCGUGCGUUAAUUCCUCAUACAUAAAUAAAUACAUAAAUGUGGUACAUUAUAUAAUCAAUAAACUCAUUAUCAUUUAAUCCUUCCCUCCACCGUUAGUAAACGUAACAUAUGUAAUAUAUAGUGGCCUCAUUCGGCUUCACGCCAUAUUGGCUUCUUCCUAUACAUAUAUUUGACUUUGAGAAUGGCUUCUUCCUUCUUAUAUUCAUAAUAUUAUGCCGCGUUUGACGUUUUACUGUAUUAUAUUAAUAUUGUUGUUUUUAAAAGUUUAUAUGAUUAUAUAUCAUUAUUAAUUAUAAAAAUUAAUUUUUUAUUAAUUAAAAAUAUAUAAAUAUAAUAUAUGUUAUUUACUAUAAUAAUAAUUAGAAUAUAAUGAAAAUAUAUUUAAUGCCUGAGACAAAAGUCGGAACAUAACACAAAUCCAAGGUCACCUCAAGUUCGUGCAAUGCAACAAAAUAGCGUAUUAAAUUGACGAAUAUAGGUCGGUAAUAAAUUAAUGCGAUGCCAUACUCCGAGCACACACACCCUAAUUAGCUAUUUUCUCCCCUGAUCGACCAAUUGCUCAUAUUUGAAGGUUAGAGAUACGGAUACCCGAUGUGUGGCUUCAACCAUAAAGAGAUUGAACAAGCCUUUGGAUGAUUGGAUCUCUCAUUUUUUCUGGACUGAUUCGCCGGUCCUGCCAUUGCCGAAGCCAAGUGCGGUAAACAAAUCACUGAAAACAGAGCAAUGCUCUUUCUAAAACGUGCAAUAAGACUACAUAUCGUACGUGAAGGCCCCUUUCAUUAAAUAAGAACUAGAAAAUAUGACCCAUAAUAAUGUGAAUAUUUCAUACUCCAAAUUAUUUCUUUCAAAAAGUUCCACUGCAAUAAAUCUCCUUAGAAGUAACACACAGCUUUUCGGGAUCCAUUUACAUGCUCUUCCACAUUACCACAAUCACAAGAUAUAGUCCAAGAGACAUGGUACAUCGGAAACCUAAAGACAUAAAAUGCUAGCCUUCACAUUCAACUUGCCUGAUCCUAUCUGGUAUGUCUGGGCGACAGGUCGGCUGACCUAGACCUAGAUCUAGAUCCAGAGGGAGACCUUGACACUCCACCAGGUGGCGGUGACCUCCAGUGAGCCUGUGUCUCCUCAUAGCCAGAUUUCCUACAACAUUUUUGCAUUAAGCACUUUUCCAAAGAAAACAGUCUUUCAAAGUGCUAUCAACAACAAUAUUAAAUGCUAACAUCAGAACCAAUUGUUAAAUAUCAUCAGUAAAAUAGGCUCUCACUUACUCCCCAUAACCAUUGCCAUUUGGGUUACGACGAUCAGCAGAAUCAUCAUAUCCAGGAGAAUAUGAUCUACGACUGUAUUCAGCACCUCGCUCUUGUGGAGGACCUCUUGGUGAUCCUGGGUGUUCUAUGUGCCUUCUCCGAGGAGAAAUUGAGUAAUCUUCGUGUUGUCUUGGGACAGGAGUGUAAGAUCUGACAAAGUGGUCAGCACACAAAUUAUGCAGCCACAGCAGCAAUCAUAGGUAGACAAAAUGACAAUUCAUAACCUUCGUUACAUACCUAGAGCGGUACCGGCUUCUAGAACCUUGAGGAUGAUGAGGGGAACGUGAACGGGAUAGUGAACGGGACCGAUAACGUCCUGGAACAUAAUGAGUAUGGAAAAGAGAUUUAUUACAAAAGGAUUCAACUCAUAUAUACCUAAGGAAUAAAGGAAAGCAUGCAAAUUUAUCCGAAACCCAUUGUCACUCAAGUAAAUUAAUAAAUAAAUAUAGAAAAAAUUGAUAUUAUAUCUGCAUAGAGCUUCAUAACCUUCAAUACCUCCAAGUUUAAGCUUCCUAAGUUCCACAUAAUCUAACAAAAUUACUUUGGUUAUUGAUUAAAAGUUUAAUACAAACACGUUAGAGAAGGACAACAGCAAUGUUGGUCAAGAAGGUGAUAAUUACUUUUCCUAGGAAGCACAAACGUACAUCGACAGAUACCAACUUUAAAGUACUUCUUUCAAGGGUCUCUUUGAUAUAGUAGAGCUUCUUCAAAUUGUCUAGUGCAGCUUUUACUAGUGUAGCUUUUAAUAAAUCUUUGAUUGUUUGGUUGUCAAUCACCAGCUUUUAACAAAAAAUUCUAUAAUUAACUUAGUAGAUAAGCUUUUUAAGGUUAUGUUAUGAGAGUGAAAUAAAAAUUGUGAAAAUAAAAAUAAGAGCAUUUAAUAUUUAAUUCUUUGAAAGAGCUCUACACCAUCUGCUCUCAAAACCCAAGUUUUAAGCUUCUCUCAGUAAAGGAAAAAUAGCCUUAGCAGUCCUUUAUGAAUUCUACUCAAUUUACAACCAAACAAAAUAUAUAUAGACAUGGGGACGUCCCCACCUGAGCUCCACUUAAUAUUAGUAUAUAAUUUUCAAAUAAAGGAAUCCCUUAAUUUAUUUAGCUAAAAGGCAGAAAAACACAGAUUUCAAUACACCACAAGAUAAAAUACACUGCAUUGAAGUAUUUUUGAAAAACACAUUUCAAUACACCACAAGAUAAAAUACACUGCAUUGAAGUAUUUUUGUUGUCUUUUAGCUUGUAUCUUUCUUAAAGUAAGAGAUUCCCUCAUUGUAAAUAUAUAUACACGGGAUGCCAAAUUGAAGCUAUUGGAUUGUUUUUUAUAGUUAAAUCUGCACAUGGUGAGGCCUACCAUGUAAAAAAUUUAUAUUGCAAUUGGUGCAAAAUGUGGAGAUUUUAUAUCACAAUUAGAUUUGAAUCCAACGGCUCCAAUUUUGUGUGUGUGUACAUGUGUGUACGUAUACAAUUGGUGCAAAAUGUGGAGAUUUUUUAUCACAAUUAGAUUUGAAUCCAACGGCUCCAAUUUUGUGUGUGUGUGUGUGUGUACACAUAUAUGUACACACAUGUACACACACACACACACACAUAUAUAUAUAUUGAAUGGUCCUUUUGGCAUAAAAAAGAUGCACCUUUUGGCCAGUAAAGAAGCUACCAAAACGGUACUUAAUUAGCAACCAUCAUUAGAGAAAAAUGACACUGAAAUUUAAAAGUCAAGAUCCCCAUCAACCCAUGAAGACAGCAGUAAGAGGAUUCGGUGACAAUCAUCAAUGAGGUCUGCUGCCAUGGAGACUGUUCAAAAACUUAAACAACUCCAUAGCAGCAAGAACUAUAACCCAAAAAAUAGCCAUGAUCCAGAAACAAAAACCACCUCGAGGCUGACCUAAUUAGUGACAGAAGAAGCAUUUGAAAGAACUGAAGUCUGGUUCAAGCCAACAAACCUUAGUUUACUGAAGUAUUUUGGACACUUUUUUCAGACUAUGUGACCUGGUACAGUGUCCAUAUAAUUAUAUCUAUCUACAAAAAAAUAAAGAGACCUUUAAUCAUAUACAUAAAUUACCCUAAACACUAAAAGUAACCUAUAAAUAUAACUAGGUGAAACCAUGAAUUAAUCAUAGAUAUUCUCACAUAAAAUAAGAAAGUGGCAGGUCUUCUAAAUGACACGUAAAUGAAACUAGUCACAGCGAGAUUAGAAGCAGGGCAUGGAUCAUAUUGCGUCAUUUCUUCAGAAAACUCAUAACAUACAAAUUAAUUCUGUCCUUCAAAGAAAAGAGUUAAUAAAAAAUGUAAAGUGCAAUUGAGCUGUGAACUUCAGAACCUUUAGUAAUGGACAUACUAUUUCUCAUAUAAGAAAUGUAAUAUAUCAGUAACAGCAUACCAUAAUAAGAUGAUCGCGGUCCUCCAUAGCUCGACCCUCCUCUACAGAACGUAAAACAAAUCAAAGAAAAUUCUAAACAGACACAGAGAAAAAGAACCCUAACUUUUAACCAUAGGAGGAAGGGAAGUGAGAGGAAUGAGUAGAGAGAUGGGAAGAGAGGCACAAAAUGUACCUAAACCUAUGUCUUUGCCGCAUCUCCUCCGGCCUUUUCCUUGACUCUGCAGCAAGGACUACAGAUAUUUCCCUCCCAGCAAAACGUUUCCCAUUCAUAUGGUGUUGAGCUUCAGCAGCUUCAUAAGGAUCCACAAAUUGCACAAACGCAAACCCUCGAGGUUCCCUGCACAUAAGACAACGAAGUCUUCAUUUAAAGUAUGUAAAUUUGUUCCUGAACAAACAAAAAUUGCCUGAGACGAUUGCUUGCCCAAAUGAACAUAUUAAGUUACAGCCAAGUUUUGAUUUGAGAGACCGUCAAACUACCAUAUGUGUCAGCACUGAAUAUGUAUUAAGCAAGCUUAGUGGCUGACCUUUUCUUUUAACACUCAAGAAUGAAAGGCAACUUGAAAAGUGCACUUGAAAAUUCUUCACAUUCUUGUAAAUAAGUACUUGAAUUCAACGUUUCCCCAAAAAAUUAAAAUCGCCCCAUGUAGUCUUCAACUGGUCAAGAUUCAAUCUUCUUCCUCAUCAAACUUCUAUUGGUUGUGUAAUUAUAUAGUUUCUCUCCAAAAUAGAAACACACUUCAUUUGAAAAUUAUCUUUAUAUACUUCAGACGACUAUGUUAGCCAUGACAAACAGUAGGUCUUCAAAUGUGAAAACUCUUCAUUUGAACAUUACCCUUGAGACCAAAAAGUUAGGCAUGAUAAAGAGUAGGUCUUCAUCAAAUAUGGGGCUUCAGGCUUGUUUUACAUAACUUCAAACCAACAUACCCCCUGACAAACCAGUUCAAAAUUUAAUUUGUGAUGAAAAGGAAAAUCUGAGCCGAUAAACAUUUCAUAAUGCAAUUCACAGGACAUCUUCUUUUUUAUUAACCCCUAAUUUCAUUACAUAAGAAGAUAUUACGAUGAACUUAGAACAUAAGUAGCAAACAGCAAAAGUAGAACGAAUUAUCAACCUGAGCCACUACUAUUGAUCCCAAAAUUUAUGCUCUAUAUAUCUAGCACAAUUAUAGAAAAAGUAUGGAAGUGACAGCUGCAUCAUCAAAUAUUAUGCAUGAGUGCUUCCUAAGCGCUCUCAGUCAGCCUGACAGGCUUAGUAAAUGGAAUUAAUGCUCAUCUUCGUUGGUUGCAGUUCACCCAAUUGGAGGACAAAGACAUUUACGAUAUUGAAAAUGUAUUUCAUGUAUAAAAAAAAUAAAAAAAUUAAAGUUUGUUAACAAUAUAAAUUGAUAAGGCAAACAAAAUAGUCUAAUCACAAAGUAUAUCUUUCACUUAUUGGCAACAGAGAAUUAGGUGUGAAACUGUGAAACAGAGACUGGGGCAAAAAUCAUAUUAGCCAAGUAAAGAAACCUGAGAUUAACCACGUGUACACAAACCAAGUUUCAAACUUAACAUCCGAGAUGAGGGUGAAACUCAUGCUCAAUCGAAAUUCAAUCACAAGAAAGAUUUUACCACAUCAUAAGCAAAAGACUAAUAAAAGAGAUGAUAUACUGCAGCUCAAAAAGAUUACAGGAAAAAACAAACAGAACAGUAGUAUUGGCUUGAUCAACUCCCAGACAGAAAUUCAGAGAAGUUGCCUGCUCUUUAAAAUAUACAUGCAUACACACACACACUCCCAAAACAGCAAGCUCACCCAGUGUAGUAAUCCUUAGGAAGGUAGACAUCCCUAACAACCCCAAACCUCUCAAACGGAGCACGGAGUUCUUCAGGCCUGCAAGCAAUAGCAACAACAGAUAUUUGAGCACACUACCACGGGUCAGAAGUCAACACAGACAAAAUAAAGUUACCUGCAAUCAAGCGGAAUGUUUCGAACCAAAAGGCUACCAUGAUUCUGUUCCUUGCGUCUUCCAUAGCCUCCUCCACCGCCACCGUAUCCUCUUCUCGGAGGACUUCUUCCUCGGCCUCCGUAUCCCCUCCUCGGAGGACUAUAGUAUGGUGGACUGUACCUUCUCAUAGCACUGCCUUCCUCCACACACAAUAAUAACAACAAUAAUAACUUAAGAAAUUAACUAAUAAUUAUAAUUAUAAAAUCAUGAUGUACAACGAAAGACAAUAAAUCUAAUUGAUAAACAAACCUAAUUAUACUACUUCGUUGACUUAACGAAGGGAGUUUUCAGUGGUUCAAUAUAGAGAUUUUCGUUCAGCAUCCGAGAAAAUCGCUAGAACAUACCCAUAAAUUAGAAGCUACUUUUGUGUUUCUUUUAUUUUUCCGGCGAUUUCUCAGCAACCAAACAGAAAAUAACAGAUUCAGAUGUCUAUGACCGUGCGACAAACGGAUACAAUUUAGUUGAUUAAUUAAUUACCUGUACGAGAAAGACUAGAGAGGAGAGGAGAGAAGACUUUGCAACUAGAUUAGGUUAGAUCAGAAGAUGAAGAUUUUUAACUUGUUAGAUCUGAACUAGCACCCUACGCCCCGAUGGAAUAUCAUUUUACCUUACGUAAUCGUAGCUUUCAUCAGCCCUGGAAAGUGGGACCUAUUAUUCGAGGCCCAGCCCAACAUGACCCCAAGUUUUUUUAAAAGUCUUGACAGGUUAGUCCAUUAUAAAUGUCUACAGGCAUCUGAAUCUGAUUGUAAAAACAUAUUAGUAUUAAACAAAAAUUCCCUUAAGGGACUUAAUGAGAGAUUAGAAAAAGCUUUUAGAAUAUAAGUGAAAAAAAUAAGAUAUUAUUAGGAUCUAAAAACCUUGAUAUUAAAAAAAAAAAAUUAAUUUUUCGAACUUGAAUAACCAUCCAAAUAAAGUUGCUUAAAAACCACUUAGCCAAGUCCUAAGAAAUUAAUUUAGGUUUUGUCCACCCCUUUAAAAAAAUUAAAAUUAAAAUCCAAAGUAAAAUCAACUAAUCUAAAUAAAAGAAAAGGUAUGAUGUAGUCCGGUGAUUUAUAGAGUAGAAUUUAUGAAAAAAGUUAUAGUAAUAACUUUUAAAAUUUUAUGAUAAUAACUUUAAAAAUUUAUGGUUACGUAUUUAAAGGUGAGACUAUUUAAACUUACAAUUUCUCUCUUAGAACCCACUUACUCGAUUUACUCAUUAUUGAAAUUAAAAGUGCUGAAUUUUACUCUUUAUAUCCUCCAUAAUCCCAAAAAUAACCUUCCAUAGUUACAUAUCCUCUCAUUUUAUUUAUUUAUUUUUUUCUUUGGCUAAGCUAUUAUCUGCACCCACAACUAUUUUGUCUCACUAUCAUUUCUCUGCGUCUGUUGCCCUAGGAAAUCAUAGAUCCAUGUUAAGUGAAUAAAAGCUAAUUAAUUAUGACACAACUGGAAGGUUUAACAUCAAUAUAAAAUUAUUUCUACUGUAUCAUGAAAAGAAUACAAUGCAGACUUCUUAAUGCAGACUUCAAAGUGCUUCAUUGCUCGGUAUUUUGGUUCACAAACAAGAGAGAAAUUAAAUCAAAAUCCAAUAUAACUACCUUUUUAUUGAAAGAUUAUGAGUUUGUGUUCAUAUGUGAUGUUGUUACUCUCCGAUUCUUUAAAUCCAAAUUUGUUUUUUGGACUGCAUAUAUGCUGUCCAAAAAAACAAGACCAAGUUUUUAUUUUCUAAAUUUGCAAAAACAAAAUUUGUGCAGUAUGACAUUUGAUUGAUAAUUUAACAAUAAUGACACAGUGUAAAAGCUAUGUUUGACAUUAAUUGGAGGAAAAAAAAAAAGAUUUUACUUACAUGUAAUAAAUUUAGAUUAAAUGGGUUUAAAGAGUAAAUGUCUUUUAUUUAUAAAUUUUAGUUUGUCCUUUAUUGUAAUUUACUUUAAAGAUAAUUUAGUAAUAUAAAAGAUGAUUAAUAAGUGGGUUAAAAAAUAAUUUGAUUCAAAUAAUCUCCCCCGUUAUUAUUACUACUUUUAAAAAGCAAUCCCUUAUUGCUUUUUAAAGUUAUAGUACAAAAACAAAUUAUAGAAUAAACCAUUUUCAAAAUAUUUACCCAGCGUUAUUUUUUAUUAAAAUAUAUAAAAUAAGUAGUUUUAAACGUUAAAUUGCAAUGCCGGAACAUAAAGAGUCCUAAUAAGAAUGAUAAUUUUUUUUGUUGGGAUGAGAUUCUACGGGAUCCCUCCCAUUUGGGAUGAGAUUGAGAUAUAUUUUUGCCUUAAAAAAAAUAAUAAAAAGACAGGAAUAAAACUUUUUUUUGUCUCAUUUGCAUAUACGAGACAUGAUUGUGAUUGACAAAUCUUGUUCUAUCCCUUUUCAUUACCAACCCUAGUUGUUGGUAGAUAUGACAAUUUUUUCUAUUAGGAUAAGAUUCAAUAAUUUGGAACGGGAUUAGAACAUAUUUUUACCCCAAAAAAGUAAAGCGACGACAAUUAAUCAUUUUUUUUCCCAAUUGCAUAUACGGGACAUGACUACGGUUCAUAAAUCUCGUUCCACCUCAUCCCAUUGCCAACCCUAAGUCCUAACAUUAUGCGACAUCACAAGUUUUAAAAUAUAUUGAGAUGGUAAGAAAAAAAUAAAUAAAAAUCCCAAUUGGUAUAAAAUAGAAAAUGAAAAAACAUUAUGGAUCUCAUGGUCAUUAUCCUUGUAAAUAUUGAAAAACUAGGGGUGUUGGACCGUUCUGUUCAAUCCGUCUAAUUCGUAGAAAUCCGAUCCGUGAAUUUGUGGAUUAGAUUGGAUUGAAAAUUUGAAAAUCUAGAGUUGAUGGAUUGGAUAUGGAUUUACUUCUGUGAAUUCACAAAAAUCCACGAAUCCGCAAAAAAAUAAAAAAAUAUUUAUUUAAUAAAAAAAAUUAAACUUAUAAAUAUGAUAUUAUACUUACUAAUAAAUAAAUAAGUUAAAAUAUAGUUACAUUAACACCAUAUUAUGUCUUAUCUGAUAAUAAUAUUUAUUUAAAUCUUAUUUAAUUUUAAAUUUAAUCAGUAGUAAAAUUAUUUUUAUAUUAUUUUUUUAUUUAACUAGUUCACGAAUAGGACAUGAUUAAAAAUUUUUAGCCCACAAAUCAAUCCGUAAAAUAGUGAAUUGCAUAUGAAUUAAGUCAAAUCCGCAUCUGAUCCGCAGACGACUGGAUUGGAUUUGAAUUGAAUUUCAUCAACCCGUAGAUUGGAUUGGAUUAAAAAUUUAUAAUCCCCAAAAUCGUGGAUUGGAUAAAGAUUGAUGUCUAAUCUGCAAAAUCCAAUCCGCAAACAUCCCUAUAAAAAACUACCUUGUAAAGUCAAAUAAUUACCAUAAUGCAAUUUUAUUCCAUACACCUUUAUCUUCAAAUAUUACAAAUAGAUAAGAACAUUUGUCAAAUUUUCAACAAAGGCUACAACCACCCUCAAAUUUAGAUAAAUACUUCAAAUUCAUCUCAAGAAAGAAGCAUAUCAAUUACAGUGGCAAUAAUUCACAACAUCUGUAAAGCUAAAUUACUAGAAGUAAUUCAGUCACACAAACCGAAUAAUACAAUUGUUGACGUGUCUAUAGAGAGAUCAAUAAUCUUCACUCAUUCAAUGGUAAACAUACAUUUGUCAUCGUAAGAAAGUGAACCAAUGAGACAAGAUUAAUAAUCCUCACUCUUAUCUUUGCCCUAGCAUAUGUCCUGUACAAAGUAAGCACAGAGACUCGCAGCCAACACAAUGAGUACCGACCAUUCUAAAACUAGCUGUGCCACAAUCAGCUUCACCAACAAGCAUCUUUCGGGAGGGUGGGGGAAAAGCUCUGUUGUUGAUAGGGAAGAGAGAAUCGAGGUGUAUGGUAUGAAAGAAUCCACAUUUGCCAUCAAGAAGCUACAGCAAUGUCUGAUUCAGAACUUGAAUUACUAGAGUCAAUGCGCAAAGGACUCUUCUGAAAUUCAUUUCUUAGCUGACCACAUGCUGCACUAGCAUCCAGUCCCCUUGUCUGACGUAUGCUAGUGGUAAUUUUAUGGGAUUCCAGAGCACCUGCAAAUGCUAGCACCUGGAAGAUGAAAUAUAAAAAAUUUAUGUAAAAUAGACAACAGACUGAAUCAGGAGAUGAGGAUUAUAGUUGAAAAUGCGAGGGAUAUGGCAUGGUCAUGAACAAACCGCCUUUUUGUAAGGGCGUUGAUAAUCAGAUCCUUCUAUUGGAUUGAAGGGUAUGAGGUUCACAUGAUGACCACGUCCCCACUCAUGAAGUAGCUCUGCAAGUUCUACUGCAUGUUCUACUUGAUCAUUGACUCCAGCUGCCAAUAAAAUAUAAUAGAAAAGGGUCAAUUUGCAUUACUUUUCAUGUUUUCAGCCUUUAUGUAAGUCCAACAGAGAAGGAAGGGGAAAUAAGUUCAUAUCAAGUAAUGGUGUGCUUACUAAUCAAGAAAGCGGAGAGCUCAAGCAAACAGGAAGGCGUUCAAUCAUACACAAAUUGAAUAAUAAUAAUCACAAUUAUUAUUAUAAAUAAUGACAGAAGGUCAUUUUAGUAUUUUGCAACAAUCCAUUCUGGUUUCAAGUCAAAGUAAACAAGAAUAAAAACAACAACAACAACAACAAUAAUAAUAAUGAAAACAAUAAUUAUAAUUUUAACAAUAAUAAUAAUUUAAUUAAUAUUAACAUUAUUAUUAUUGUUAAAAUUAUUAUUACUAUUAUUAUUAUUUUAACAAUAAUAAUAAUUUAAUUAAUAUUAACAUUAUUAUUAUUGUUAAAAUUAUUAUUACUAUUAUUAUUAUUUUAACAAUAAUAAUAAUUUAAUUAAUAUUAACAUUAUUAUUAUUGUUAAAAUUAUUAUUACUAUUAUUAUUAUUUUAACAAUAAUAAUAAUUUAAUUAAUAUUAACAUUAUUAUUAUUGUUAAAAUUAUUAUUACUAUUAUUAUUAUUUUAACAAUAAUAAUAAUUUAAUUAAUAUUAACAUUAUUAUUAUUGUUAAAAUUAUUAUUACUAUUAUUAUUAUUUUAACAAUAAUAAUAAUUUAAUUAAUAUUAACAUUAUUAUUAUUGUUAAAAUUAUUAUUACUAUUAUUAUUAUUUUAACAAUAAUAAUAAUUUAAUUAAUAUUAACAUUAUUAUUAUUGUUAAAAUUAUUAUUACUAUUAUUAUUAUUUUAACAAUAAUAAUAAUUUAAUUAAUAUUAACAUUAUUAUUAUUGUUAAAAUUAUUAUUACUAUUAUUAUUAUUUAAUUAAUAUCAACAUUAUCAUUAUUGUUGUUGUUGUUGUUGUUAUUAAUUUUAUCAUCAUAAUAGUAUUAUUAUUAUUGUUGUUGCCGUUAUUCUUCUUCUUCUUCUUCUUCUUCUUCUUAUUAUUAUUAUUAAAAACAACCAUUAUAAAAAUAAGAAUAACAACAAUAAUAAUAUUUCAAUUGAGGACAAAAGUGGAAUUAUGAAAUGAGGGUGGGGUAGAAGGAGGAGCUUAAGGAAUGAGAACUCAAUUCCCAACCCCCCAUGGAAAUCAAGUUCCAUUCCUUAAUCCCCAAAACUUGUGGACCCCACAUGCUUCAUUCCACAUCUCAUUUCUUUAAACAAGUAAACAUCAUCAAUCAUUUCCAUUCCAGAGUCCGAUUCCCCAAUCCGAGAAAUAAACACAUCAUAAAACCACUGUACCUAAUAGUGCAUACUCAAAGGACACCCGUCGACUCGUUUCUUGGAAGUAAUCCCUGCAAUCCUUCAUGAUUGCUUCAAGAGGAUAGGACUUUGCACUUGGCACAAUUGAUUCCCUCAGUUUCUGGUUUGGAGCAUGUAAGCUGGAGCAUAGGAGAAAAUAUAUGAAUAAAAAUAAAGUUCUCAUCAACUGAAAAUAUGGUCUGCUUCAAAAGCUCAAGAAAACUAAAGGGCAAACUAGUAAAACAUGAGAACAGAGCAAGGAGGAGAGAAUAUUCCAUACAAACAAUUGCCGAGUCAUCAGAACAAAGAUAUCUAUACUUUAGUGAAGAAAGAUGUGAAUAAUUCAGAAACUUAUUGAGUUAUUGAAUCAUAAGACUGAAUGCCACAGACACUGGGACACAAGUUUUCAUCGGCUAUUUGAGAUGAGAUUUCCGCAUAUUCAGGAUGCUGAAUCUUUCUUGUGAAAAGACAAAAGCUACUUUUUAGCGGAAAGAGAACAUUUAGAUACAUGGGCUAGUCAAAGGGUUCAACACUUAUGAAUUUGAGAAAAGUUGAGGUCAGUUUCAUGCUACUGGCCAAGUGCCAGAUGUUGAGUCAAAUUCAAUGAGUUUAAGAACAAUCAGUUCUACAGAAGUAGCCUAAAUACUCAUGAACACCACAGUAUCAGUUAACAAAUUCUAUACAAGAUUACCAGACCUGAUAGCCAAUGUUGACUGAAGUUUGUAAGAGGCCAACUUUUUAAUUGUGUUCGGAACCCCCACAGUGGAAAUUGUAAUCAUCCUUUGUCCAAUUUGCACAUCCUACAAAAAACAAGAGCAAUCGAAUACACAUAAGCUUAACUUCAAAACACACAUAAAGACAUGCACACACUAUGAAAAAGAAUUAACAGAACGACAAGAUGACAUGAACAAAUAGUUGUAGAAGCACCUUAUUCAAACAUCGAUGUGCUUCAAGCACAGACUUUAGGUUCAACAUUGGCUCGCCCAUUCCCAUGAACACUACGUUUGUCACCCUAUGCUUGAAGAUCUCUUCAAUUGCUAACACCUGAAACAAACUGCAUCAUGCUGAAGAAACAGAUACUAGCUUGGAUAAAAAGACAGGAUAAAUCUCAUCACACUAAAACCACUUUAUUGUCAAAUAAUGUAGCCAAUGAGAUUAUAUGGAUUUUGAUGUGUCAACAUUUAAAAACUUAAAAAAGAAGAAAUGAACCUGCCCAACAAUUUCAUGGCUUGAAAGAUUUCUUGAAAAUCCUCCCUUUCCAGUGGCACAAAACGAACAACGCAAUGGGCAACCUACCUGAAUACCCAAAGGAUAAGACAAUUUCUUAUGCUCAAUCAAGGAAUAAUCUUUCGAAGAAGAAAAUUUUUCAUUUGUCAGUAAUGAUGCAUGAAAAACACCUGCGAUGACACACAAGCGGUAAGACGCAUGGGACCUUUCUCGUCUUCAACUGGUAUGCCAACAGUUUCAAUCAAUCUGUUGUCUUCCAGCUUUAUUAGCAACUGCAAAAUCAGCACCAUGCAUAAAUAAUUAAGUAAAAUCUUUCCCAAUGUACAUCAUACAUUAACAUUUAUAUAAUAACUACCUGAAAACACAUGCAAGGACAAAAAGAUGAAAUAAAAAACAGCUAAUGUAAUUAUGUAAAUUUGAUGUAUUUAUAAGUACUUUAACAGUUCCAUCAGCUGCAGUGACCGUGCGAAAAAUCGGCAAGCGACCAACCGUCCAUCCAGCUUCUUGGAGAUCAUUUCUGAAGGACUGAGGCACUUUCAUUACAAAUUAUAGCCAAAAAAAAAAAAAACCGAAAUUUAGACACCAAAUACGCAUUAAUAAAAUAAAAAUUAACAAAAAAGGCAACAACGUAAUGUACUCACGUUGAAUAAAAUUUUCAAUUUCUUUGACCUUUCUUUUGUAAAUUAGAUGAUGAAGCUGCUUCCCUCUGUAACUUUGCUAAAUUAUAAAUUUCCAAAAAAAAGAAGAAUUUUUAUUUAAUAAUAAAAACAAAAAAUGUUUCCGUUUUUCCUUUUAAUUUGGUUGGAUUGUACCUGGCCGAGGUCGACGGCGAGUUUUUGAAGCUCCUGCUCGGACAUGCCAAGGAGCACGUUGGCGUCCACGCGAGGGGCACGUGAAGAAGAAGAAACAGAUAACUUGCGCCGCGGGGUCACAGAAACUGCAAGGCAGGAGCGAGAAAGCACCACCGCAUGUGCUACGGGAGCAGAGAUCACUUGCCGAAGCAGAGUCAUUGAAACGGCAAUUAUCCUUUCCUUCUCCUCUCUCUGUUUUCACUAAAACCCCUGCUUCGACGUCUAUCUCCUCUCCUGCUAAAACCUCCGCACCUCACGCUCCGUUGCAAAGACAAAAAUAACCCUCCAGUUUCGAAUUUCUUUCUUGGUGAAAAAUACAAUUCAGUCCUUAUUGUUUUUACUAUAUACUGUAAUGUCCAACUUGUUUUGCAUUGUGACAUCAAGGUACAUUCAGUAUCAGGUUGCGGCGGCAGACAGUGAUUUUAAGUUUCUGCUACCAUGCAGGCUGCUGUAAAAUAGCACAAACAGACACGAAUGCUUACAACAAUACGAGGAGAAACAAGAAAAUACAAAAGAAGCAAAUAUCAAUUUAAGAUUCUGUAGAAAAACUGUACAUAGAUUGUGACUUGUUAUUACAAUGCUGGUCCAAGAUACAUCAAUGUUUCAUACAUAAAGCAAAUAGAAAAAAUAAAGCAUGCAUCAAAUAUAUUAUCUAUCUCCUCUCAGAUGGCCUAUGAUGAACGCUAGCUUUGCCUUGGCCAUUUUCAUUGAGACCUUUUCUUUUGUAUGUACUGCGAUCAGAAUUCUGGAGGGAUUCAUCUCGAGAGACACCUGCAUCAUUGGUAUCUUGAAUUUGUUCCAAUGCUUUUACCACCUCAUCCAUGGUAGGCCUGAACUUUGGUUCAUUUGAUAGGCAUUUGAUUGCUAGUACAGCUGUUUUUAGUGCUGCACCAAGUGAGUACUGGCCUUCAAUACGAGCAUCCAUAACUUGGAAAAUUCUGCGUUUGCUUUGAAGGUAAGGUUUGGCCCAUUCAAUUAAAUUAUGUUCUCUAGAUGGUCUGUUCUUGUCAAUUACUCGUCUACCGCUUAACAUUUCGAGGAGAACAACCCCAAAACUGUACACAUCGCUUUUCGCGGUUAGAUGUCCUUCAAAAAAGGAAAAGAGUGAGGAUUGGAAGAAGUUGAGAAUGCCUGCAUACUGAUAAAUUCAGAAAGCUAAUUCCAGAAAAUAAACAUUUACACAUAAGCACAGAGGAAAAAGGAGUAACGUUCUAAUAGAGACAGAGUUUAAAGCUUAAAAUCAAGUGAGAACUGUAUGAGUUGGAAUUUGAUAAUCAAAGAAUUUUCCAAGGAGAAAGCAAUAAUAAUGACCAAUUUAAGAAUCUCGAAAAUGACUUGAGGGGUGGCUUAAUAGAGCUUACACAUGAUGCCACUAUGAUAAAGUUUUUAGCUAAUGACAUUAAUUACCCCAUUUGGAAGCUUCAUGUUUUGUAUAUGGUUAGGGCAUAAGUCAAAUAAAGCACACACAUUGGAAGUUGAAGGAAAAAGUGGAACAAACUGCACUCAAAUGUGAAUAACAGCAGCGCAAGUUGAAAGAUACCUGUGGCCAUAUAUUCUGGAGCUGCAUACCCAUAAGUACCCAUGACUCUUGUGGAGACAUGGCUUUGGCUCCCUGUCGGUCCAUCCUUGGCCAACCCAAAAUCAGAGAGUUUAGCAUUGUAGUUCUGUCAUUUUAUGGUAAGAAACAGUAUGAGACACCUGUAAGCAUAAUGAGACACUAGCAAAAGCCACAGAAUUCAAAAGCUAAAUAUGCUUCACUCACUAAAUCAAGCAGGAUGUUGGAAGUUUUGAAGUCUCGAUAUAUCACUUUUGCUUUAUCACUAUGAAGAUAGGCUAGACCCUUGGCAGCACCAAGGGCAACCUUCAUGCGAAUGGUCCACGAAAGCGGUUGAAUGUAAGAGGCUCCUGCUUCAAUGACAAUUUAGAUAUCUAAUAAGUAAUGAUUCAAUUAGAAGAGAGACAUGUUAGUUCAUAGACAAUGAGAAGUUGAAUUAAAAGACUACAUUACUAAACAGAGGUGAUCUUAAUAGACUCACUUCUAAAUAGAUGAUUUUCUAAGCUGCCCUUGGGCAUAAAUUCAUACACCAGAAGCCGGUGGUCAUCCUCUAAGCAAUAGCCGAUCAAUUUUACAAGAUUAGGAUGAUACAAUUGUCCCAGGUGUUUGAUUUCUGUCUGUAGAACAAGUGGAGCUAAGAAAUUAGUUACUACUAUCAAUAGGAAGAGGGAACAUCACUCAACUAACAAGGGAAAUAUAAAGUCCAAACACUGAAGUAAGGUCCUAAGAAAACUAAAAUUGCAUUGCAAGGGGGUAGAAGUGUGAUGCUCACCAACCAUUCCAGAUGACCCUGCAGACUCUCUUGAUUAAGCCUCUUCACAGCUAUAACCAUGCCAGUCCCAGGCCUGGCCGGUGCAUAUGUAUGCUCAUCAAUCCACCCCUUAAAGACACAACCAAAUCCACCUUCACCCAAAACACUAUCUGGACGGAAGUUCCUGGUGGCUGUUUUGAGUCCAUUGAAGCUGAAACUCUUUAUGUUAGAGCCUAGCAAGAUCUCACCCUCUGUCCGAGGAACCACUGAGACAGAUGAGACCCUGCUGCUUGACCCACUAGUACCAUUUCCGUCUUUUCUGCUGCAUUUUGAAUUUGCCCCUAUAGAUAUCAAAGCCAUAUAUAGCUAUUUAUAAACAAAAUAGUCAAUUGAAGUUUUUUUUAAAAAAAACAAAGCCAAUUUUGUAAAAUAGAUUCAUAUUGCACUUAAGCUGAUUAAAUGUUCCAGACAUAAUUUUUUCUGGGUUCAAUAAUGAUCCAUGACCAUAAUCCAAAAAUCAAAAUCCCAAAUGUUCAUUUAAACUAAUUCCUCCUUUUUCUUGGCAACCAACAUAACAUAGCAUCAAUCAAAGUCACAAGUUCCCGUUGAAAGAAAGAAAGCUAAAGAAGACAAAAUCAACAAUCAAAAGUAGCUAAAAUAUGUAUGUGUGUGUGUAUAUAUAUAUUACACAUUAAAGAAAGGGUAACAAGCGCAUAACAAGCUCAAAUAAGCAUUAAGAGAGAGGAGAGAGAUGAUCGUAUUGAUACCAUUGGGAAGAGGACUGUCAGUUUCAGCGCUGAAGCAAGAACCCAUGAAUGCAAAAGCUAGCUCGCUCAAGUUUCUUAGUAACUAGCUCCUCCAACAGAACCCAGUAACUGUUAUUUAGUUAUAGAAAUAGAGGAAGAAGAAGCAAGCUUUUAAUUUAAUUGAAGGUAUGCAUAGCUGAAAGGUAUACAUAGCUGGUGAAAUGAAAAAAAGAAGAAUUGUCAAGUGUGAAACCAAAACUUUUAUACGUACGUAGAAGGUGUUAGCUGUCAGGCAGGACCAAGACUGUCCAAUUGCAUAUUUUGACUGAUUAUUUUAAUAUUACAAACAAGCUAACCUAGCCUAAACUAGCAUGGCAAGAAAAAGGGCAAGCAAAAGGAAAGAAGGCGUUAAUAAAAUGGCAAAACAAAAGGUGGGUAGAUUUUGGAGUUACGUGUGUGGUUGGAUUCUGGGAAACUUCUUUUUUCUAGAGCUUCGGCUUUGGACAAAACUAGGUGAACAGUUGACUUGUUCGUUGUUUAUGCAAGUUGAAAUUACAGAGAAAUACUAUUGCUUAGAAUUUUUUUUUUGAAAAAAUAAACUUAUUCCAAUCUGAAAUUUACUAGACUCUAGGUUUAAAUAUUUGGGUAAUUUUUAAAAACCCCCCCUGAGGUUUGAGGCUGUUGCAAGUAGACGGUGAAAAUCAUUUUAUUUAUAAAAGACCCCCUAUCGUUAGUUAAAAUUUUCAUUGACUAACUGUUGACUUUAAAAAGACAAUAUUACUCCCAAUAAUAGUUUACCUCCAAUAAUAGUUUACGUCAGUUAAAAUUUCCUUAAAAUCUUAAAAAAAAUAAAAUUACAAACUUAAAAAAAUUAUAUUUUUAUAUCAAAUAAUUAAGAUUUGUAAUUUUAUUACAAACUUAAAAAAAUUAUUUUAAGAUUUGUAAUUUUAUUUUUUUAAGAUUUUAAGGAAAUAUCAAUAACUUGAUCAUGGUGAAAAUAAUUGUUUUAAUUACUUAUGAAAUUGUAAAUAUUUAGAAUUGUAAAUAUUGGGGGUAAUAUUGUCUUUUCAAAGUCAACAGUUAGUCAAUAAAAAUUUUAACUAACGGUAGGGGGCCUUUUACAAAUAAAAUGAUUUUCACCAUCUACUUGCAACAGCCUCAAACCUCAGGGGAGGUUUUUAAAAAUUACCCUUAAAUAUUUUACUGUAAUCUAGAGGUCUACCGAACAUUAAACUUAAAAUUUAAUCCUAGAAAUAUGUAGGAAGAAAUCUAUCCUUAUUUUAAGGGAAGGAGACCGAUAGAGAUUGAACUUAUUUUCUCAAUAUAUGCUGAGUACAUGAGUGCCACUAGUUUGAAUCAAAUAAAUGAUUCAAUUCAAUUUGGAUUUGAAAAAAUUGAAUCAUUUAAUAAAUGGGCGAAUUUGAUUCGAUUUGCUAAUUAAAUGAAUUGAAUCCGGGUUUAAGGACAUUGAUUCGUUUAUUCGUUUAGAAUUCGUGUAAUAUAUGGAUCAUAAACGAAUCAAAUAUGCUCCAUUCAUUUAGUAUUCGUUUAAUUAAAUUACUUACUUAUCAUUAACUAUGUGUGAAAAAUUUUAAUGUCUAAAGGUUGAUAUAGUAAUUAUAAAUAAUAAUAAAUUUGUAUUUUGUUGGAUGUCAAAUUUGUGGUUUUUUUAUAUUUUAUUUUCUUAAUUUUUGUUUAUUAGUUAUAUAUUUAUAAAUGAAUUCAUAUUUAAUUCGAUUCAUUAUAUGAUAAAUAAUUAGUAAAAGAAUCCAGAUUCGACUUGAUUCGUUUAUUAAUUCUACUAAAUGAAUUAAAAGAAUUGAACCGAAAUAUUCAUUUAAUAAACUAUUCGAAUAUGAAUUCUGAGAUUUCAGUUUGUUUAAUAAAUGAAUCGAAUCCAAAUCAAUAGAGUUUUUACCUAAUUCAUUCAUGAUUUGAUUUGAAUUCGAUUUGUUUAUUUGUUUUUCCGCUCAUAAAUUUAGAUUUUAGAAAACAAUAAAGAAAUCAAGAGAUCAGAGUGGCAAUACCUACAUACAUACAUAUUUUAUACAUGUUGAAAUAAAAUCUCUUUGUCCCAUGUCUUAUCUACAUUAGUUUUAAAAUGAGUAAUGAUACAGCCACAAACUCUUGUACAAACUUAUUUUGUACAAACUGAUGUGGCAUGAUAAGAUUGGUUGAAUUAAAUAUCACUUGGCUCACAUGAUUUGUUUUUAUUAAUUUAUAUUUUCAUUCAACCAAUGAAUUAAUGCCACGUCAGUUUGUACAAAAUAAGUUUGUACAAGAGUUUGUGGCUGUAUCAUUACUCAUUUUAAAAAUAUUAAUUUGGACCUUGAAAAUAUUACUUAUUUAGUUUAAUUUUCUUUUUAAAAAAGGUAGAGGAGUGGACAAAAUUUAAAUAAAAAUUUCAACUCCCUACUCACUCCAAAAAAAAAAAAAAAAUGUUUCGAACCCACCCUUAAUUUAAUACUGAGUUACAGGUUAAACCAAUUGUCAAUCUUCAAAUUCACAUUUUAGUAUCUCCGGAUAAUUUUCUUUGAAAUGAAUCAUUAAUAAUUAUAAAAUAAAAGGUAAAUUAAUAGCUGGACAAUUGACUUUAACAUUAUAUACAAUAUAAUUAAAGUAACGUACAAUCAACUCUAAGUAUAAAAUCUAAUGGAAUUAAAGCCCAGCACUUCCACUGUCAUUAGGAAAAUUUAAUUUCCCCACCUUAAAAUUAAGGAGAGAAUGCAUUUCAUUGACCUAACCAAAAAGUUAUUGACUAACAUUACAAUUUUAUUGUAACUUUUAACAAAUAAAAUCUUAGUUACCUUAGGACAAUCAUAUAUUCCAUUAUGAUUAACAUCAAGGGUGUGAUAGCAAAGAAACCCAAAAAUUGCUUCUUCUUUUUUGGGCUCUAUUAGGUUUUUAACAUCAUGAACAUAAUAGCAUAUUAGAAAGUAGGAAGAGGAAGGAGUGAGAAACAAUAUUAGAAACCAAAAUAUCAUUCUCGAUCGCUACAUCAAAUCUCGCAAUAACUGAAGAUGAAAAUUGUAUCCAUUACCAAUUUUCAUGAUUGUAUUUCUCAUUUGUUGUUUUAGCGGACUUCUCACACCACAGCUGUUUAGAAAAAAGAAAAAAUGAAAAAUCAUUUCCUGUUCUGGUCACUUGAUAUUAAUGGAUUAGCGUAUGGUAUUGUUAAUUAACAAACAGUUAGUCCGACAAAUUGUUGUACAUUAUUAACUAUUGCCAGCGUGGUGGCUGGCUGGUCAAGUGAACCUCCGCGGUUUCAAUUUCAUGGACCCUACCAAGACAAAUCAACAACCCUUUUGAUGUAUUUUAAUUUUAUUAAUUAACAAUGUGAAAGUUUAUCACAUCGUUUACUUCGUUUAAAUAUUAGCUUCAUCAGUUUGAUUGUUUCUUUCCUUCUAGAUGGGAGGCAUAAUUCUCAAUGUACCAAAUCCAAACACCUCUCAUUUAUCAUCUUGAUAACAUCACAUUAUCAGUUAAUGUAAACUAGUACAAUUUGUAAAUGCUGCUGCAUAUAUAAUGUGCACGAUAUAAAACAUGGCCAUGCGUCAAUUGCGUGGGUGGGGUUGUUUAAAUUGUAGGAAUGGUCGCAUCCUCAUGAUAGCUUUCUAAAAUUCUACUUACGAGUGGAUUAUGAAAAUGUGGUCGCCCUAAAUUUUAGAGGUCGUAGCAACGUAAUAGAAUCUUUUUAUUAUGAAGUUGAACGUUAAUUUUAUGAAGCAAAAAGGCCGAUAAUAUAUUAACAGGCAACUCAUAUUGUCAAAGCUGAUCUUCAUGAAAUGAUCACAAUAUUGAUACGCCAACCUCAGAUAACUGUCAACAAAAUGAUUUUAUAAAAUCGAUUUUUCGCAAGUAUAGAUAGAUUGAAAGAAUGAUUUUCCCGCCUACCAACACCUUUCACAAAAGGAAGGUCGACUCUCACUCUCACAUCAGAGAUCAGACUUCUGGGCAGCUAAACAAAAAUAAAACAGGAGUUCAAGGCGUUGGAUAAAUAUGAUAAUAUUUUUUAAUUAAUAAAUAUAAUUAUUUUGACAAAAUUGUAACAAUUUGCCAGUUGGGGAUUCCUUUAAAGGUUAAAAAUAUUUUUGUAGCGAGCGCGCGUCAUCUGAUAUUCUCCCUACGAAGGUUAAUCUUAUGAUAAAGAAGAUGGUGGGGGAUGCAACAUGUGAGUUAUGUCUUACUUUGGGGAAGACCAUUGUACACACUCUGAUUACUUGUCCACAUGUUCAAGAGGUUUGGCAGCUUAUUUUCUUUUUCUUUUUGAUACAUUGGUGCAUGCUCCUGGUAAUGAGUUGUGGGAUGUGUUUGAUUACCCUAAAAUUAUGUUCUUUGUGCACGACCUGAAAUUUUUGGUUACAAUUCGGUGGAGUAUUUAGCGGACUCGAAAUUAGGGGCCAUUUAACCAUGUGUUUUUAGAACCAGCGAAAAUAUUUGAGAGUGCUAGCCAGGUAGUUUUGCCUCACGCUUCUCCUAAUGGUGUUGCUGGUGUGGUGAAUUGGGAAUUACCUCCUGAAGCCGCCCCGGGGGGGGGAAUGGGGGUGUUUAAACUUAAUGUUCAUGUGGCUAUUGAUGCUAAUAGGGGUCCGGCUAUUUAGGAUAUAAUAUCUCUCUCUAAUAUUAAAGUAAGGGUCAACAUUUGAACUAUUUUAUAAUAGGAAUAUUAAGGAGAAUCUCAAAUGAUUUAUGAUUGUAAAUACAAGAAGAACUCUGAUUGUAAUAUAUUAAUAUAUAUUAAAAAAAUAAUAGAUAACAAUACCACUUGAUUAUUAAUGAAUUAGCUUAUACAAUGUGUCAUAUAUUAUUUGUUAAAUUAACUUAAUCAAUAGAUGAUGAUGACAAACUGUGUAGAUUAAUUUGAAUUGCGGGCGUAUAUGGUGGCUGGCUGGUCAAGUAAACCUCCACGGUUUAAUAUAAUUGGACCCUACAAGCUAAGACAAGUCAACAACCAUUUAAUGAAAGCUUAUAAUUAACAUAGUUUGACUUUGUUUUUAUAUAUUUAUACGUGUGUGUGCAUCGUUUGACUUUAUUUAUAUAUACAUGUGUGAGUGCGUGCAUGUGCGUGCAUGUGUGUGCAUGUGCGUGUAGGUGUAUGUGUGUGUGCGCGCGCGUGUGCAAGCGUCUUCAUUUUUUUUUUUAAUGUGAACAUGCUCUUAAAUUGUGCAGCUUAAGAGAGUUAAAAACUAAGGUGGCGUUUGUUUUUUUAAUCUAAAAUUUGAAUAAACUUAAAUUAGUCUGAAUAAUGUUAAAUAUCUAAAUGACAUGUUUUUUUUUUCAUUUGAAUCACUAAAAAUAAAUAUUACAUUGUUUUGUUUUUUAACUUAAAAAACCAAAAACCAAUGUUUCUUCAUCUGUACCCUUACAAAUUAUAAAUGUUAAACAAAUAAUAAACAUUUCAAAGAACAUCAAUAAGUUAAUAUAUUAUCAUAAUAUAAUCAUGUUCAAUUGAAUACAAUCAUUUAAUAUUUUAAAUUAGUAAAUAUUAGUCAAAUUUAUUGUUGUUUAUGAUGCUUUAUAUAAAAAAUAUUUAUUAAACAUUAUAAAGACAAAUAAUACUAAUUUGAAGAAAAUAAAAAAGAUAAAAAUAAUAAUAGUCUACCACUAUAUUAUCGUAAGUUAUAGAGACGGGUAAUAGUGCUAAUUAUUAAACUUGUUUAAGUAAGUAAAAUAAUCAAAUAGAAAUAUUUUGGAAAAUUGAUAAACCUUUGUAAUCAAAAGUGGAAAAUAGAAAAAUUCUCAUGACAACUUUUUUUGAAAAUAUUAUAUGUCAUUAUAUUAAUAUUAUAAUAAAAAAAUAUGUCGAAACCAGUUUUAAUAAACACAAUACUGAGGAGUAUAACCUAAAAUAAACCCUAAACUUACAGGCAUUUACUCAAACCACAACUAAUAGAGAUUAGAUUAAAUCACUUUACGUAAAGUUAUGAAAAGAAUGUACGUAAAACAUCCCUAAUCAAUGAGUAGCUCUCUCAAAAUUUAGAGACGAUUCAUUGUAGAAGAUAUUCAUAAUAUUCAUUGUAGAAGCUAUUCACAUGAGAAACCAACUUGUACAAUCUGAUAAACAAAAAUUCAAUGGAUUGUUCAAUUUUCCUGAAAAGGAUUCACAUGUAGCAAUCAAUAAAAUUUCGAGUCUUUUCGAUUUAAUUACUCUGACCAAUAGCCGGUAGUAGUUGAAGACCCAAGAUAUCAUAAUUAAGCUUUUUCUUUAGUUUCAUUUUCAAUCAUAUUAAUUACUUCUUGAUCACAAAGAAAAAAAAUUAUAUAUUGAUUGCUUAAUUAGUUAAUUAACUAAUGGGUUCAUAGACAUAAAAAGAAAAUGACGUCAUUAAAUAUGUCAUGGCCUUUACUUCAUAAUGAUUAAGAACCAAUUUAUGAAUGAUAAACCUUUAGGGUUAGCAUUUAUAUGUACUUAUGGUGGCCAAAUCUAACGAAUAAACAAAGAAGAUCGAUGCUUAGCGAUCCGGCAAUGUUCCAUUGUUUAUAUUUUAACGGACACUUGAGCUCGGCCACCUGCACUUCAUACUUUGACUUUUAUUGCUAUUAUUAUUAUUAUUAUUUUAAAAUUCCCAAGUGGACAAUUUGAGUAUUUGACUCUCUUUCGAACUUUCUGAAAGAUAACGUUCAUACAAAAUUUCAGAUUAAAAGUGCCCAACAAUUCCAGAAGUCAAAAAUUUCAACAUCUUUCUCUCAACGCCAUCCAUGCACGAUCCAACUAAUUCUCGUAAAUUUUUACCAAAUAUAAAAGCAUGAUCUUAAAUAUUGUGAAAUAGAGAAUUAUCAAGUGCCACUUGAUCUUUAAUUUUAGCAAGAAUAGUUAUUAUCUAUGGUUAGAAACAGUGGUGGUGCCAGAAAUUUAAUCUAGCAGGAGCUAAAUUUAAAUAAUAAUAUAAUUUAAAAAUGGUCAACAAGUAACAAAUACCAAAAUAAAAAUUCAUUAAUAUAUUCAAUUCAAUACAUUUAUAACUGAUCUCACAUUUGUUUUUGUUUUCAUAUGUUAAAAAAAUUGAAGAAUAACCUUAUCAUCUAGAAUACAAAGUAAAUCUUUUUCUUUAUAUACAACAAUAAUAUCACUCAAUCAUUGAUCUCUCAUAUGAUUUCAUAGAUGAUUUUUCACAAAAUUCAUAGCCAUUUUUUUUUUUUUACUAUAGUUAUGAGAAUUAGUUAAAACAAUAAAUAAAUUAGUGAAUAUAAUUUAUCCUUUUUAGUAUCAACUAUUUUUCUUAUUAGCUUAUCAAUUCCUUUCAAAUUUUAAAAAUUUGUUAUUAGAAUUCACUUCUACAAUGUAAAUAUUAAGUUGAAUUUUAAGUGCCAUAAGACUCAUUAAAGAAAAAUCAUUUGGAUAAACUUAGUGAGGUGAAAUAGUUUCUUUUUUGUGUGUGUGUGUGUGUGAGGAGAGUUAGGGCUGGAAAAACUUCAAAAUACAAUGUUUCUUUGUGGUUGGAAGUGUAAAAAUAAAUACUUAAUAUAUUAGUUAUUUUUAAAUUUUAGCAAGGACUUUCUUGAUAAAUCAAAUUCAAAAUGGGACAAAUAUCUAACUAAAUUUGUAAAUUUUAAAAAGUCAAGGGGGGUGAAAUGUAGCGUCGUGCCGCCGCCACUGGUAAGAAAUAUUAUGCAACUUCAUAAGUACAAUAAAAUUGUAACCAACAAUACAUCUAAACACUAAAAAUAAUUGUAGUAAAGUAACUAAACAAAAAAUGUGAACAUAAUAAAAAAUUAUAGAAAUAACUAGAGGCUUGUACUAGAUAGUUUACUUAAAAUAACUUUGCCACCUAUUGUGGGAUGCUUGAGGUUUAGGGAUGGCUAACUGGCCAUCCAAAAUAGAUGUUUAUAUAUCCGGUCCAAUUGGAUUGAAUAAUAUCCAUCCAAAGCCUUUUGGACAUGGAUAUUAGAUGGAUAUCCAAUAUCCAAACCAUUUAUCCAAUUUUCAAACUAAAAGUGAAUAAAUACAAAAAUGUCUUAAAUAAAAAUAUUUAUUCUCGAAUAUACCCUCACAACAAAAAUAUAGAAAAUAUUUUAAUUUUAGAAAAUUAAGAAACAUUUACUAGUGAUUUUGUCUCAUCGUCAGCAUCACUGUUCCGAUGGCGGCGCUGUUGCCAGUGGCUCUUCAUAUGGUGGCGAAUUUAUUAUCAUCAAACUCGCCACUUCAUGAUCUAAGAAGUAGAUGUCACUUCCUCUUCCUUCUCAACUCUCAUUCCUUUUCUGACCUACGGCACUGAACGUCAACCCCUCUGGCCUCUGCAUUAGGAGGGAUAGCACACAUUGUUUUUGUGUGGUGUGGAUUGUAUUGUAUAUAAUAAUAUUUUGUAAUAUCAUUUUAUAUUAAUAUUAAAAUUAGGAUGUACGGUACAGCAGGAAUAAUUUUUUUAUAACAUAAAAAUAAUUUUAUAACAUACUAUUAUCAAAUAGUAAAAAUGAAAAACAUUACAUUACAUUUUUUUUAAAUAUUAUAACAUAAUAGAAUAUUAUAAUAUAUUUUAUUUCUAUAUAUCACUUAUCAUAACAUAAAUGAAAUUCAUAAAUUAACAUUAUAUUGUAUUAUAUUAUAAUGCAAUAUAAUAUUAAAUUUUCAAAUUAAUUUUUUUAUUAACGUUGAAUAUAAUUAUUUAAUUUAAAUUUAUUUUCAAAUAUAUUAUUUUGAUAAGUAACAAAUGAUUAAAAUAAUUCAAAACUGCUUACAUAUUUAAAGUAAAAUAAUUAAAUAAAAUAUGAAUAAUGUUUUAAUGCAAUACAACCUAAACUCUACUCAUGGGUUUAUUUUAUGCUCUUUAUUGCAUUAGAUAUCUUUUUAAUGCAAUGCAAUAAAAUUAGAAAUUACAGUUAUACUUAUACAUAAGUUUGCAUAAUAUAAAUUGCCAAACACACUCUUACCAUAUACCAUUGGGUACUUAAUUAAGCUAGCUGUGUAUAAUUUGUUUGUAAUUUCUUUUUGCCAAAUGAAAAUGCAUGUUAAUGAAUCUGUUUAAGGUUUGUAUUGUAGGACCUGAAGUUGACUACUUCUAGACAUACGUCAUUUAGAGAAAUUAAAAACUUUGAAGAAUACAUGCUGCUUCCUUUUUCUUCUUCCAUUUCUAUUUUUUUUUCUUUGAAAAAAAUUAUUAUUUAUUAAUGAUAUAAAAGUUAACGGCUAUAGUUUUUAAACAUGCUAUUAGAGAUAAAUUAAAAAAGCCACAGGUAGUAAAUUUAAUUUUACCAACCUAUCCAACAACUAUUAAGGUAAAGUUUACUUUCCGAAUUAGAAAUCACGGGUAGCAAUCCUGAAAGAGUAAGACUAGAAGUUGUUUAUUUAUACUAAAAUGAGAAGAUGAAAUAAAAAUUAGAAUCCCAUUUAUUUGUUUACAUUAUUUUAGAUUGGGAAUGAAUUGUAUUUUUAAUUACAAAGUAAAUAUAAAAUAUAUUUAGAAAAUAAACUAUCUAUUUUAUUAUUAAUUUUAAUUAUAUAAAUUAAUAAUUAUUAUCUAAAAUUCUUAAUUAUGUGAAUCAUAAUUUUUAUUAAUUUUAAUUUUAGUUGUGAAAAUUAAAAAUUAUUAAUAAGAACAACACAAAAGAAUCAUUACUAUUAAUAAUAUAGUACAAAAUUAAUAUUUCCUUAGAAUAAACUAUUUAUUAUUAUUAAUAUUAAAUAAAUAUAAUAAUAUUAUAUUUUCAAAUAAAAAUAGUAUACAAUAAUAUUAUCAAUUCUCUAUGAAUAUGAUUAUAUUAUUUUUAAUAAAUGUAAUUUUAUUAAAAAAUAUAAUUAUAUUACUUAAAUAAAUUUAAUAUUAUUAUUUUUAAAUAAAUGUAUCAUUAUAUAAUUUUAAUAAAUAUAAAUUAUAUCAUAUUUAAUAAAUGAAGGAUAAAAAAAGAAGAGGUGAGAGUGGAAAAUGCGAGUGAAAAUCUCACUCCUUACCUAAAAUAUGAGUAGGACCCAUAGAGUAAAAGUGUAAAACUCCUACUCUACUCCUCAAAUGAAUAAGAAAAAACUAAAGCGGAGGAAUCUACACUCCCAACUCCCAUUGCAGCAGGUAAACACUACAUAAGACUUAUUCAACUCCAACACUUAGGAAACAAAGAUAAUUAAAAAAGUUUAAAAAAAGGUUUCAGUUGGUCGCGCUUAUCAAAAACAAAAGUAAUUCUGAAAUUAUACCAAACGUAUUCUAUAUAUCCACAAACAGUAAAUACUUCAUCAGCAAACUGCCCUUGAAAUAAAGCUCAAGAAUUUUACUUCAGCUCAGCAGAUUUGAUGAUGUCAAUGAACUCCGGCUGAAAACAAAAAGAGGCACCAAGUAUUAGCACAAUAAUACUAAAGCAUACAAGGAACAGACGAGAAAAAUCUAGAAAUGCCAGCAAUACCUUCAACGAAGCACCACCAACCAAAAAUCCGUCAACAUCAGGCUGUGCAGCCAAUUCCUUGCAGUUUGCACCAUUUACGGAUCCUUAGAUAGUUAUGCAACGAAAAAUCCAUCAACUUUGGUUAAUGCAAUGUUAACAAAUAAGUUUUACAAGCAUUUAUUCUAUUUGCUGCUUUCUUUAUAUUUCAAUUUAAGGGGAUGAUUGAAGAAUUAAUAAUUCAAAGCGCAUAUUGCACAUUAUAAAAACAACCGAAUGACAAUAGCAAGUGGACUAGAACAUGGGACACAUUAAUAGAGAUACCUCCGUAGAUGAUCCGUGUUGCUGCAGCAAUUUCAGGACUGGUGUUUGCAAAAAGCCAUUUCCUCAGUUCAAAAUGUACCUAUUAUACAGAACAGUAAAAUUAGUAUGAAAACAAUCACCACUACCAAUUGAUAACUUUUUAGGAAAUCCAUCUAGCACAAGAAAUCAGCAUAUUAACUAUGACCUAAGAAUUGAUAUGGUAAAAUACACAAAGAGGGUAGUGGAAAAUAACUGAAAAGAGUUGGCCGAGAUGAGUGGGCAAUCCAAAAUUAGGCAAGGACAAAUAUACCCAAUUAUUCUAAAAAAUGUAUAUAUCCCGUUGAUAUAUGAUAAUGACUUCAACAUAUAAGCUGAAGGCUGAGGACUUACUUCUUGAGCCUGCGCUGGAGUGGCAACCUUCCCAGUUCCAAUAGCCCACACAGGUUCAUAGGCCAAAACAAUGUUUGACCAGCUUGAGACUCGAUCUGGCACCAGAGUUGAAAAAUGAUUGAGGGAGAUAUAAUUAGUAAAAAAUGAGAGAAAAAUAAAAUCAUCACUAUUAUAUAUUAUCACGAUUAGCAUCUAAGUUGAAGCUUGACAGCAUUCAGAAACAUUUACAUGCAUUUAAAUAAUGAUUGAGAAAAUAAAUCAGUGUAAUAAUAAAAGUAAAAGCUGAAGCAGAUUUCAUUUAGCAUACAAUAAAUAUCAUUCAUCUGUAUAGUGUCAUGGCCAAACAAAAGAGCCAAUACAAAGACAUAAUUUUCUACAUAUAGUGCGCACCUCUAGUAAAAGCAUUAAGGAUAAACCACUGAUGUGCCAAGACAAUUGAAAAACUGUAGAUAUGUUGAUAUGAUGAAAUUAUGAUGAAUAAGCACCAAAAUGCAAGACUGAAGUGUUAGAGCAAUACAAAUAAACAACCGUUCCAAUUUAACCCUUGUGAUAAAUACCAAACAAGAAAUUUCUCUUGAGAAUCUGCACAACACUAGAUCAUGAAAUAUGGUGCAAUGAGAAAUAAUUACUGAUAUUCUUUGUUGAAAAGAUAAACAUGGUUGAUUGCGUAAGGACAUUUCCCUCAAUAAUAAACUUUGAAGAGGUAGAAAGUGCAAUUAUCAUAUGAAAAAAAAAAAAAAAGAAGGUGAAUCCACCUAACACAUGUAUUCCCCUAAAACAUAUUAAAGUAAUAAACAAUUUAUUCUUUUACAAGAAACAAAUCACAAAUAAAGUUAUAAACAAUUUCAAAAGACCCUAUGAUGGCCAUGGUUUGAAAUUGAAGAACAUAAAUGUUUAAAACGGCAGACAGCGAGACUGCACAAGAAGCUCUGUGCAUGGCAAUGAAAUAUGUACCUGCGAUUGCUUUAGUUUGUGCAGCAACAACAUCCAUAGUAGAUCCUGCUUCACGCUGCUCAAGUGUCUCACCAACACAAGCAAUCACCUUCAAACCUUGAGAAAGUGCAUAUGCAACCUUAUCCCCAACAAACUAAAAGAAAUAAAAAGAGUCACAAAGUCAAUGUUAUCGUAGCAAAUGUUAAGAAAACAAAGAAUAGUAAAUGAAAUGCAUACUGCACAUACAUGAGUUUCCUUUUAGAAUGACAAGAAGAAGGGUUUGAAAUCGUAAUUAUCAAACAGUAGGUAAGUUUGGAACUGUGUCAUAAACCAUAUAGCUUACCUCAUUUGAUUCAUUCAAAAUGAGUCUCCUUUCAGAAUGACCAAGAAUGACCCAAGGAAUACCCAAAUUGACGAGCAUUUCCGCACUGCACAUACAUGAGGCAAUGAACUGUAAAUUUGCAAUUAAAAAAGUUCUUGUUUAAAAAUGCCAUCCUCAGAAAGAAAAUAGAAUAAAACAAAAUGAAACGCAAUGACUAAUGAAUAUCAUACCUAAUCUCACCGGUGAAAGCACCUCCCUUCUUGACCCAGCAAUUCUGUGCCGCAACAUGAAAAUCAGGCCUCAACGAACUCUUCACCAGUCCAAGAAACAGAAACGGAGGGCUAACAACGACCUCUGCAAUUGCAUCAAAGUUAUCAACACUUUAAAUUAUAGAACAAACAAAACGCCAUUUAAAAUUAAUCUUUUAACCCAUAACAAGAUUUCUUUAAAAAAAAUUUUUACAAAAAAAAAAGAGAUAAAAAAGCAGUAAAUAUUUAAACGACAUAACUUACCAACGACAUCAGAAGAUGGAACUUGACCUUCAUUGAGUACGCUCACUAUCUUUUUCACUUCUUCAGGUGUUCCAUUCUACAUUUUUAGAUUCGAGCCAAAAUUUACAAAUAAUUCAAUAAUCACACUAAUAAUAAAUUCAGCUCAACAGAUCUCAUAAUUUCAUAGAUCAAAUUCAGCUCAAACUAAUAUAACGAACAAUAGCAAGUGAUCGAAAACUUACGCAUUUCCAGUUACCGCCGACGAAGAACUUCCUGCCCAUGUUCGACGAGUGCGUGUGUCGGUGUGUGUGUUAUGUUUUAUUUUCUAUUUGUUUGGGCUUUCGAACAAAUAUCGAGAAGUUAAUAUGAAAUUUUUAGUUAAUUUCAAAUUACAGUUAUGGCCUGGCAUUUGGAAUAUGUUUUUUUUGGAGUCUUGAGCAAAUGAGCAGCACACAGGAGGGUAAGUCUGUCAAUGAAGGAGAAGGAAAUCGUCUAUCAGAAUCGGAUAGCAAAUGGUUUUUGUGGCCCACGGGUUUGUAAGGCACGGAAUGAGUGGGUGGUGAGAAGAAAGAUCACGUGAUGGGCUCGCUUAUCUCUGUUUGCUUUCAUUUGUGCUACUCGUGAGUCGUGCAUUUAGUUACUAUCGCAACACGACUCAUGUUCAUAAUCAACAAUAGUCAAUAAGCGAUUACUCACACUUGGAGGUAGAGAAAGGGCCGAACGGCACGUGAUACGAUACGGAAAUGACACGUGUUCGUACAAUACGAUACGGUACAAAUAUAUUUUGAUGGGAUAUGAUGUACGAUAUGAUAAGCACCGAAUUUAGAAUUUUAGGCACGUACGACUUAAAAGCACAGUAUGAUUAGAGAUGAAUUAAAGAAUGACACGAAAAAAAAAAUACAAUAAAUACGUCUUACUUUUUAAUGAAAGUUAACUUAAAGUUUUAUAAUUUUACAAAUAACUUGAAAUUGAAUAUUUUAAUAUAUUUUAUUAGUGCAAAUUUUCUAAAUUUAUUUAAUUCUUAGUUAAAAAUACUAUAAUUAAUUUAUGUUUAUAAUUUAUUAAAUAAAAUAAUUGAUAUUAUGAUUUUAAUAAAUAAAAUUAUAAAUAUUAUGAUUUAGAAAUAUGUAUUAAUAUUAUUAUAAACUAUAAUCUAUAACUCUAUAUAAGUCCGAGUUAAAAAUUAAAUUAACCCUUAAGAAAAAUUUAUUCUUAUUGUUGGUAUUAAGUAUUAAAAAAGAAUUCUAAUAUCGUAUGGUCAAAUUUAAUAAUUAACAUUACAUUCUCUUACUAUUAUUAGUUUAUUAUUAUUGAAUAUGUGCUUGAGUUUUGAAUUUUUGAUUUUAUCAAAUUUGAAUAAAAACACAUAAACCCAAAAAAGUACAUAAACUUGAAAAAGUACGCCAACAACUUGGCAUGCGCUCUUAAAAAAAAAGCUAAUCAUGUUUUUUUUCUUAAGUAUGACAUGACAUGGCCCACGAUAUGACAUGAGUGAGCACGACACAUAUGUUGGGCUAGGCCUAAGCAAAACAAAUUAGGCAGGCCAUGGUACGACACGAAACAAAUAGUGGGCACGGAAUGACAUGAUCAUGAGUGCGCAUGGGCCUUCCUUUAAUGGGCGGGGCCGACAUGGCACAACUCAUUGGCUAUCUCUACUCACACCACUUUAUUAUAUUUUACUUUUUUUUAAUAUUCUCAUGGAUUAUUUUAAAAUUCUUUUUGUAGGACUUUCUUUUUUUCUUUUUCAAAUGCAAAAUUCCUUAUAAUGACGAGUUAACAAGAUCAAAUACCUAGAGAGUAAUUAUAUAUUUUGUAUAAACCUUUCAAUUUUUAUUUUUACAUGAAAAUGAUAUCCAAAUUCCAAACCCUUAAAAGUAUCCAAGUGUAUGAAUACACAAACCUUCUUAUAAAUUAGGUUGCUGUGAUUAAGAGUGAAGCUUACUUUAAAAUUGUAGGUAGGCCAAAAUUUUAUAAAACUAAACUUAUGGAGUUAAAUUUUAAAAAAUAUUGGGUUAAACUGUUAAAUUAUUAAACUUACAGGGUCAAAUCUUAAAAAAAAAUUAUUUUAAAAACUAAAUUUAUAAAGUUCAUCUUAUAUUUUUUUUUUAAGACCAACACCUGUCUUAGGACAAUUCCUCUCCUAACUAUGACUAACAAGUCCAACUAAGAGUAGUAAAAUCCGGAUCCAGAUCCAAAUAUAGGUACAUCAACAUCCGGAUUCGCAUUGAUAUUUUGUCAUCUGCAUUCGUAUCCAGAUCCUUAAAGAAGUAUACAGAUCUGGAUGUGGUAAUAUUGUGCGAACUGCAGGUAGAUUUGUUGGAUAUCUAGAUCUGCAUAAUGCUAAAUUUAAGUAUAAAAAACUAAAUGAGUUUAUCGAAUAAAAUCUAAUCAUAAUUCAACAACCAACAAUUCAGUAUCUAGAAUAACAUAUACCAUUAUAAAAAAUCCAAAAAAAAAAUAUCACAACAUAAAUCAAACAUUUAUAAUAAUAUGAAUCCAACUAUCCAAGUCUAAAAACAUCACAAAUUCACAAAUAAAAACACCACAAAUUUACACAGAUUCCAAGCUGCUAUGUUUUACUUCUAGGGCUAGGUUUAUCAUAUGUACUUAAUGUUCAUAUAAAAUCUUAAUGUCGAAUAUGAAUUUUAGUUGAAUGUAAAGUUAUAGAUUUUAAAAAUAAAUUAUCUAUUUUGGAAAAGAAAGUUGAGGAUAUAUACUUGGCUAAUAGUGCAACCACACGCAUUAUUAUUCAAGAUAAAAAAUAUUUCUUUGAAAUAAAAUCAUCUAAAGAAAAAGUAAAUACUAUACCUAGUCUGACAGACCUAUAUUCUCGAUCACAAUUUAUACUUGUUCAACAAUCUAACAUUUCCUAUUACUCGCUUUUGGUUGUGCUAUGCACAUUUUUAUAUAAUCUCCUCAGUGCAAAAAGAUGAGACAUCAACGUCAUUAAGUGAUUUAUGUCGGUUUCAACUCACCUUCAAUAAUUUUUUAUCUUGAACCCUUAACUGGUGACCUUUUCACUGUAGCUUUUAUGAAUUCUCACUUUGAUGAGACAAUGUUUUCAUCAUUGAGGGAUAAAAAAACCUCUGAAAGUAAGACAUGAACUUUCUUUAAAAGUUUUAACUCAUUUAAAUUCUCGUACCAGUCAAUGCAAAGAUGAAGUAUGAAGGAUAGUACAUUUGCAACAAAUUGCAAAUCAAUUACUAGGUGUAUCUAGCGAUAUAACAAAAGUAACAAAGCCACACAAUCAUGCUCCUAAUACACCAGCUCGGGUGAUUAUUCUUGUUGAACAAUCAAGUUUAAAAGCAGCAACUGAGUUAUCUGUUAUAUGUCAGACACGUAAUAGACCACUUGGUUUCAAAAUAGUGCUCGUUAAAAGAAGUGAAUGAAAAAUCAGGAUCCUAUUGAAAAUGAUAAUUAACCUAUAAAUGUACCCACAUCAUUUGGAUCACCAGUUCUAGAUGGACUGAUGAUCCCUGAAGAGACAUAUGUCUCUGAAGUGAUAGUAACUCCUGAAUAAGUAUGAAAGCACAAAAAUGAGAAAAAAAAAAAUAAGAUUAUACCUGAAUAAGUAUGAAAGCACAAAAAUGAGAAAAAAAAAAAUAAGAUUAUACUUAUACAAGGAAAAUGUAGGAUAAUAAUAACUAAGCUUUGACAAUUUAUUUUUAUUCACAGUAAAAACUGAAAUUGAAAAUGAUUUUGGGACUCAAACUGUCGAUGAAUGUGGACAAAGGGAUGACCGUCCUUAAUGGAAAAAAAUAAUUCAAGCACAACUGACUUUUCUAGCUAAAGGUAAAGUUUUUUGACCUGUAGUUCGAAUAUCUAAAAAUAUAAUUCAUUUGAUAGAAAUGGAUAUUUAUGAGAAAACGUAAUGAACAUAAUAAAAUAAGUAGAUACAAAGCACAACUAGUUGCACAAUGUUUCUCACAGAGACAUGAUAUUAAUUAUGAGGGUAUGUAUUAUUCAGUAAUGGAUCUUAUUACAUUUUAAUUUUUAAUCAUUUUAGCAACUCAAACAGACUUGAUAUACGUCUCAUGACCGUAGUGAUUACAUAUCUGUAUGGGUCAAUUAGCGCUAGUAUUUUCAUGAACAUCCUUGAAGGAUUCAAAAUAUCUGAAGCAUAUAAAUUAACAAAUCACAAUCUGCGUUCAAUCAAGCUACAACAGUUGUUAUAUAGAUUGAAAAAAAUUGAUGCACGUGUACAACUGUUUAAGUGAAUAUUUGAUUAAAGAAGGGUUUUAUUCACCUGUGUGUAUUUAUUGAAAAAUCUGAAACUAAAUUUAUAAUUGUAGUCGUUUAUGUUGAUGACAUGGGCUUAGUUGGAACUCCCAAAGAGUUUCUUAAAGCUGUUGAAUAUUUAAAGAGAGAAUUUAAAAUUAAACAUUUGGGGAAAACAAGAUAUUGUCUUGGUCUGCUGAUUGAUUAUAAAACAAAUGAAGCACUUAUCUAUCAAUUUAUUUAUGUUGAAAAAAUCUUAAAGCAUUUCAGUAUGGAUAAUGCUCAUAUGCCAAGCACUCCUAUAGUUGUUAUGUCUCUUGAUCCCAAAAAGAAUCUUUCCCAUCUUAAAAAGGAUGAUGGAGAGAUACUUGGGUUUAGAAGUACCAUAUCUAAAUGCAAUUGAUGUUUUAUUGUACCUAGCCCAAUGCAUUUAACCAAACAUUGCAUUCUUUGUAACUUGUUGGCAAGAUUUAGCUCAGCGGCACUCAAUUCCAAUACGACGACAUUGGAACGACAUCAAACAUAUCUUUCGAUAUCUUUGCAAAAUGAUGAACUUGGGGCUAAUUUAUUCAAGUGGACCAAUAGAGAAUUUUGGUCUUACCGGUUAUGCAAACUCAGGUUCGCUCUUUAAUCCCAACAAAGCUCAUCUAGAAGCAAGAUAUAUUUUCACUUAGAAUAGCAUGACAAUUUUAUGGUGAUCGACUAAGUAGACUUUCGUUGCACCUCCUCUAAUCACUUAGAGUUCCUUGUGUUAGAUAAAUCAAGCACAAAGUGUGUUUGGUUACAGACUAUUAUCCAUUAUAUUCAAAGCACUUAUAAUUUGACUUUCACAACAGAUGUUUCAACAAUUAUAUAUGAGGAAAUGCUGCUUAUAUUGCUCAAAUUGGAAUAUAUCAAGGGAGAUAGAACUAAGCAUAUCUCCUCCAAAGUUCUUUUACACUCAUGAGUUGCAACAAGAUAAGAAAAUUAAGGUUAAGCAAAUAUACUUUAUUGGUAAUUUUGCUAAUGUUUUUACUAAGUUUUGCCCGCAUUAAAUAUUUGAGAAGUUAAUCCACAAUAUUAGCACGUGUUAACUCAACAAAUUAAAUUAACAUAUGGUAUUUGAGGUAGCAUUUUGCUAAGGGGAGCAUAUUUUGAAGAGAAGAAUUUUGCAGUUAUAUUAGAUAAAUAUGCAUUAUACUCUUUUUCUUUUUACCAAGUUUUGUCCAACUAGAUUUUGCUGAUAAGGUUUUAAUGAGGCCGUUUUAAAUACUUGCACUAUCACUUCUUAUCUUGAAAGUUAUUUCUUAUCUUGAAAGUUAUAUAUGUAAUUAAAGUGAUGAAUUCAAGGGGGUGUUGUAAAUUAUUGACUCCACUCUUUAAAAUCCCACAUUCGAAUCCUUCCCAUUUGCAUGUGCUUAAAAUUUUAUUAUAUUUGCAUGUGCUUAGAACACCCACUCUUUAAUUUAUAUUGUUUUAAUAUAAAUUACGAAAAAAGGAUAAAUAAUAGCCAAUAUAAAAUUUUAUUAUUUAUUUAUUUUAUAACGCCGCUAACUUUAAAAUCAUCUUUACCGCCUGAAGGGUAAAAAGGGAAACCAAAAAAGUCUAUCUCAUGUCCAAACCCUUCCCCGACAUCAUUUCCCGCCACCAUAAACACAAAGUAGGGUUUCACUCAAAUUUCACACAAUUCGAAAUCCUCACUCAAAUCAAACCCAUUCACUCUUCAUCAAUUCAUUUCGAUUUUUCUGAACUCUCUCGCAAAUUUGAAAACCUCAGAUCUAAUUUUAUUUACAAAAAUGGCCGGCCAAUCUGAUCCUCACGUCUCUCUGUUUUCUCCACCAGAGGUUUCUAUUGCUUCACUAAUUUACAUUUUUUUUAAAUAAAAUUUUGGCCUUAGUUUAGAAGUUUUGAUGUAAUUGGUUUUGGAUUUUUUUUUUCUAAUCAGGUUGAGUUUAUGGCGGAAGAUGAAUUGGUGGAGAUUGUGCCGAAUAUGAGAAUGGAUCCUCUAAAUUUUAUCUGUGUAUUUCCCGAAUUUACCAUCUUGUUGGAGUUGAGCUUAACACGCUGUUCUUGUUAAUAUUGAAAUGAAUUGUUUGUUGAGUUUGCAGGGUGAUUUUGGUCCCUUUUACCCCCAAAUACCGGUCAAAGUGCCAUUGUGGCUUGCGGCUGCGUUGAAGAAGAGAGGGAAAUGCACAAUUCGGCCACCUCAAUGGAUGUCAAUUGGUGAGCAUUUUAAUUUGAGUUUAUUUUGUGUUUAUUCGAUUUAAUUUUUUUAUUUGGCAUUUUCUGGUGUCUUAUAAUCUGGGGCCAAAAGUAAGAAAAGGAAAUAUGUUCAGCUUCAGAUGUAUUGUUUCUCAUUUGUUGUCAUAUUUUUUUUUCCAUGUGGUCUAGAAAAUUUAACAAAGGUUUUGGAAGGAGAAAGAGAAGAUCGAGGGACAUUUCAGGCUGUGCCUUUCCAUUACAUCGAGAUCUCUAGACUUCUUUUUGACCAGUGAGCAUUAGUUAUUUUGUUUGUUUGUUUGUUUGAUUGGUUGAAUGCUUUCAAAUGUGACCAUAUUAAUGACGACUGUAAUUUUUGUGGGUGGUAGUGCACGUGAUGACAUUCCUGAUAUUUAUAUGGUGAGUUUGAAGGUCUUAAACCUUGUUUGAUAAAGCAUUUCAGUUUUUCCAAGGAUGUUAACCUUAGUCUUUUUCCCCUAGGUGAGGUCCCUUAUUGAGGACAUCAGGGAUGUACGACUGCAUAAAAUUGAGACGAACUUAGAGAAAUUUAGUGCUACAUCUGCAGUGAAGGUAGGUUUUUUAUCUCUUGUCCUGAAUCUGUUGAUUGUGAUCACUACAAUUUGCCAUUUUGCAGCCUUAUAGAAUUUAUUUUGAUCAUCAUUUAAGAGAUAUGACAAAAAUGAAUAUAUGUAAAAACAGAAGCAAACAAUUUGAAUUUUUUAAUGCUGAAAAAAAAGGCUGAAGAGCAUGAAGGGACAAGUUUUGUGUUUGAAACUUGGGGGAGAGCAAGAAGAAAUCCUCUUUAUGAAACUUGAAGAAUCGCACUUCUCCCAUUUCGCUUGUCAAAAUAAAACUCAAUGCACUUUUUCCCCCAUGGAGAGGAAUUAUACAGCAGAGAUAAUGUGUAAAUUAUUAAAACUUCCCUUGUUAUGUUUAUGAUCUUGUGGAGCCAGCUUUACUCUGAAGAUUAGCAUCAAGCCAAUUGAUAGACUGGAGUAGACGUCAGGGUUGUUAUGUUUAGCGCAUCUUCAAUAAUUAUUUUGAUGAUUAUCAAGACAUUGUCAGUGAGAAAUUAUCAAAAUACUUGCAUAAAUUUCCCCUGGGUUGCAAAUCAUGAAACAUUUAUGUGAAUCAUGUGUCCAUUAUUUAUAGCAUGGACUGUUGAACUGCAUUUAUAUUUGUUUUCUUUUUGGUUACCUUGCUUCUAAAAUGUCUAAUAUGGUAUUUCAGAUUGCCCAUCUGUCUGCAAUGGAAGUGAAUGUAGUUCGUCCAUUUGUUGUGAGAGCCCUACAGGCUUUCUAUAAGCAUGAUAAUCCAGUACUGCUGGUGGAUUUAGAUAGUGUAUCUGAUAGACAGUCACACGUAACUAGACAGCGACAAUUGCCUAAUAAUGCACAAAAAGUAUGGGCUCACACUUUCUUUUUUCUCCAUUCUCAAUCUCAUUUUAUUUCUCACAGAUUUUAUCAGUUGACAGUCUGCUGCCGAUAUAAGAAUAAUGAGAUUUACCCAUUGAAAAGGCAUUUAGUUAUUUGACCAAUUCUUUUGUUCUACAGCAACCUCUGAAGCGACGGUAGUUGAUCUCAAUCCUCUAAUCUCCUUCCAUCUGAACUGGAAAAUGAUUGAUUUCAGUCAACUGGCAUAGAAGGUACAGCUUGAAAUAUUUUCCAAUGGAUCCUUUCUUUGAUCAAGUGCGUUGCUCAUUGUAAUUGUCAUAACACAGUGUUUCUUUAAGGGAUGUUAUAUUUAUUGAUAUCUUUUUUUUUUUAAUAUUACAAAUAAACAUUCAUCUACGAAAAAUGUUAAAGAUUCCAAUGGAUAACAUGGAGAAUUGCCUUUUAUUAAGUACAAUCAACACGGUCCUGAAUUUGUUAAGUUCUGAGUUUAGAGACAGUAUUUGCCUCUUGCACAUGUAUAUCAUUAAAUAUCAAUUACCCAUGUUAGCAUUAGUCAUUAAAGGUUGUAUGUGAAAACCAAAUUUUUGAGUUUAAAUAAGCAAGAGGCUACCGUGGUGUAAAAAGAAAAGAUUAAACAGACAAUUGCUUUUCUGGAGGUUAGAGAUGUGUUACAGAGCUCAUACAUAUUGUGAAUAGCCUAGAUGCAGGGAAAGACAAGAAUAAAAUGUUGGUUGAGGUAGGAAGAAGACUUGAUAGGAGAAAGAUACAGCAAGGGUAGAGUUGAAUUGUGGAUGGUGAGCUGAAAAUUAGUUAUUUUCUUACCUACUUUCUGUUUGUUUCAUGGUUUUUUCUUUUUAUUUUGAGUUCGUGUUAAUUUCUUGAAAACAAGGCAAAAGCCUGCAGGACUUAACCUGAGUCGGUUUUGAUGGAGACUAUUAUAAGUUUAGUUAAUUAUCAUGGAUUGUCGGUUUCUCUACCAUUUCUGCACUAGAGUCCAGGUCCACUGUGUCUAGAGACUGGAUGUAACUCUGGAUAUUUCCAUUACCGGUAGAAUUGAAAAUUUUGGGGCUAAAGUUUACUUUUUAUCGUGUAAUCUUAAUCAUUGGAUCUCUCUGAAGACUGACAGAGGGUUCCAUGAAAUGACGUGGCACUGGCACAUGAGGAAUGCCAAAAUGUCAAGAUCUGUUUGUAAUUCCCCCCCCCCCCCNNNNNNNNNNNNNNNNNNNNNNNNNNNNNNNNNNNNNNNNNNNNNNNNNNNNNNNNNNNNNNNNNNNNNNNNNNNNNNNNNNNNNNNNNNNNNNNNNNNNNNNNNNNNNNNNNUUUAUCUUGGUUCCUGAGCAAAUCAAUAGCUUGAAGAAAUUAUUUUUUUCAAUUUUGGCAAGGAAAAGGAAUGCUGAUUGAAGUCUAAUAAUCCACUUUGAUGACUAUGAAACUUUGAUGAUUAAUGUGCUUUAUGAGAAAUAUUUCUCAAGGCUAAUGCAAGACAAAAAUUCAAAGCUUCUUAUAUAGAUUAUAAAAGCCGUAAUAAGUUGUUGAAAUGUUGGGAAACAUUGUCAUUUCUUUCCCCCCUUGAACUAGACUUAGUGAUCCUGAAAUAUGUAUUUGAUCAAAUAAAUGCAAAUUGGACACACUUAAUUUUCUUAGACAUAUUAGAUUUAUGUUCAAAACAUCUAGCAGGUAUUUUUUUUUUUAUGUUUUUCAAUGCUUUCUCGUAAUACCUUUUGGCUGUUUCUCUCCUCAACCUUCUAGUUGUUUUGUCAAUUAUCCAUUUUACACGUCUUUUGAGCAUAAAAAGGGGUUCCCUAGUUCACAUAUUUCUUGGGGAUUAUAUACGCAGUAGUUGCUUGGCUGUUGGCAUCACGGUCUUGGUUUUGAAUAAUUGUGUUAUAGAGGAAUUGUAGCUUUCCUAAGCUACUUCUAGUUAGAAACCCUUCUAAUAAAUUAAAUUUUGAAAAGAAAAACGUCACUUAUGCAAGCGUGAGACAAUUGGGACUUGGAAGGUUACCUUCGUUUAAUAAGAUUUAUGUUAUUAAAUUUUGAAAUUUUUUUGAAAAGAUGUCAGCAAUCCUUCUAAUAAAUUAACUUUUUGAAAAAAAAAAAAUUGUCACUUAGGCAAGCGCGAGACAAUGGGGAGUUGGGAGGUUACCUUCGUUUAAUAAGAUUUAAGUUAUUAAAUUUUGAAUUUUUUUUAAAAAAAAUGUCAGAAACCCUUCUAAUAAAUUAAAUUUUGAAAAAAAAAAAGUCACUUAGGCAAGCGCGAGACAAUUAGGACUUGGGAGGUUACCUUCAUUUAAUAAGAUAAAAUUAGUGUCAAAUGUCCGUUUAAUCAACCAUAAAUCAUUGAAGAGAAUCCAUCCCGUCUUAUAUUAAAAUAGGAAGAAGUCUGGAUUUCUUGUCAUUGUGCAAGAACAUACCUCAUGGUCCUUUCUUUGAACCCGCCCUUAGUUAUGGAAAUUAUAAAAUUAGUGUUAAUUUGCACAUGCCGUGGGACCAGUAGGCUGCUUGUGUUUGUCAAUUCAUUUUAAAUUCACACGCACCCCAUCCCAUAAUUUAUUGAGACGGAUUGACAUUUUUGACAAGCUCCUAGAAAGAAUAUUCCUCCAGAAAAUUCUGAAACAUUACAUGUGUCAACACCCUGUAAAGUGACCUGCAGGUUCAGUUAUGUAAAGGAUUAGAACGGGCAACAACUACCUUGUGGCCUUUAAGUAAUUUUAUGUUCCAACUCUUGUUUGUCUGCCUUCUCACUAACUUCCAAGUGUUUUAAGGAAGUGACUAGUAACAUGGGUACUAAAUUUAGAUUGUUGUCGCCGAAUAUCAAACUAUUUUUAGUUAUGAAAAGUGGCGUCGAUCUAAUAGCACAACCGACUCUCGAGUAUUUUGCAGUUAAAUAAGUUCAACGAAACCAUACGUCAUAGGACUUUGUUGUUUUUGUUUUGUUUUCCUUUUUUUUUUCAACAUUGAUUUUUAAAUUAAUCAUUAUUAGAUUACUCCUUUGAUUCGUCUCUUAUUAAAAUUAUUUGUUAAUAAGUAUAAUGCUAGCUGUAAACCUCUUUGCUCAUGUAUAAUGCUAACGUUGGUUGGUGUGAGUGGUUCGGUACUCUCACUCCUUAAGAUCGACACUCUCACUCUUUAAGAGAGGUCAGGGGCUUAAGCCCCACUCUCGUAUGAAGUCACUAUUUUGACCAACACUUUAUAUCUUACGGACCGAUCCGGUGCGAAUAUGGAUUAAUAUGAGUUGUGAUACGGGCUUAAAAGUGUCUUCCACAGUUGGGAUCUACUCAGGACCACCUUCAUGGUUUCGACAAAAAAAAAAAAAAGUAUAAUGCUAAUGUUGCAGAAAUCAAUCACUGGAUUUUCAUCACUUCUGUUAAUUUUUUGUGUGGCAAUAGACUUGCUUGGAAAAAUAAAGGUUGAAGGAGAGAUCGGAAGCUGGGCUUAUUGUGAAUUGGAUAUGUUUGAAAAUGAUGCUCUAGGUGUCAAACAGAUCAAACUUGAAUACAAUUUUAUUCUUUAUUGGCCUGUUGCAUUGUCGUUUAUCAAGGGAAUUGGUCCAUUUUGAAGGCCACAGCCUGGCCAAGAGCCAGCGGAUCAGGUUUUAAUCUGUUUCCUAAUUAUUUUAUGAAGAUUAAACAACGGGCGUUUUGUAUUGACUUAAUGAUUAAUGUUUGCCUAAGCCAAAUUUCUAAUACAACAACACAAGUUAAAUAUGAGAACAAUAAAUUAUCUGGUGGAAGUCCCCAAUUUUGUAAGGUAAAAAUCAAAUGAAGAUCCCAUUUUAGUUUCAGAAUUAAACCUUUUCAGUGUUUUUUCAAAUGAGGGAAUCUAGAGAAUUUGAUCACCUCGGAAAAAUUGAAUUUACUUAGUUUAGACCUUUAUCCUCUAACUCUGAAGCUGCCAAGAACAAUUCGUAACUUUUUGUUCUCUUUUUGGUGAAAAGUCAUCUCAUAUUUAAUCUAUCCCUAAAAAAGAAUUGACAUUUUUUUUACAUUCUAUCUUACGUGGGGCUGGGAACAGAUAAACUUGUCAAUUAUGAUGAAUGGCUCCACAACUUCUUCAUAAUGUAGAGAGCAUUAUAAAUUGAAUAAUGAUAUAUCCAUAAAUUUUUGUAUAAGUUUAUUUUGUACAAAUGAAUAUGGCUUUAAUUCAUUGGUUGAAUUAAAUAUCUCUUAGCCUACAUGAUUUAUUUAUAUUAUUUUAUAUUUUCAUUCAACCAAUGAAUAAAUAACACAUCAGUUUGUAUAAAAUAAAUUUAUACAAGAGUUUGUAGCUGUAUCAUGACUCUUAUAAAUUUAGGGUCCAUUCGUGAUUGUUUUUAAGAGGUUCAAAAGCAAUUUUUAAAAGUUAAAAAAUAAUUUGGGUGUUUGUUAAAUUUCAUAAAAAUCAUUUUUGCUAAAAUCAUCCUAUCUUAUAGUAGAUUUUGAAAAAUAUGAAAAGGGUAACUUUUUAAAUUCUGAUUAUGAGAAUUAAUUUUACACUUAUAACAAUCCUACAUAUAUUCUCACAUGUAUUAUAAAAAUUUAAAAUUAUACUUACUCAAUUAAAAAAUAAAAUCAAGAAAUUUAAAGAGAAUAAUAUUAUUACCAAUAACACUAAGAUAAAAAAAUAAAAAAUAAAAUUUAUAAAAAAUAUUUAUUUUAGUUGACAAUUAUUAUUUAUAGACAAUAAAAAAAUAUUUUACAUAUAUGUAUAAACGUAUAAAUAAAAUUUAUUUAAUAUUAUGUUCGUUUCAAUUUUGUAUUCUUACAAUAAUUUAAUAAUAAGAUGUAUUAAAUACAUACAACUACUUUUAAAUGAAAAUAAAUUUUACUGAAUAUUUAAUUUUUUACAAUUAAUUAUUUUUACUGUACAAUUAAUAAUAAUUAUUUUAAAAAUUAUUGAUACUGUAUCUUAAUAUGUGCAUAAAAAAAAUUGAAAUAAAAGAAACCAUAUAAUCACAUCAGAUGGAGGGAAAGGUUGACCCCCCAAGGUGGAUUCCUAUUUUUGACCUUCAACAUACAUAUCAACUGCAAAGGCACGAAAUGCACCUUGUGUUGCCGCGGAAUAGAUCAAGAGAGCAGAUAAGUAGAACGUACUCAUUGGGAUCCCUUUGGACCGGCCUUUGUAAAACACGGAGUUGGUUGGGUCAAUCGUGAGGCCUAUGCAUCAUCAUCAUUGAUAGCCGUGAGUCGUGGCGUCGUCCCCAUCAGUCAUCAUCUAUUACGUUAAAAACCGAAAGUAAGAUAGAGAUUCUGCCAGAAGAGCGUGUGGGCCCAGGGCACCGUGUGUGGCGCGUUUGUGCAUUUUUCCCUCAAAAUAUUAUUCAUGUCAUUAAUUGAGCAUAUUAAUAUAUAAAAUUGAUUAUUAUUUAAUAAGUCAAUAUAUUAUAUAAUUAAUAAUAAAUACUUUACAUUAUUUGAUUAAGAGUAGCAUGUAUAUAUAUCAUCAUUUUGUUAAAGUGAAGAUGAUAUUAGAAAAAUGAAAAAAAAACAUAGAUUUUCAAUACACUAAUAGAAAAAAAAAGUUUUUCAUGCAUUGGUAUAUGUUAUUUUCUUUUGUAUUUUAGUAACAUUCUCACUUUGUUAAAAAGUACAAAAUAAUAUCAUGUUAUAAUAUAUUCAUAGUUUGUAAUUUUUUUUUCAAAUAUCAUGAUAAUUGUUUUAUUUUUUCUUUAAUAUUUUGGAUUCAUUUCGCAUUUUUUACUUGUUAAUAGAUUAGAUAACUAGUAACAACGAUUAUUAUAUUUAUAUAUAUAACAAAUUGAAAUUACUAGAUAUCAAGUAACUAGAUGAGGUAACUAGUAACAAGUUACUUUGAACACAAUUGAAAAAAAAAAAAUUACUAGAUGUCCAUCCUAAAUUUACCCCCUUAUAAAAAAUACUACAAAGUGUUUGAAUUUGUAUGAUUCUCCACUCAUUGUUUACAAUGUAUAUCAAUUGUCUCAAAAAAAAAAAAAAAAAGAAGAUAGAAUUAUCCUUACAAAAUAACUACUACUAUAAUUUGUGUUUCCUUUUGUUUUGUCGUUUUUAGUGAAUAGAUGUUACAAAUUGUAUAUAUUUUGUGUAAAAUUUAACAAAUUCAAAUAUUUCUAAUAUUUUUGAUAAUUGUGUAAACUUAUGAUGUAAGGUUGAUAAUUAGUUAUUUUCAUCGAAAGUUUGCUGUCUAAUAGAUAGGAUUAACCUGCCAAGUGCCAACUGAGGCUAACAAAUGAUAGCCGUUGAUUCUCAAAAUGAUUUCAAAGGUCCAUACUAAAAGAUUGGCUGAUAAUGAACGCAUUGCCAUUUACAGCUACGGAGUUGCAUCCAAAUCACGAGUCAAUUAUGAGAUUUUUAUUAUUACCUUAUUGAAAAAAUAAAUUAUUAGUACUACUGUUAUCCGACGCAAUAUAAAUAGUUCCGUGUAGCUCACGUCAUCUUCCAUUUCUAUUUUCUAGCUAUGGCUGUACACGUUCCACCGUCCAAGUUGCUUGGUGACUUGGUCCCCAAGUAACUUGCCGAAAUUCUGAUUAUGCCCUUAUAUUAAAUUUGGUAAAACAUUUUCUUUAUAAUAGAAUAUAGCAGUAGACACACUCAUUUAAAUUUGGUAAAACUUUUUCUAUUAAAUAGCAAUGAGAUAGAAAAUUCUUGAACUAUCUAAUAAAAAUAUAUCUUUUCUAUUUAAUCUUUUAUUCUUUUUAAUUUUUUGGAUAUCCAGCUAUUAAAAAAAAAAAGAAUAUCCAGCAAGACUGGAAGUCACUUUCCAAAUUAAUGCCAAAAAAUAAAAAAAAGAGACGCAUAAUUCUAAAGAUAUUUCUGUUGUUUUUCUUAAAACAAGCGAAUGAACAAACUAUCACUUACCGUCCAUGUACAAUUCUCCGGCCUUAUCCAUUCCCUCGCAAUUUUCGCCUUUAUUGAAACAAAAUCCAAUUAAACGAAAAAAAAAGCGAGGUCAUUUCUGUAAUUCGAUCCCCAAAACUUUUAUAUGUACUCGCCUUUCCCGUUGUCCUCUCCUUUCAUCCUUUGGGUUUUGCAGCAAUUGAAAUAACAACCUUUUUUUUUCUUCCCUUUGGAUCACAACUGGAAAACACAAAAAAAUUCAAAUUUUCAUAAGCAAAAGCAGAAUCAAAACUGUAUUUAACAAAAAACAAUAAUAAAAAAGAAAAUUCAAAAACAUCAAUUCAAAUUCCUUUCUGUAGUUUUGAGUUGGCAAACUCAUCAGCCCUUUUUUAUUGGUGGAGAAUCACAGGAUAUGAUGCUGUCAUGAAAUCACGGUGUGGGGGAAAGAAAGUGAAAGCUGGGGAAUUGGCGGGGUCGAAACGACAGCGGCGGAUUGGCGAUGGAGUUGUUGUGCACGACGACGACGGCGACUGCCGCGGGGGAUUUGUGGGCCAGGGGCAUAGGUGGAGGGUUCAGCCACGAGAGCGAGCACGAUUUGGCUCUCAUGGUCAGCGAUUUUUUGGAAAAUGGCAGUGCUGGCACCGAUUCUCUCUGUAGCAGCGACUCCGAUUCCGGUUUCUCCGAUCUGGCUCACCUCGCCGACAAAAUUUCGGUAAUUUCAUUUUUAAAUCGCCACGACUUAGCCAUUUUUGGCAGUAGGCAAUUUUAGUUAUGAACAAGAAAUAUAUUUUUAUUAUAAAAUUGAAAAUUUUCUUCUGCUCUCACGGAUUCAUCAACAACAUACAUUUCAUUUUUUUAUCUUAUAGAUUUAGUUGAUUUUGAACUGUAAUUGAGAGGUAAAAAAAAAAAAAAACGCUGGUGUUGCUUUAUAUAUAUAUAAUCAUUCUCCAGUAGCAAGUCACAUUGUUUUUCUACAAUUCAACACCAAAUUGUUAACAACUAUAUAAAAGUCCAGAUUUUAUUGAAUAUGAAUAUCCAUAUGGAAGAAAAAUUAUGUAUAUAUUAUGAUGAUAGCAGCUGGUAUGUCAAUCUGAUUGUGCCGGUGUACCGUCUGUUUAUGCUAAGAAAUAGUGUGCAAUCUAAUAAUGGUGGGCGUCGUUGUUUUACAUAAUAGUGUGUAACCACAAUUUUUGGGAAAACCACAAUUUUAGUCUUUGAUUUCUGCUUGGGAGAAUUUUUUUGAUGUUGAAGUAGUUUUUUCAUGAUAUUACAGUUUUACAAGCGUUCUGUGCCUCAGUAUGAGAUGGACCUGACAUUGGUGGUUCAUUCUUUAAUUCUAUCAAUCAAAGAGACAGAUCUUCAUGCUGUGAAGUCAGACCAGUGUAAUGCCAGUUGCAUCAGGUUUGUUCUGGUCAAACUCUUGAGACUUUCGGGCUAUGAUGCUGCGGUGUGUUCCACGAGGUGGCAGGGUAGUGGCAAGGUCCCCGGAGGUAUGCUAUAAAAUGUCCAAGUUGCAAAUGUCUUAUAUUUAUCAUUUUACAACAAUGCUAUGCGUUUCUAGAUAUAUAGAUUGUCAAGUAAUGAAUUUGGAUAUGCGAGUUGUACUUUUUGGAAAGUUUUGGGAACCAUAUACCAAAUCAACCCUACAUGGUUAAAGAUAGAGUGAAUUUACUGAUCCAUGUCAGUAGUUCAAAUAUAUCAUAUUUUCCUUUGAAUAAGUCUAAAUCUGCUUGUUUGGGAUUUCAUUGUAUUUUCAUGGCAAGGAAUGAAACUUUUCCCUUCUUGCAUUACAAAUGAUAUUAAAUGUUUUUAGCUGAACCAUAUCCGAUGGUAAACUUGUGGUUAUGUUAUGCAGGCGAUCAUGAAUACAUUGAUGUGGUCAACUACAAUACUGCUGGGAGCUCUGAGCGUUUGAUAAUUGACAUUGACUUCCGAAGCUACUUUGAAAUUGCUCGGGCUGUUGAUUCUUACGAUAGAAUAUUAAAAUCACUUCCAGUUGUUUAUGUGGGCUCUUUGAUAAGGUUGAAACAGUUUCUCCAAGUUAUGGUUGAUGCUGCUAGAUCUUCUCUAAGUCAAAACUCAAUGCCUCUUCCUCCAUGGAGAUCUCUUGCUUAUUUGCAAGCCAAGUGGCAAUCACCGCACCAAAGAGAUUUUAAUCCAGAUGAACAGAAUAUCACCACCACUUAUUCUCUUGACCAUAAACAGUGCAGAGGACAUUUAAAGAGGCUGCAGUCCUCGCUUCAUUCUGAAGUGGAAGCAGAGCGGUUUUUGAACCCCAUAAACAGUGAUAAUACCCGUUGGUUGAAGCUUGAGAGGCGUCGGCAUUUCUCGUUGAGAGCUCUUUGAUAGGUAGAAAUUUUGGCCCAGGAGAUGAGAGUUCCUUCUUUUUGAGUGUAAUUUAUUUGCGGCUUUCUGUUCAGAGAUUCUUUUUACCUAAUAUUUAAUAAGAGUGGACCAGAAUGAAGGGCAGGUGCUUAUAGCAGACAUCAUAACAAUAAAGUAGCAACCAUAUGGUGGAAACUUCUUCGCACUUUAUGCAUCUUACAUUUUGGUUUACUGGCGGCAAGCGGGUCGGUAUCAAGUUUUUGGAGCUGUUUAUGGGUUUUCUUUAUGCCUAACAGUGCCAACAAACCAGUUGUUACCACUGUGCUGCUGCAACAUUCAUUAGAUUGUUUUCGGCUUUUAGUACCACCUUGAAUGUAUUCCUUGCCCCUUAUUAUAUGGGUUUAGGAAAUUUUGCUGUUAUAUAUAUUCUUUUCUCUUUGCUCGCCAGCCCCCCACCCCCUCGUUUCUUCUUACGUCUUAAAAUGUUGAGCAUAUCUUUUUCGCGUUGAGGAAGUGCAUCGAUUUAAAACUGAAUUCUUAUGUUUGUUACAUUACGGCUGGAAUAGAACAUGAUCAAAUGGUACCUGAAUUCUUAAUGCAAUUGUGUUGGGCCGUCUGGAAGUUUAUUUUUUAACAGUAUUUGCUGAUUGGACUUUUUGCAAUUGGGGAAGGGGGGUUUGGGAUAAGGUAUUCACACAUGAUUAUUGGACAACUGGACUCUUAUCAACUGCUUUUAGAUAGAUGCUCAGCUCUUUCUUAUCUGUCAUGACAUGAAUAAGCUUUUGGUUCAUCAAGCAUGCCUUUGGUGGUUUUAUUUAUUUAUUUUUUAAUUUUUUGUUUUGAGAAUUGGUGGUUCUUUGUUAAAACGUGAUAGUAUUGCCAAGUUCGUCCCUUCCUUUCAACCAUGUGAUCAUAAUGACGUAGGCUUCUUUCAAAUAUGUUUUUUUUUUUUGAGUUGAACUUUUGGCGUAAUAGGGUAGAGAUGACUUCAGUUUCCAAGUCUUUGGAUGCUCAAGUGUUGAAGGCUAGAUACUUCAGACGAUCAGAUUUUUGGCUACCCAACUAAUUACACUAGUUUGUACGAACUAAAAAGUAAUCUAUCAAAGCAACAAGCAGCCUUUACGUGUCGGAUCAAAUUAUGGAUGACCCAAAAUCUAUAAAAAAUAUAGGUUCAAUAAAAACUUUCUGCAUAGAAUAAUUUAGAAUUCUUAAUGAGAAUUGCCUAAGUGCUUAAAUGUUUUAGUGAAGUGUCUAAUUAUAAGAUACAACAAAGUGCCAUAGGCACGAUUUUAAAAAAAAAAACUUAGGUCCAUUCUUUACAAAGAAUAACCAAAGUUCAUUCUUUAUAAAGAGCCACUUAAGUCAAUUUUUUAUAUAAAAUAACAUAGAUCCAUUUUUUUUUACAAAUAAUGAUUUAGACACUUAGAAAAUAUUUCUAAGUAGAAUGGCCAAAGAGCAAGUCUUUAACAAAGCGCUAAAGGUAUGAUUAAACAAAGAAAAACUUAAGUCUAUUUUUUUAUAAAGAACGACUUAGGUCAUCUCUUUAAAAAGAACAAUCUAAGUCUAUUAGUUGCAAAGAAUGACCUAAGCACUUAGAGAAUAUUUAUAAGUAAAAUACCCAAAUAGCGAGUUUUUGACAAAAUGCUAAAGGCAUGAUUCUUCCAAGAAUGAUUUAGAUCUAUUCAUUGUAAAGAAUGAACCUAGAUACUUAUUUUACAAAAAAUGAUUUAGGUCUAUUACUUAUAAAUAAUGACCUAAACUUAGAGAAUAUUUAUAAGUAAAAUGCCCAAAGAGUGAGUCUUCACAAAACAAUGAAAGUAUGAUUAUUCAAAGAAUGGCCUAGGUUUAUUUUUUACAAAUAAUGACUUAGACACUUAGAAAAUAUUUUAAAGUAAGAACCUUCGUACCAACAAGUAUUCUAUAGAAUUUGCCUAUAGACAAACAUGCAUUUUAUGGAAUAAGCUUAUUGGCAAAUAAACAUUUUACGGAAUGUGCCUUUGGACAAAUCAUUAACUUUAAAGAUAUUAUUAUCAUUACCAAUUAUAUUAAGAUAACAAAAUAAAAUUAAUAAUAUAACAUAUUUAUUUUAAUUAUCAAUUAUUAUAUAUACACUAUAAAAAAUAUUUUAUAUAAUUUUAAAAAUAAAUUUAUCAAACGUUUAACUGAUUCUCUUCAUAGUUGGUUAUUUCUAUAGCAAGCUAACAAUAAUUAUUUCAAAAGUUACAACAUUAUCAAGUUAGCCCUUAAAAGUACAUAAGUAUGGAGAAAAAAAUAUUCUAGUUAAAUUAUGUUGAUAGAAAAUUAAGUUAAGAAAAUAAACCUAUUGCUAGCUACAUCAUAAAAUGCAUAUACCAGUCAAUUUUUACGAGUGCAAAGAUGCUUGUGAAAUGUGCACUUGCAAGGACCAAUAUAGAGUGUUGCAAAACACAAUAUUGUAUGUCUGUAGGCCCAUUUUAAAUACACACACCUUUUUUUGAGGAUGGAUGUCUGUAGUAGAGAAAAUACUCUUAUCUAGUUACCUUAUGAUUACUUAUUGAUAACAACUAUGUCGGACUGCUCCCAUGCAUGUAGAACCUCGUAUUGGCUGCGGUACAAACAACCUUCCAUAAUAAUAUUGUAAGAUAGAGUUGAUCCAUAAUUUAUUAAUUAAGUAUCGGUUUUCUUCAGAUUAGUAAUAAGCCUAGGAAAAUAGUGACAUAACCAUGCAUUGAAUGUAAUAUAUAAAUAAAGAUGAAAUCAUACAUACAUACAUACAUACAUACAUGAGAAAACUACACCAAAUAAUAUUAAAGGAAAAUAAUUGUUAUACUCAUUGAGAUCAUCAUCGCAAGAGCAAAAUGUGGGAAAAACUUCUUAUACUUGGCAAAAUAAACGUCAUUUGGCUGGUAAAGCAAUCUAGUUUUCAAUAAGCAUGCAUAGAGUACCUAACUAGAAAGGUAUAUGGUGAUUGACAAUCACAUCUCGUGACUCAAUCAACCAUAUACUGUGCACACAUAUAAUUAUAACAUAAUGAUAUAUCAUACUAUUAAAUAUAAAUGCUUCACAUGAUACAUAAUAGUAAUAACGGAAAUCUAAUUACAAAUUAUGGCUCAAUUAAUCUUUUGUUGGGACUAUUGUUGAUUCCUAAGAAUAUGGAUUUCUCUUAAACACAGUGUUCAAUUAACUAUUAGAACUAAUAUAAAAAAGUUAUAUGUAUAAAAUAAACUAAAUCAAAAUUGCUCAAAUUUUUCCACUUUGGCUUAUCAUUUUUCUAUUUUUUUAAUUUUUUCUCUCGGCAUACUCUUUUUACUUUUCUAUUUCUCUUAUCUUUUCUUCUUUCUUUCUCUUUUAUUUCUUUUCUUUUUGUUUUCUUUUUCUCUUUUUUUCCUCUCUGUCUCUUUUCCUAAAACGAUGCAAAUUAAUGAUAGCUGCUUUCAAUUUUUCAUUUUAAAUGCUCAUCGAAUUAGGCAAGCUGAUGGCUAAAAUAAUGAAGCAGGCAUGUGAAAUAGAUGAAGCAAGUAGGACUAUAGUUUCAGUGAAGUUAGCAGUUGAUAUUGAUGAAGCACGCAGCUAAUAUUGAUGAAGCAUGUAGCUUGGUGGCUCAAAAUUAAUAAACCAUUUGUGGCUGUCAAGCACAUGUCUUAUAAUUCCUUCCAACUAAUAAAAAUUGUGUUUGGGAGAGGUACUGUUUGGGAUAAAUAUGUCGACGAGACCAGGAAUGACGAGCAGAUAUCGGAUGGCAGAGUUCUGCGAACCGGUGUGUUCCGUAAAAGCCUGGUGCGCGGAAGAACAGGAGCAGAAAUAUCCUGCUCGUCCACGAUGUUGUCAUCCGCGAGGCCAAUUUCCUAUAAGAGGGAUACGGCUAUUCCGGCUAGAGGUCGAUAGGCGAGGAGACCCGGUCGACGGCAGUUGGCAAGACAUGCUCUCCAGCCCGAGAAUCUAGGCACGACAGCCACGCUUUCCCCUGAGCCGUGGCGUAACACGCAAGGUCUCACAGAACCACGACAGCCACGCUUUCCCCUGAACCGUGGCGUAACACGCAAGAUCUCACAGAACCACGACAGCCGCGCUUUCCCCUGAACCAUGGCGUAACACGCAAGAUCCCACGUUUGCCCAUAACGCAGCAGUCAGAGCCCCAGACCGUCUCGAGAAAAGCAGAAAACGGGGAUUCAGAGGAAGCCUAUAAAAAGGUAGCCAACGAAGGUAAAAGGGUUGGCAUUUUUGAGAUAAAAGAAAAAAACCACGAAAAAGCCAUCAAGACCCGUGGCAAGCGUUCCCCGAACCUUGAUAUCUGACUUGAGCGUCGGAGGGUUUGCGCCGGGAGAACAACCGGCGUACUCUGACUUGUCUGUGUGUGCAGGGAUAUCUGGAGAAGAAGCAUUACUAGGAGACCUCCUGGUCGUGGGGAAGUUGAUCGAGCAGUGUGUGCAGGGAUUAGGAGACCUCCUGGUCGUGGGGAAGUUGAUCGAGCAGAGAUCCUGGUCGUAUAACGAGGAGAACCGGAAUCUCGCAUCAACAUUUUGGCGCCGUCUGUGGGGAUCCAGAGCAAAAAGCUUCUGUUGAUAGCAAGAAGAGGGGUGAAGUAAGCGAAAAGCAAUGGAGACAGGAGGAAGUAGUGCACAAGGGGGUGAUAUAAGGCUUAACGAUUUCGUGACGUUGAGGGAGAUAGCCAGUGAAGCGCGGGAAAAAGCCAUGUUCGACCGGAUGGAACGGAUGGAAAAGCAAAUGGAGACCCUGACAGAUGGAAAAGCAGAUGGAGACCUUGACAACCAUCCUGCAUGAGCUGCGGAGCGAGCGAAGGGUAACCCAAGAGGGAAGGGUGAGAGGCGGUGGAGUGGCUCCAGGUCCCGAUAGUGCGGGGAGAAGUCAAACCCUUAUAACCAGAAGGUGAACAUACGGCAAUUCAGGGUCGGAGACUGGGUACUGAGAAGAGUGAAUCAGAGCACCAAAGAUUCGACUCAAGGAGUGCUGGGACCGAAUUGGGAAGGGCCAUAUAGAGUCAAGCAGAUAGCGGGACCCGGAGCUUACAAGCUGGUCCGCGCGGACGGCCACGAGGUGAAACGCCCAUGGAACGCAGCACACCUCCGGAAAUACUUCCAGUAAGACUUGUUCACAUUUGAAAGCUAUUUUCGCUCAUGUUCAUUAUCGUUUAUCUUUCACGCUUUAUGUCCGAACAAUUUCAUGUAAGUCAAAUCCUGCCAUUAAUGGAACGUCGCGGAAUUUCAUUCGCUCGAAACCGAGAAAAACCCAAGGCAUGCAAAGGCUCGCCAAGUCUCAAAGCCUGUCUUAUGGCGAGACCGAAGCCAAGCGUGCCAGGAUCUGCUCGACCGCGCGAAGGCAAACCGAAUCCCAGGCAUUGAAAAAUCUUCAAAGGCAUGCGGCCCAAACCAUGAGCCAAGCCGGAACCUGCUCGUCUAGGCGAAGACAAGCAGAUUCUCAAACGAAAAUUAAUUCAUAAUUACAACACAAGAAAGUAAUCAAAAAACAUUUUUAUUAAUCUGUUAAUGAUUAACAGAGGGGAUAAUCUUCAUGAACAUUGUCCANNNNNNNNNNNNNNNNNNNNNNNNNNNNNNNNNNNNNNNNNNNNNNNNNNNNNNNNNNNNNNNNNNNNNNNNNNNNNNNNNNNNNNNNNNNNNNNNNNNNNNNNNNNNNNNNNNNNNNNNNNNNNNNNNNNNNNNNNNNNNNNNNNNNNNNNNNNNNNNNNNNNNNNNNNNNNNNNNNNNNNNNNNNNNNNNNNNNNNNNNNNNNNNNNNNNNNNNNNNNNNNNNNNNNNNNNNNNNNNNNNNNNNNNNNNNNNNNNNNNNNNNNNNNNNNNNNNNNNNNNNNNNNNNNNNNNNNNNNNNNNNNNNNNNNNNNNNNNNNNNNNNNNNNNNNNNNNNNNNNNNNNNNNNNNNNNNNNNNNNNNNNNNNNNNNNNNNNNNNNNNNNNNNNNNNNNNNNNNNNNNNNNNNNNNNNNNNNNNNNNNNNNNNNNNNNNNNNNNNNNNNNNNNNNNNNNNNNNNNNNNNNNNNNNNNNNNNNNNNNNNNNNNNNNNNNNNNNNNNNNNNNNNNNNNNNNNNNNNNNNNNNNNNNNNNNNNNNNNNNNNNNNNNNNNNNNNNNNNNNNNNNNNNNNNNNNNNNNNNNNNNNNNNNNNNNNNNNNNNNNNNNNNNNNNNNNNNNNNNNNNNNNNNNNNNNNNNNNNNNNNNNNNNNNNNNNNNNNNNNNNNNNNNNNNNNNNNNNNNNNNNNNNNNNNNNNNNNNNNNNNNNNNNNNNNNNNNNNNNNNNNNNNNNNNNNNNNNNNNNNNNNNNNNNNNNNNNNNNNNNNNNNNNNNNNNNNNNNNNNNNNNNNNNNNNNNNNNNNNNNNNNNNNNNNNNNNNNNNNNNNNNNNNNNNNNNNNNNNNNNNNNNNNNNNNNNNNNNNNNNNNNNNNNNNNNNNNNNNNNNNNNNNNNNNNNNNNNNNNNNNNNNNNNNNNNNNNNNNNNNNNNNNNNNNNNNNNNNNNNNNNNNNNNNNNNNNNNNNNNNNNNNNNNNNNNNNNNNNNNNNNNNNNNNNNNNNNNNNNNNNNNNNNNNNNNNNNNNNNNNNNNNNNNNNNNNNNNNNNNNNNNNNNNNNNNNNNNNNNNNNNNNNNNNNNNNNNNNNNNNNNNNNNNNNNNNNNNNNNNNNNNNNNNNNNNNNNNNNNNNNNNNNNNNNNNNNNNNNNNNNNNNNNNNNNNNNNNNNNNNNNNNNNNNNNNNNNNNNNNNNNNNNNNNNNNNNNNNNNNNNNNNNNNNNNNNNNNNNNNNNNNNNNNNNNNNNNNNNNNNNNNNNNNNNNNNNNNNNNNNNNNNNNNNNNNNNNNNNNNNNNNNNNNNNNNNNNNNNNNNNNNNNNNNNNNNNNNNNNNNNNNNNNNNNNNNNNNNNNNNNNNNNNNNNNNNNNNNNNNNNNNNNNNNNNNNNNNNNNNNNNNNNNNNNNNNNNNNNNNNNNNNNNNNNNNNNNNNNNNNNNNNNNNNNNNNNNNNNNNNNNNNNNNNNNNNNNNNNNNNNNNNNNNNNNNNNNNNNNNNNNNNNNNNNNNNNNNNNNNNNNNNNNNNNNNNNNNNNNNNNNNNNNNNNNNNNNNNNNNNNNNNNNNNNNNNNNNNNNNNNNNNNNNNNNNNNNNNNNNNNNNNNNNNNNNNNNNNNNNNNNNNNNNNNNNNNNNNNNNNNNNNNNNNNNNNNNNNNNNNNNNNNNNNNNNNNNNNNNNNNNNNNNNNNNNNNNNNNNNNNNNNNNNNNNNNNNNNNNNNNNNNNNNNNNNNNNNNNNNNNNNNNNNNNNNNNNNNNNNNNNNNNNNNNNNNNNNNNNNNNNNNNNNNNNNNNNNNNNNNNNNNNNNNNNNNNNNNNNNNNNNNNNNNNNNNNNNNNNNNNNNNNNNNNNNNNNNNNNNNNNNNNNNNNNNNNNNNNNNNNNNNNNNNNNNNNNNNNNNNNNNNNNNNNNNNNNNNNNNNNNNNNNNNNNNNNNNNNNNNNNNNNNNNNNNNNNNNNNNNNNNNNNNNNNNNNNNNNNNNNNNNNNNNNNNNNNNNNNNNNNNNNNNNNNNNNNNNNNNNNNNNNNNNNNNNNNNNNNNNNNNNNNNNNNNNNNNNNNNNNNNNNNNNNNNNNNNNNNNNNNNNNNNNNNNNNNNNNNNNNNNNNNNNNNNNNNNNNNNNNNNNNNNNNNNNNNNNNNNNNNNNNNNNNNNNNNNNNNNNNNNNNNNNNNNNNNNNNNNNNNNNNNNNNNNNNNNNNNNNNNNNNNNNNNNNNNNNNNNNNNNNNNNNNNNNNNNNNNNNNNNNNNNNNNNNNNNNNNNNNNNNNNNNNNNNNNNNNNNNNNNNNNNNNNNNNNNNNNNNNNNNNNNNNNNNNNNNNNNNNNNNNNNNNNNNNNNNNNNNNNNNNNNNNNNNNNNNNNNNNNNNNNNNNNNNNNNNNNNNNNNNNNNNNNNNNNNNNNNNNNNNNNNNNNNNNNNNNNNNNNNNNNNNNNNNNNNNNNNNNNNNNNNNNNNNNNNNNNNNNNNNNNNNNNNNNNNNNNNNNNNNNNNNNNNNNNNNNNNNNNNNNNNNNNNNNNNNNNNNNNNNNNNNNNNNNNNNNNNNNNNNNNNNNNNNNNNNNNNNNNNNNNNNNNNNNNNNNNNNNNNNNNNNNNNNNNNNNNNNNNNNNNNNNNNNNNNNNNNNNNNNNNNNNNNNNNNNNNNNNNNNNNNNNNNNNNNNNNNNNNNNNNNNNNNNNNNNNNNNNNNNNNNNNNNNNNNNNNNNNNNNNNNNNNNNNNNNNNNNNNNNNNNNNNNNNNNNNNNNNNNNNNNNNNNNNNNNNNNNNNNNNNNNNNNNNNNNNNNNNNNNNNNNNNNNNNNNNNNNNNNNNNNNNNNNNNNNNNNNNNNNNNNNNNNNNNNNNNNNNNNNNNNNNNNNNNNNNNNNNNNNNNNNNNNNNNNNNNNNNNNNNNNNNNNNNNNNNNNNNNNNNNNNNNNNNNNNNNNNNNNNNNNNNNNNNNNNNNNNNNNNNNNNNNNNNNNNNNNNNNNNNNNNNNNNNNNNNNNNNNNNNNNNNNNNNNNNNNNNNNNNNNNNNNNNNNNNNNNNNNNNNNNNNNNNNNNNNNNNNNNNNNNNNNNNNNNNNNNNNNNNNNNNNNNNNNNNNNNNNNNNNNNNNNNNNNNNNNNNNNNNNNNNNNNNNNNNNNNNNNNNNNNNNNNNNNNNNNNNNNNNNNNNNNNNNNNNNNNNNNNNNNNNNNNNNNNNNNNNNNNNNNNNNNNNNNNNNNNNNNNNNNNNNNNNNNNNNNNNNNNNNNNNNNNNNNNNNNNNNNNNNNNNNNNNNNNNNNNNNNNNNNNNNNNNNNNNNNNNNNNNNNNNNNNNNNNNNNNNNNNNNNNNNNNNNNNNNNNNNNNNNNNNNNNNNNNNNNNNNNNNNNNNNNNNNNNNNNNNNNNNNNNNNNNNNNNNNNNNNNNNNNNNNNNNNNNNNNNNNNNNNNNNNNNNNNNNNNNNNNNNNNNNNNNNNNNNNNNNNNNNNNNNNNNNNNNNNNNNNNNNNNNNNNNNNNNNNNNNNNNNNNNNNNNNNNNNNNNNNNNNNNNNNNNNACUAAAAAGAGAAAUAUGCAUGUUCAAAAGAAGGCAUUUUUAACCUGCUGUACCGUACAUCCGCCUUGGCCGUACAGCAGUUUUAGCAUAUUCCAAAUCAUUUCCACCAUAAUUCCAACCACCCAUUUACAAAAUUAAUUCUAUAUAUAAUUAAAAUCCACCUCCUCGUGGGAUCGACACUCGUCACCAUUGAUCUAUACUACAAUAGAUUCGUGCGCUUGCGAGUACAUUAAAAUUUGCACAACAAGUUUUUGGCGCCGUUGCCGGGGAGGUAAGUAAUUUUAAUUCAUAGAAUUAAUUUUUGUGAAUAAUUUCUUUUUCUAUUAAUUCUGUAAUUUAAUUUUCAAUUUAUUUAUUUUUUCUUUGUAAUUUUUGUUUAUUUUAUUAAUUUAAUUUUUUUUUCACGUAUUUAUUUUUGUGUAUUUUUAUAGAAAGGUUGUAAUAGCGCAAUAAGGUUAGUAUUGUAAUUUCUCUCUUCUUUAUUUUAUUUGUAUUUAUUUUGUUCCAUCUUCAUUUUCAUUUUAUUUAUUUUGCAUGCAUGGUCGUAGGUCAUUAUUACCUAAUCUUGAACCUAUAGACCUUGAACUUGAGAAAACAAUUCGCACACAAAAACACGUUAAAAAUAAAAUGGAUUUACAAGCACCACAGGAGAGGCCAUUUAAGGACUAUUUUAGUCCCUUAGCUAAUUUGAGCACAUCAUGCAUAAGAUACCCAAAUGUAGCUGCUAGGAGUUUUGAAUUAAAACCUAGUGUGCUAAAUUGUCUCCCCACAUUUUAUGGCCUAGAAAAUGAGGACCCAUAUAAUCAUCUGAAUGAUUUUCAUACCAUUUGUCAAACUUUUAAAUAUGAAAAUUUUUCAGACGAUGAUGUUAAACUCAGAUUAUUCCCAUUUUCUUUAAAGGAUAGAGCUCGUUCAUGGCUUAAUACAUUGCCUGCCAAUAGCAUUGCAUCAUAGGAACAAAUGAUAACUAAAUUUUUGAAUAAAUAUUUCCCAGUGCAUAAAACCAAUGCUAUUCGCAGGGAAAUCUCAGAGUUUACCCAGAGAGAAGACGAGCAAUUUUUCGAAACUUGGGAGCGAUUCAAUGGGCUACUCUUGAAGUGUCCACAUAAUGGGUACGAGAAAUGGCACCAAUGCCAAUACUUUUUGGAAGGAUUAUUGCCGAAUGUGCAAGAAUGGCUAAUGGCAACAAGUGGAGGAGAGCUAAUUUUAAAAAGUGCAUUAGAGAUUUGAGAUUUCUUCCAGUGACACUGCUGUACCGUACAUCCGCCUUGGCCGUACAGCAGCAAUCUUUCCUCUCUUAGAUUUAUGCAUUACCGACAUGUGCUGAAAACACCACAUUAUUUCUCCAUCUAGAGCAUACAUAAUGUAACAUUACCAUUCAACUUACUAUUUAAGGCUCUAAAACAGAUUGAUUUAUUUUUAACAUCUAGUUGUAUUAUAUACCACCCUGCCCAAUUAGAGCUUGCUACAAGAAUGCAUCUGUAUUGUGUUUUUUCUUUGGAUAAGAAACAGGUAAGCUCUUCUGUUAUCAUGUUCAAUCUAGACUUCAAAGUGGGAUUCUGAAUAGCCAACCAUUGGUUGUAUUUCUAAUACAUAAACAUGUUUACGAUGAGCCAGAAUCAUCCAGAUGAUCUUUUCUUGGAAGGAUAACACAACAAUGUUCACUAACAAAGUCUGAAAUGUUGAUGUCAUUAAUUACCAGCCAACUACUGUAGAUUAGUUGCCACAAGGAGCAGUCAUUUGACACAAUCUAGACACCUGAGAUUUAUAUACUCCAACCAAUAUAAUCUUCAAAGAUACACAAUGUAUCAGCAUAAUUGAUGAAAAUAUAAGAAACUAUCCCAACGAAUAACUUAAAGAGAUCCACUGAGUGCCUGCUAAAUUUUUCAUUUUUUAAGUACCAUCUAAUGCUAUAAUCGUUUAUCAGGUUGUAAAUGCAAAUGUAUCGUUACAACGUCUUGAGGAACUACUUUUGGCUGAAGAGAGAAUUUUGAUGCCUAAUCCACCACUUGAACCAGAGCUCCCAGCUGUCUCGAUAAAAAAUGGAAACUUUUCUUGGGAUUCAAAGGUAAAUACUUGAUCAUUUUUCCCUUUUUUUACCAGUGAUAAGGCAGUUCAAAGGUUGCAGAAGGCCGCAGCUCUGGUAAUGCUCAUUCUUAGUAUUAAUGUCAAAUUCUGGGAUCUUUUUAGAUGAUACCAGAUUUCAUUAGAUUAAAGCAUAUACAAAGUUUGUAUUAUUUCAAUAAUGAGAUUAAAAAAACAUGAGAGUUCAUUUUGAGGCACAAAUAAAAAAUAAAUGCAUUUGGUUGGUACUUCGGAUGAACUUUAUUAUGAUACUACUAAGGAAAUUAUGAUACUACUAAGGAAGUGUUAUAUGAGGCACCCUGCAUUUUCCUUUGUUGAAAAUAUGGAAGUACUUUUUGAUUGGCUAUUUGGAAGGCAUUAAUGAUUUAUUAGUCAUAUUGUUACACAAAUGUAUAGCUUUAAGAGGUUUUGAAACUCAUGUUUUUUCUGGUACAGAGCCCCACGUUAUCAAAUAUCAAUUUGGACAUACCAGUUGGCAGCUUAGUUGCAAUUGUUGGUGGAACUGGAGAAGGAAAGACAUCACUUGUAUCAGCAAUGCUUGGGGAGUUGCCUCCUUUGAAAGAUGCAAGCGUUGUUAUCAGAGGGACUGUUGCCUAUGUUCCCCAAAUUUCAUGGAUUUUUAAUGCUACAGUGAGUUGCAGCUUGCUUUUUUUAACUGAUAUUUGAUAAUUGUCUUAUACUUUCCAUCUCUCUAGCUUCCUAGUGAAUCCAUCAUCUGUUUUCACCAUGCAAUCUUUUGACCUUCAAUGUACAUUUUCUCAGUUACGUAAAAAUAUAUUGUUUGGUUCUGAAUUUGACCCCGCAAAAUAUUGGAAGACUGUUGAUGUCUCUGCAUUACAGCAUGAUCUCGACUUACUUCCUGUAAGUAAAUAUACAAACAUUUAUCUUUGCAAUGACUUCUGCUUAUUCCAGAAAGUGCUGUAACUCUCUUAUACUUAUUUCUCCAGGAUCGUGAUCUCACAGAGAUUGGGGAAAGAGGGGUGAAUAUCAGUGGUGGGCAAAAGCAGAGAGUUUCUAUGGCUAGGGCUGUCUAUUCCAAUUCAGAUGUCUACAUAUUUGAUGACCCUUUAAGUGCUCUAGAUGCUCAUGUUGGACGCCAGGUAUUUUUAUUGCCUACUUGCCUGAGGCUCUUCUUUAAGAGCAGUGUGUUAUGUUUUAUUCUGAGGUUAAUAAACUGAUUGGAGCGAGCAGUGUGUUUUGUGUUUUGAACCUAAUUUUUUCCUGUGGUGUUUGUGUGGGAAAAAUUCCUUAAUUAUAAAGUAAUUUUUCCUUGUUUGUUAAAAGGAGACCGCCAAUUAUUUGUAUAUCCUCUCAAAAUUAUGCAGGACUGGUGCUUGAAUAGUUCUCUUAGCUAUUAUUAUCAAAAGCAUGACCUCUGAAUAUUUAUUGACAAGUUCAUUGAAGUGCACACCACAUUGAUCUAAUCUGAAGUUAUUUCCAGGUCUUCAACAGCUGUAUCAAGGAAGAGUUGCGUGGGAAAACAAGGAUCCUUGUUACAAACCAACUACAUUUUCUUCCUCAUGUGGACAGAAUUAUUCUGGUUUCUGAAGGUAUGAUUAAAGAGGAGGGAAGCUUUGAGGAGCUCUCGAAACAUGGCAGGCUAUUCCAGAAACUCAUGGAAAAUGCAGGGAAAAUGGAAGAAAUGGAAGAGCGGGAAGAAAAGGAUGACAGCAUAAACUCUAACCAGGAAGUCUCCAAACCAGUUGCUAAUCGGGCGGUCCAGGUCAAUGAAUUUCCGAAAAAUGAAAGCUACACCAAGAAAGGGAAAAGAGGGAGAUCCGUGCUUGUCAAGCAAGAAGAAAGGGAAACAGGAAUUGUCAGUGGGAGUGUUUUGACAAGGUAUUUUAAGGGUGUUAUUUUCAGACUCAUGCAUUGUGAAAUGUUUUCAAAUCUGCAAUUGCUUCAAAUUUAAGUCGUAGUAAAUUUAGCUUACAAGAGGAUUAAUCCUUUCCAGCUCUCCUUGUAAAAUUUAUGUAUGACAUUAUUAGCGGCCCAUGACUAUAGCAUGAAAUUGAAAUUCAUCAGUAAGACAUCUUCGGCUGAAUGUGGACCUUUAAUGGAGCUUAAACUUGAAUAGAUGUCAUCUCAUGCCAGGAAGCACUGACCUUUCUGAAACAACCCAACUCUACUUUGACAGUUAUUCAGAUUAUUACAGAUGGGUCCACAGUUCUGUAAGUUUUUCUAGUGGGCACUUAAUAACAUGUAUUUUCCACAGAGUAGACCCUUUAGUUCCUCCGUGCAGUGCAGCAUGGAGCUCUCAGAAUUCUCACAACAUACACCCCAUUGCAAUAUCAGGAAUCUGUUUUUAGUCUAUUUCUUGAUGCUCUUCAGUACUUAUUUUAAUGAAUUGUGAAUUACCCAAAAAUAUCUUUGCAAAAAAUCCUAUGGUGGUCCCUUGAAUCCCCUAAAUUCAAAAACCAAGCACCAGGUGCUAUUUAUCUGGAAAUCACUUCUGCACUAACUAGUAUCUUAUGACUUAUCUUUUGAUCCAUUUAUACUAUUUCUAUUUGCAGGUACAAAAAUGCAUUAGGAGGUCCAUGGGUAAUUAUGAUACUUUUUGCAUGCUAUUUGUCAACUGAAGUUCUUCGAAUUUCAAGUAGCACUUGGUUAAGUUUCUGGACAGAUCAAAGCACUUCAAAGAAUUAUAAUCCUGGAUUCUACAUUGCCAUCUACACAAUUUUGGCUUUUGGUCAGGUGGGUUGGCUGUUAUUAGAUGGUUUGCAUCAAUUUUAUUUUUACCUGGAAACUCAUCCUUUUGCUUUAACUAAUACUAUUGUCUACUUUCCAACCUUCUUAACCGGUUAUUCCAAGAAUGAUAUUUUUCUUCUGUUUGAUUUGACAUAAUAUUUUUUUCCUUUUCUGGAAACAGCAAACGCAGUUAUAGCCCAAUCUAAAGACAGAAAGGGCUUGUUCUUUGUAACCUUGUAUACUGGCAUUUUCGUUAUAGUGGAUGAAGUAUGCUAAUACAUCUUUCUCGUCUCCCAUCAAAUUAAUAGAGAAUGAAAAGGAAAUUUACUUCUUUUGUAAUUUUCUUCCCUGGCAAGAACCAAAACUGUAUUGAAGGGAAAAUUUACGUUACUGUAUAUCAUUUUGACAACAUAAUCCUUAUUUGCUGAAUUCAGGUGACUGUGACACUGCUGAACUCUUAUUGGUUGAUCAUUUCAAGUCUGCGUGCAGCCAAAAGAUUGCAUGAUUCCAUGCUAAAUUCGAUUUUAAGAGCUCCAAUGCUAUUCUUCCACACUAAUCCAAUUGGACGCGUAAUCAAUAGGUUCUCAAGGGAUCUAGGUGAUAUAGAUCGCAAUGUUGCUAGUUUUGUCAAUAUGUUUAUGAACCAACUGUGGCAGCUCCUUUCAACUUUUGUUCUGAUAGGCAUUGUGAGCACUAUAUCACUAUGGGCCAUAAUGCCACUUCUUAUCUUGUUUUAUGCCGCUUAUCUAUAUUACCAGGUAAAUUCAAUAUUUCAUCACUUAAUUUUAUUUCAUUUAUUUAUUUUGCUUUUUAAAUAUCAGGAACUGUCUUUACUAUCUAAUAUCUGUCUCCUGUUCCAAAUAUGCACAACUAUCAAAAGAGCUGACUUGCUCCAGUUGUUUACUUCCUAACAUUUUGGCACUCCUCAUGCAUUAAUUUCCUUUAAUUAUAUAUUUUUAAAAACAUGAAUUGUCAGAAAGUUUUAGUUAGCUGUCCAAUCCACCAUACUACAAAGUUUUUCUUGUUUACAACAUUUAAUAAACAUCUCCUUUUUCAAUUUACAGAGUACAGCUCGCGAAGUGAAACGCUUAGACUCCAUUACCAGAUCCCCUGUUUAUGCUCAAUUUGGAGAAGCACUAAAUGGUUUGUCAACCAUUCGUGCAUUCAAAGCAUAUGAUAGGAUGGCCAAAAUCAAUGGAAAGUCGAUGGAUAAUAACAUCAGAUUUACCCUUGCAAAUACUAGUUCAAAUCGUUGGCUCACCAUCCGGUUGGAAACACUAGGAGGCAUCAUGAUUUGGUUGAUAGCAACUUUUGCAGUCAUGCAGAAUGGAAGAGCAGAAAAUCAGGUCGCAUUUGCAUCUACGAUGGGUUUACUUCUCAGUUAUACUUUGAACAUCACCAAUCUGUUGAGUGGCGUAUUGAGACAAGCAAGCAGGGCUGAGAAUAGUUUAAAUGCCGUUGAGCGUGUUGGAACAUAUAUAGAUCUUCCUUCUGAAGCUCCGGGCAUGGUAGAGAGUAAUCGCCCCCCACCUGCUUGGCCUUCAUCAGGAUCAAUAAAGUUUGAGGACGUCGUCCUACGCUAUAGGCCUGAACUUCCUCCAGUCUUGCAUGGGUUAUCAUUCACAGUUUCCCCAAGUGAGAAAGUGGGAAUAGUUGGAAGAACUGGUGCCGGAAAAUCUAGCAUGCUUAAUGCUUUAUUUCGAAUUGUAGAACUGGAAAGGGGGGAAAUAUCCAUUGAUGGUUGUGAUGUCUCUAAGUUUGGGUUAACUGAUUUGCGAAAAGUUCUUAGUAUCAUACCACAAUCACCAGUUCUUUUCUCUGGUAUUCACCUUUUUUAAGUCUCUAUUUCAUUUAAACAUUCCUGCAUCAACCUGAUUUUAUCUGGUGGUUGAAUUGAUAUUGCAUCAGUCGUGAAUUUGAAAGAUAUCUGUAAAGUAAUCUAUACCUUUGUGCCUACAUCAUAUUACUUUACACCCUUCCUUCAAAAACUUGACAAUUAUGAUGUUCACUUUAUUUUACAAGGAACUGUGAGGUUCAAUCUUGAUCCGUUUAAUGAGCACACUGAUGCUGAUCUUUGGGAGGCUUUAGAGAGGGCACAUCUGAAGGAUGUCAUCAGGAAGAAUUCCUUUGGUCUGGCCGCUGAGGUAUAAAGAUAAGCCAUUCUUGGGAAGUAGAAUUUGUUGUAUUUCAUUCUGGAUAACUUUAUGCUGCAAGAGAAGGGAAAAAUAACAUGCGCUGAAUAAGAUGUAACUUUACUUGUGUAAAGGUCUCAGAGGGAGGCGAGAAUUUCAGUGUUGGACAGAGACAACUGUUAAGUCUUGCUCGAGCACUGCUGCGAAGAUCAAAGAUUCUUGUUCUGGAUGAAGCAACUGCAGCUGUUGAUGUCAGGACAGAUGCUCUUAUCCAGAGAACCAUACGUGAAGAAUUCAAAUCCUGCUCAAUGCUAAUUAUUGCACACAGAUUAAAUACCAUAAUUGACUGUGAUCGAAUUCUUGUGCUUGAUGCUGGGCAGGUAUGCUCGGAGACGUUAAUAUUUGCGACAAAUAUGUGUUAUGGGAGAACAUUGAGCCUCUUAACUCAAUGAAAUCCGGAAAGAAAAAGAACCAUUUCUUGUCUGUCUAAAUUUAAUCCAAUUUUUGCUAAUUUGUCAUUUAAGAUCGUUCAAACUUUUCUUCAGGUUUUAGAACAUGAUACUCCAGAAGCACUACUAUUGAGAGAGGACAGUGCAUUCUCCAGUAUGGUUCAGAGUACAGGGCCUGCAAAUGCUCAGUACUUACGUAGCCUAGUUUUUGAAGGCAAAGAGAACAAGUCAGGCAGGGAAGAAACAAAGAGAGAGGAUAACCAGAGGAGAUGGCUGGCCUCUUCCCACUGGGCUGCAGCUGCUCAGUUUGCUUUAGCUGCUAGUCUGACUUCUUCGCAAAAUGAACUUCAAAGGCUGGAUAUUGAUAACAAUGAUAAUAUUAUCGGAAAAACAAAAGAUGCAGUCAUAACACUGCAGGGAGUUUUGGAGGGGAAACACAAUAAAGACAUAGAUGACACACUAGAUCAGUACCAAGUUCCCAGGGAUAGAUGGUGGUCCGCUCUCUAUAGAGUAAUUGAAGGUACAUAAUUUUAGCACCCUUAUAUGACACAGCUUGAUCAUUCAAGUUCAUCUGCAAAGGUCCAUUCUAUACAUCACAUACAUCAGCAUAAACAUGUGCAUAAUUCUACGACUGUUGUCAUGAUUUCAGUAUACAUUUGUUGCUAGAAAAAGAAGCUAACUAGUAAACUUAUUUAACUGUAAGAUGACCUUUAGAUUCUCUAAAGAACUUGCAAAAUUAAUUUUCUUGUUCCAGGUCUUGCUGCGAUGGGGAGAUUGGGCCAGCGCAGUCUUCAACAAUCGGGGUGCGAUUUUGAAGAAAGCUCCUUAGAUUGGGACCAUGUUGAAAGUUAGUUCUUGGAAAAUGUUGAUAUUUCUAUGUCCUCCUUUUUAGUGCUUUCGUUGAAGGUAGACAGUGGUAUUAGAGAUUGUUACCUUUUUCCUUUCUCUUUUAACAAUUGUUCACAAAAUCCUUGACUCUAGAGUCUGGUAUUAGUGGGACUUUGACCCACAUUGUAUUAGAGACAGCUUGAAAUGUUAAUAAAAUGCCCAAUUUAUUUAUAUAAUUUUAUCUAAACUAAGAUAUUGUACUGUAAUCCUGCACAUUUCACUCAUACGGCCAUACUGUCUAUCUCGAUUAUCUGAUCCACAGUAAUUACUUAACAAGCUAACUUAGCAUUCAAAUGUUGCUAGGAAGUAAAUCAAUAGGAAAAGGAACGAUCUACUUGAUUUACCAGUGGCAUAUAAAUCGUUCAUCUAAUAUUAUCAACAAGGAAAAAUCUGCUAGUAUAAACAUCCUAAUUUAAUCGACAUACCUGAACGACUUCAUGGAAAUCAUACGUGCUGCUUCACAUCAUAAUUUAACAUAUUUAAUUCUCCUGGUCUUCUGGGUACUCUGGUGCAUUGUGACGAGCUGCUACUUUGAUGUGGCUGUGAAGAGCCUCAAAGGCCUUGGCAGAAGCAUUUGAGAAUCCCAUCAAUGCCUGGAAUACAUUGGGGAGGCUAGUUUUCAGGUUGUUAAGAGUCAUGGCCUGGGUAAUCCGGGCUGCAUUCAGAUACUUGGCCUUUUCGCUUUCCACCCGCUUCUUCAAGGCUUCAACUUUGGCAGCCUUGAGGAUUAAAGGAUGCUUUGGGCUCAACUCAGGGUGCUCAACUCCAACAGCAAAGUUCCCUUCAAACCUCUGCUCCAUCUCAGCCAUUGAAUUAAACUCCUUCUGCAACCUUUUCUCAAGCCUAUCAAUUUUUUUGUGCAAUUUCCGUUCCUCUAUCUGCUGCAGGAAUAUCGCGUGGAUGGCUGAUAAGAAGCUAUUAAUGGCCUCUGAGGCUACCUGUAUGCACAUCAGAUUAACAAAGGUUACUGCCUCAAGUGACUGUUUCUCCAACAUUCCCACUUAGCUUCAUUUUAGAAAGCUGAAAUAAAAUUAUAAAACCAAAUUGACCACAUAGUUUUCACUGUUCGCUUGGAUGAUCAGCACCUCAGACAUAUCUGUUGCUCAAACCCAGAUAUGGCUAUGUUGAUGAUGCAGGACAAACACAUCAAUGCUAUGUAUCAGUUAUUAAAUCCUAACUUUGCAUCCAUGAGACAGAAAACUAUUGCUCUUGUUUAGUUAUCAUGCAAACCAAGUGCCAAGCUAGUAUAAUACUUAUUUAGCGACAGGAGAAGCGGAAGAAGUAAAAGCUGUAUUGAGUUUUGACAUUAAUCUACAAAAUUUACAUGAAUAGUUCCAAUCUUUUAGUAUUCAGGAAAUAUAGUAAUGUCCAAAAGAGUAUAAAGCAAAAGUACCUUCUCAGGUAAUUUGUCAAAAACAAGCUGCCAAUUUUCACAGAGCCUACGAAUUGUGGAUGAGCAAUUACUCCGUUGAUGCUCAUCCACAAGGCACUCAGUGAGUUUGAUCCAUCCAGAUAGGGUUCUUACAUAGUCUCGUUGAAAUUUUGUAAGUUUGCAGAAGCUGUUGUACCACGAAGUGACCUCAGCCUCAAGCUGAGCUGUGGCCUGGUGAUGAUAAUCAGUGGUAAAGUCCAUGCUUUGAUUAUCAGUGACAUGAUUCAAGCGCUGCGAAAUAUGGUUCUGAACUUGAAGACAUUCAUACAUCUUUCUCCACAUUCGCAUCAGCCUAUGUAGGAUUUAAGCAAAGAAAACAAGGUUAAGAGGAUGAAACGAAAGUAUCCAUUCUACAUGCUGCUUAGAACAUUAACAUACUGAGUUUUCAUCAAUGUCAGAGAACAGCUUAGACCAGUUGAGAAUUUUAUUUCACAAGUACACAAUCACCGCAGAGUUAAUUUUAGCUUGUUCAAAGAUGGUUCCAUGAUAUGCUUUUUUAUUCUAAAUUAUGGAAUCUUACCAUGCAAUCUCCCUUCUUAUUAAACCUUUUAUAGGGAUGUCAUCAAACCUCCUAUUCAUAGCUUCACACAAUUGGAUUUGGAAUAAACUCAAUAUUAUAUGGCUUCCUAAAUGCCCAAUAGGUUCAUGAGGUGUGGAUUCCCCCCUUAUGAUUUAAUUGGCAUUAAUACGGAUUAUUUAGCCCGUGAUGCAUGUUGAUACGGAUCCAGAUACCCAAGUACGUCAAUUUAAUAGAUUUUCUCUUCAAUUUUUUCUCUCCAUUGCAAUUCCAAUUUUAGAAUUUAUUCUCGCCAUUUUAAUUUAAGUAUUAGCAUAUUCCAAAUCAUUUCCACCAUAAAUCCAACUACCCAUUUACAAAAUUAAUUCUAUAUAUAAUUAAAAUCCACCUCCUCGUGGGAUCGACACUCGUCACCAUUAGUCUAUACUACAAUAGAUUCGUGCGCUUGCGAGUACAUUAAAAUUUGCACAACAACAGCCUCAACCCGUUUGAGCUGGCCAGGUCGGAGUGGGAAAUGAAUGCCCCAAGAAACUACAACACAAACAGACACUUGGUUAGAAACAAGCCAAUAAAACAAGAACAACUAUGGAUACAAGGCAUCUGGAGCGAGCAGGCAACCUGGGACCGUGAAACGGGGUGGGACCCGAUAAUCCUUCCCGUCCAUUUGUGCGACCUGACCCCAAGGACCCCCAGCAAAAAAGAACUUUCUCUUCCAAUUCCCACCACCACCAGUAGGGAGGUCGGUUAUAGGUUUCCUGCUCUUGGUGCUAGAUUGGAAGUAGUACCAGCCGGCAUCUUUGGGGCUGCUCUUUAGCUGGUACAGGUGCUUCACCUCAUCAACCGUGGGCUCGCUUUGGCAACAUCUGUCCCACAAUAUGAACAGACCAGAGAGCACUCUCCACCCAUUGGGAUUCAGCUGAUGCAAGGGACAAUUUAACCCGUUAAGUAUACAGGUGCUUCACCUCAUCAACCGUGGGCUCGCUUUGGCAACAUCUGUCCCACAAUAUGAACAGACCAGAGAGCACUCUCCACCCAUUGGGAUUCAGCUGACCAGGAGCUAGAUUUAGCCCGUUAAGUAUCCGGGCAAAGUAAGGUUGCAAGGGGACCUUGAGAGGUAUCUCGAAGCUGUCCAGAUACAGGGUAACAUAUCCCCUAGGAGGCCGGCUGGGAGCAUCCUUCUUUCCCGGGACCUUGAGAGGUAUCUCGCCAGGAAUGCUAUACCUCAGCCGGAGGUCCUCGAGCUCAUCAAACGUGGUCGUGCACGUCAUGUAAUCAAUAGCGUAAUCCCGCGAUAGGGCUCUACCUCCUAUUGUACUCCUCCCCUCUGGUCGCGGCGCUCCUGAUGGGGACGCCUCACCAGAAUCAUCUCCUCGACCCUCACUCAGAGUAUCCUCGGAGCCAGAAGAUCCAUCCUCACCAUUACUCCCGCUCGUAGAGGUCGUUUGGGGAGACAUGCUCCUAGUACUAGUCCUGACACUAGACCUAAUAGGCUCUAAGAGGAUCUCGGGGUCAAAGGCGGGAUCGGUGAGCAGACUAGGCAGGAAGUCCAACCCGUCGUCAUCAACCUCAAUGACUUUCUCUUUACCUUUCGACAUUCCCUAAACUCUAACCACAACACCACCAACUACUACCCAAACGAAAGAAAAAAGAAGUUAUCUACAAACUAUCCGAGACUGAGGAGAGAGAAGUAAUACCUGAAGUACUGCUUCAAUCGGAGAAAGGCAAGGAUGGGGACUUCGUGCCGGAACUUCUUUGCCGGAGAAACAGAGACGGAGACGGAGACGGAGUGAAUGGUGAAUAUGCCGUUCGAGAGGAUUUGGCUUUCCAAAUGAGGACGGACUUUUGGGCUGCCAGUAUAUAACUGCGCCGAAUCCCGAGGGCCUCAUAACCGUCGGUUUGAAAUUCAAAUGGAGGGGGGGAUUUCUGCCACGUCACCUCGUCCGCAAUUAAAUGCGACAUGACUCUUGGCAGCCUUUUCUAAUCCCACGCGAGCGAGUACUAUCGAGUUUCCACUGCUGGUCCACUACAUUACCCAACACCAGAAACUGGGGGACCGGUGUUUGGGAGGGAUACUGUUUGGGAUAAAUGCGUCGAAGGGACCAGGAAUGACGAGCAGAUAUCUGAUGGCGGAGUUCUGCGAACCGGUGUGUUCCGUACGGCCAAGGCGGAUGUACGGUACAGCAGUGAGAGGUAUCUCGCCAGGAAUGCUAUACCUCAGCCGGAGGUCCUCGAGCUCAUCAAACGUGGUCGUGCACGUCAUGUAAUCAAUAGCGUAAUCCCGCGAUAGGGCUCUACCUCCUAUUGUACUCCUCCCCUCUGGUCGCGGCGCUCCUGAUGGGGACGCCUCACCAGAAUCAUCUCCUCGACCCUCACUCAAAGUAUCCUCGGAGCCAGAAGAUCCAUCCUCACCAUUACUCCCGCUCGUAGAGGUCGUUUGGGGAGACAUGCUCCUAGCACUAAUCCUGACACUAGACCUAAUAGGCUCUAAGGGGAUCUCGGGGUCAAAGGCGGGAUCGGUGAGCAGACUAGGCAGGAAGUCCAACCCGUCGUCAUCAACCUCAAUGACCUUCUCUUUGCCUUUCGACAUUCCCUAAACUCUAACCACAACACCACCAACUACUACCCAAACGAAAGAAAAAAGAAGUUAUCUACAAACUAUCCGAGACCGAGGAGAGAGAAGUAAUACCUGAAGUACUGCUUCGAUCAGAGAAAGGCAAGGAUGGGGGCUUCGUGCCGGAACUUCUUUGCCGGAGAAACAGAGACGGAAACGGAGACGGAGUGAAUGGUGAAUAUGCCGUUCGAGAGGAUUUGGCUUUCCAAAUGAGGACGGACUCUUGGGUUGCCAGCAUAUAACUGCGCCGAAUCCCGAGGGCCUCAUAACCGUCGGUUUGAAAUUCAAAUGGAGGGGGGGAUUUCUGCCACGUCACCUCGUCCGCAAUUAAAUGCGACAUGACUCUUGGCAGCCUUUUCCAAUCCCACGCGAGCGAGUGCUGUCGAGUUUCCACUGCUGGUCCACUACAUUACCCAACACCAGAAACUAGGGGACCGGUGUUUGGGAGGGAUACUGUUUGGGAUAAAUGCGUCGAAGGGACCAGGAAUGACGAGCAGAUAUCUGAUGGCGGAGUUCUGCGAACCGGUGUGUUCCGUNNNNNNNNNNNNNNNNNNNNNNNNNNNNNNNNNNNNNNNNNNNNNNNNNNNNNNNNNNNNNNNNNNNNNNNNNNNNNNNNNNNNNNNNNNNNNNNNNNNNNNNNNNNNNNNNNNNNNNNNNNNNNNNNNNNNNNNNNNNNNNNNNNNNNNNNNNNNNNNNNNNNNNNNNNNNNNNNNNNNNNNNNNNNNNNNNNNNNNNNNNNNNNNNNNNNNNNNNNNNNNNNNNNNNNNNNNNNNNNNNNNNNNNNNNNNNNNNNNNNNNNNNNNNNNNNNNNNNNNNNNNNNNNNNNNNNNNNNNNNNNNNNNNNNNNNNNNNNNNNNNNNNNNNNNNNNNNNNAGCCAACGAAGGUAAAAGGGUUGGCAUUUUUGAGAUAAAAGAAAAAAACCACGAAAAAGCCAUAAGACCUGUGGCAAGCGUUCCCCGAACCUUGAUAUCUGACUUGAGCGUCGGAGGGUUUGCGCCAGGAGAACAACCGGCGUACUCUGACUUGUCUGUGUGUGCAGGGAUAUCUGGAGAAGAAGCAUUACUAGGAGACCUCCUGGUCGUGGGGAAGUUGAUCGAGCAGAGAUCCUGGUCGUAUAACGAGGAGAACCGGAAUCUCGCAUCAACAAAUUUCAUCCUCACAAUUCAUAUAUCUGGCGAAAGAAAUACAAAGACUAAGAUCACGCCUGAUCCUCAAUCUCCCAAUUGGCCUCCUUUGCGGUGUGACUCUUCCACAACACCUUGACAAUGAGAUCACAAGGCACUGACCAUAGAGAAACUCAGAAGCAGGGAUGGAAAAUUAUGGGCUUAAGCCAAAGCUUUUUCAAGCCUAGGCCUAAGCUUAUCUCAUUGGUAAUAGGUCCAAAUUUUUUGAAACUCUGUCUAAACUUGGUCGAGCUGGACUUAGGAUUUCAUUAGUUUCUGAAAUAAAAUUUUAAUAAAAUUGAAGGUUAAAAAAAUCACUUAAGAUGAUUAUCCAAUACAUAAUAGACCAAUAGUCUAAUACAAAAAAUACUAGCAACAAAUGCUUAUAAAUUAUAAAUUAUGCAAAUUGUAAAUUAAUUUUUUAAAUUUUUUUUAAAUUAUAAAGCUUGGGCCAAGCCUGGACUUCUUCCAUAAGCUCUUUACCAGGCCCAUUUAUAGUGGGCUUUAGAAUUUUUGACUCGUCCAUGGUCUUGUGAUGCAGGUCGGGUCGGCCUAGGCUUUUUCCCCACUCUACUUGGAAGUGAUAAUGGAGCAUAUUAAACGCACAUGGUGCAAUGAUAAGGAGUGAUCUCUCUGUUCUUACAUGGUUUUAUUUUUUAUUUUUUUAUUUUUCAUCUUAAUAAUUUUUACUAUAAGUCAAAUAUAGUUAUAUGGAUUUAUUUAUGCCUAUUUAGUAAUAAUUGAAACAUAUUUGAAACUUUGCAUCAACCAUUAUAUGCAGUGGCAGACCCAAACAAUUCAAAUAGGGGGUUUUAUUUUAUAAAAUAUUAAUUUUAUUUAGGGUGCUUAAUUUUUUUAUUGUUCACUUGAGAACAUUUUAAGUCUUAAAAGCUCAAAUUCUAUUAUUUUCUUUUAAAUUUUAAGUAAUAAUAAUAAAUUAUUUAUCUUUCGUGUAAUGAUAGACAUAUAAAUAAAGUUAAUAUUUAUUUAUUAUUAUUAUUAAUUUUAUCCUAAAUAAUAUGUCAUUCAUUAAGUAAUUGAUAAUUCUUAAAUGAAUUAUAUAAUCUUAUCAAUCAAUUGAUAAAUGUCAAAUUAUUUGGGAUAAUUUUUUAGGGUCCGCAUUUGUGAAAGAAUUAUUUUUCUAACUAAUUUCUACAAAAUAUCUAAAAAAAAUAAAAUGAUGUGAUUAUUAGAAUUUGAGCCAAGUCUCCAAAACUACUAAACAAAAACAAUACUCUUACCACUAAAUUACAAAUAUUUUGUUAUAUAAAAAGUGUGCCAAAAUCUUUUUAUUAACCUCUUCUAGAAGAGACCUAGGUACAUUUAAAAGAAAAAAAAAAUUACCUAGAAAGGGGCCAUGAUCAUUUGUAAUUCUUUCCAAUGAAGUCUCAAAUAUAUUUGGCAGUUUUUGAAAACAAUCAUUUUAAAAAAAAUGUCAAAUAUUCUAUCAUUUGUUGUAGUGUCACCAUUUUUUGUAGCAAAUCUAUCUUAAUAUAACUCUGGAUUACUAAUUUUUUUGCUUCUCAUUGCUUUGAAUGAAACCUCAUUUUUUCUAAGCCUAAACUUGGCCAAAUGACCCUCUAAGUCUCUGUACUAGGGAAAAAGAGUAGGAUUACCUACUACUAUUUUUUUAAAACAAAAUAGACGCUCUUAUAUUACACCCUAACUAAUGUACCACUCUCUAUUAAACCAUCAUCGAUGUAGUCGAUAUUACAAAAACCAUUAGACAAUUGUUAUAUAUAUCAUUAUAUGGUAGUUGUACAUAUUAUUCACAUAUAUAAAUUUUACGAACACUUAAACUUUUGGAUCUAAAGUGAGAGAUGACAAAAUCUAGAUUCGAAUGUAAGUGUAUCCACAUUCAAAUUUGCAAGUAAAAAAUAUACAUAUUCAAAUGUAGUUUAUAUCCAUGAGGAUUCUGAGUGGAUGCUCUAGAUAUAUGGAUUUGCAUAUUGUUAGAUAAAAUUAAAAAAUAAUAAAUUGAUAAUCUAAUUUUUUUUUUCAAUUUUAUCAUUUUUUUGAUUAAUCAUUUUCCAUAUUUAUUUACAUUAUGAUGAUCUUCAUCUUCUUCUAUGAACAACAACAGCAACAGUUCAAUUACUACUACUACUCUGAUUCUUUUAAACCUAAUUUCAUUUCACCAUCGUCAUGGAUCUUCAAGAGAAAAUUAUCCUUCCUGUUUCCUCCAUUUCUUCCCAAACCCAAUAUACAACCAUAAAUAAUACACCCUUUUAAUAUUUUACUUCAUUUUACUAUAUAACCAAAUUGAUCAAACUUUUGGAGCUAAACGGCCGAGAAAUUGGCCCAUGAUUAGCAAGAAAUGGGGUGACAUGACUCAGGAGCAGCAACGGCGUGGGGAAUGAGAUGGGCGAGAAACAACAACAAAAGGAAGAAGAAGAAAAUGGACGGCAGGUUGCUACCGAGCAACAGCACCAAAAGGAGGCUAGUGGUGGAGGAGACGCGGUUUUAGGGAUUAGGGCAUUGGAUUUGGAGUGGCGGGAUUUAUUCUCAACACUUAGAAUAAUGAAAUUGACCCUCUUCUUCACUUAUUUUGUCUUCCCUUCAUUUCUUUCCAUUCAUUUCCUCUUCUACCAUUUCUUCCAACCAAACAUGAGCUAUGUAUUGAGAAGUGAGCUUGAUUAAUUACUAUUUAAAAAUAUAAAAAAUUUUCGGUACUCUGUUGUAUACAGUUUCAAAAAAAGAAAAAGAAAUGAAAAACACUUUUCGUUCUAAAUUAAUUUUCUCCCCUUCUUUCCUUCUCCUCCUUUCUUCUCCUCAUAUUUCUUCAAAUCGAACAUGCCACUAGUCAUGGCUGUAAAAGACAUUUGAUUUUAGAAUGAAACAUGAUAAAUUCUUGUAUUACUUAUUAUUUUUUAUUUUUAUUUCCUAUUUAUUUACUAACAUCCGCCUUGGCCGUACAGCAGUUUUUUGAGUGGUUAGCAACUUCUAUUUUUUUGUCCCGUGCUUCUUAUUCGUUGCGGGUUGGAAAAUAGAAAAAUUGGGUGAAUCAAAAACCCCAAGGAGGUUCAUGGCCAAGGGUAAAGAGGUCCGAGUAAGGGUUAUUUUGGAAUGUACUAGUUGUGUUCGAAACGGUGUUAAUAAGGAAUCAAGGGGUAUUUCCAGAUAUAUUACUCAAAAGAAUCGACACAAUACACCCAGUCGAUUGGAAUUGAGAAAAUUCCUGCUGUACGGCCAAGGCGGAUGUACGGUACAGCAGGUCGAAAAUGUAUUUGAUACAAUAAAAAAGAAAAAAUUAAAAUACAAAAUCGAAGCGAUUCCUCAAAGUUACAUGGCAUAGUUUUUAGUAUUUUUUUAAUAUUAGUUGAUUCAAGAGUUGCCCACUCAAUCUGUUGAUUCGGAAUCGUGGGAUGGGUCGCUGUAAAAGACGAUGAAUUGGUUUCUUUUUCUAUCCCUGCCACUCAUUUUUCUUAGUACCUUCUAGAAUACUUGAAGAAUCAAAACUUUCAAUUGAAGGUAUUCUUUCAAUGGGUAGAGCAUUUUUGCUUAUCUUCGUAUCGUCCAAAAGUGGAAACUUAGGGAAGUGCUUUAUAAACAUAUGUAUAAAAAGAACAUAUUUCCUUUAGCUCUGUCAUGCCUACUAUAACUAGUUAUUUUGGUUUUCUACUAGCGGCUUUAACUAUAACCUCGGCUCUAUUUAUUGGUCUGAGUAAGAUAGGACUUAUUUGAAAUUAAUUGAAGGAAUAAUUCAUAAAAAGAAACCCUUCUGUGGUAUUCCACAUAUUGUCUAGUUCCUUACCGUACCACGUUAAUUACCAAUUAUUGGUUAUUGAGAUUCCUAGGCAAGGCAGAUUAAUAUUUAGGAAUAGAUAUUACCUCUCUUUUCAACCUUUCAAAUAAAAAAAAAAUAAAUAAAAUUCAAAUGAUUGAAGUCUUUCUAUUUGGAAUCGUCUUAGGUCUAAUUCCUAUUACUUUGGCUGGAUUAUUCGUAACCGCCUAUUUACAAUACAGACGUGGUGAUCAGUUGGACCUUUGAUUAAUUAACAUCUCUUUUUUUAACUGACCCCUCCCUUCUUUAAUUUAACUGCUGUACCGUACAUCCGCCUUGGCCGUACAGCAGUAGAAACAUGACUUUAAUUAGUCGAUUUCUUAGUGAACAAGGAAAAAUAUUAUCUAGACGGGUGAAUAGAUUGACCUUAAAAGAACAACGAUUAAUUACUAUUGCUAUAAAACAAGCUCGUAUUUUAUCUUCGUUACCUUUUCUUAAUAAUGAGAAACAAUUUGAAAGAAGUGGGUUGACCGCUAGACCUCCCGGUCUUAGAACCAGAAAAAAAUAGGCUUACUCUUCAAUUAAAUAAAAAUUCCAAUCCGAACUCAAACACAGAUGGAUGUUUUGUUCAAAAAAUCUGUGAAGCAGCCGUGCCGUAAGAAAAAAAAAAAAGAAUUGGGAAAGAAGAAUAAAUCAUGCCAUAUAAAUCAAAUUUUAAAAACCAUACCCUACUUAUAAAAAAUUAUAUUGAAGGACAAAACUAGUAAAAGUUAAUUAUUUGUUUGACAACAAGGUAAGUUUUGAUAUAUUUUAAACAUAAGAAAAUAGAAAAGAUUCUGUAUUGAUAACUUUUGAGAAAGCAUGAUUGUUGGUUAAUAGAAAGAAAUAUAUAGGUAAUUAAAUUUCAAUAUGUUGCUACAAAUUACAAGCAUGGCAGAAAAAUAUUAAAAUUAAGAAAAUGCUAUUUAUACACAAUAAAGCACAAACCUUUACACAUGACACGCAAACGAUACCGUUCAAAUAAUUGAAAAAAACAUUUCAAUUGCCAAAUGAAAAAGUCACCACUUACGUUUUAAAUAAUGAAAAAAUGCACUUCAAUUGCCAAAUUAAAAAUCAACUUAUACAGAUCAUUGAUUAGGUCCCGGCAACCAACGCCUUGGAGGAGACUCCCGUUACCUCACGGCCUAUUUUGGGAGAUGAAUGUUAUUUUUUGGAAUUUAAAAUUCAGAAAUUGGGAGCCGAAGAGAUUUAUUUGGAGUAGCUGACAAAUAGUUGUAUGUUUCCAUAUUUGCGCUUAGCAUUAGGAAUACUUUGAGUAAUGUUAAUAGUUGUAUGAUACUAUAAUUUAAUAGGUGUCAGAUUGAUGAAAUUAUUAGCUUUUAUUAUAAUUUUUAUUCAAAUACAGAAACGAUGAAUUUGGAGAACGCAUCGAAGUUGAACAGCAUAAGCAAGCUAAGCAGAACAGAUUAGAGGGAAAUAUUGAAGAAUUUGAGAAUAUUUAGAAUGGGAACAAGAACUGGAUGCGCCGUUUUAGAGUGCUGAUGAAAAGAUGGGAUUUCAAUAUAUGUUACAUUUGUUUGUAGGCGAAGCGGCGAGUCAAGAAGCAAAUCUAGUAAUUUAUUAAAGCCGCAACCGAGCAGAAAAGUAGGUUGCAAGGCUAGAUGGAAAACGGACAGUUCGAACUUUUGUGUUAUUUGGCAAUCGAAGGGUCUUUUUCCAUUAAAGUAGACGGUGCCAUUUGAGUGUCAUGUGCAAAGUUUGUGCUUUACUGUGUAUAAAUAGCAGCAGCACUCUAAAAUUAAUCACAAAACAUAGAAGCACUUUAUUCACAUUAAUUUAUAUGCACAUAUCGACAAACAAUGAGGGAAUUUUGAUCAAUUUUCGCAUAUUGUAAGUAAACCCUUUGAAUGGAUUGCCUUAAAAAUGUAACAUUUAAAUCAAUCCGUACUAAUAUCCAAAUUUCUAAAUCGAUUUUGUUAUAAUGAUAAAUGAGCUUAAACAAAACCAUAAAUAACUUUUUUAUUUUUAUUUUUGUAAACAUCAAUCCGAAAAGUGAGAGUUUAAUUUAGUAGGCGAGAUUAUAAAUGAAGAAGUAAAAGAGUGAACAUAAACAUUUUCAAUCCCACGGCCACACCAACAUUUAUCUUACAUUUAAUAAUAAUCAGCAGGUACACUUUGUAUUAUUACAGAAGUGAGGAA